rnacentral:lncRNA from 1 species
AUUGUUAGACUUAACAUGGGUUAUUUAUGCUUCAUGUCUAGAAGAACUUUAUGUUGAAGAUUGUGAAUCAAUAGAACUAGUACUACACCAUGAUCAUGGAGCUUAUGAAAUUGUGGAAAAAUUGGACAUAUUCUCAAGGCUCAAAUGCCUCAAGCUCAAUAGACUGCCAAGAUUGAAGAGCAUCUACCAGCAUCCUCUGCUCUUUCCCUCGCUUGAAAUCAUCAAGGUGUAUGAUUGCAAAAGCUUAAGGAGCCUCCCAUUUGAUUCCAACACUUCGAACAACAAUCUUAAGAAAAUUAAAGGAGGGACAAAUUGGUGGAAUCGGUUGAAGUGGAAAGAUGAAACCAUCAAGGACUGUUUUACUCCUUACUUCCAAGUCCAUGAGGCUGAAGCAUAUUUUGCAGAAGAGUUUGAAACUGGCAGCAUAGAUGAUGAUAUGCAGGAACAGCUGGUAUCAAAUUAAUUUCUAUCCAUCUUUCAGGUAUUAAUUAACUUUUAUGUUAUAUUUGAAAAAUACUUUUCUUUCCUUAUUCAUUCUUUUGUGGAAAUUUUUACUUUACCUAUGUCAAAAGUGCAUCAAAGUUUCAAACAUCAUAAUAACUUUCAAUGUUUGAUCUGUAUAGAUUACUUCCAUAAUUUUCAGCCUAGUCCUAAUAACUUUCAAUCUAUUUUUUUCCCUUUUAUUUUCUUUCUCUUCUAUGUUGCUUUGAAUCUUUUGAGAUCCAAACAAAGCCAAAUCUACACCCUUCCAAGAUCUUGGAUGGGUAAUUCAAUUCUAGUUGUUCCUUGUGAAAUAAUUGUUAUAAAAGGUUCACCCAGAUGGCACUUUGAAGGAGGUCUAUUGUUUAAAAAUGGGAUGACAUUCCCUGUUGGUUACUUGAGAACUUGAAAAUAAUUCAGAGUUUUAAACUAUAUUAUUUAUUUGUCUUAAUUUUUUUGAUCAAUUUCAAUCUAUAAACAGAAACAGAUCAACUUCUUUUCAUCUUAGUUCCAUAUAUUUCAAGCUGAACAACAGGGUUUCACAACUACUAUAUCUAUAGAUAUUCCAUUAAAGAAUUAUUGCCUUGUUAAGUUACAAGGGUAUUUUAUCUUCUAUUGUUAAGUUACCUCUAUCUGGUUGGCUCUGAUCACUUUUUGCUUUUCUAUUUUCUUUUUUUCAUUUCUCUUUUUGUUGCAUUCAGGGUUCGGGUUGGUUCUAGCAGUUCUGGCAACAGCCGGGUUUUCAUUUCUUUAUAUAUAGACUGCGUUGCUGCCGUUUUUGCUGAUUGGAGAUGUCCUGCUCUUUUUCCUUCUACUUGGAAUCUGGGUUUGGUCUGAGGUCUCUGGUAUGUUUCAUCAGGGAUGCGCAAAUGCUGAUUCUCAGAGCAUUGAUAUUUCAUGGUGCUGAGACUGCUGGAAAGGUUGGUGUACUUAUGUGAUGGUUGCAGCAUCCUUUUUGUUUCUGGAUCUCAGGAAUUGGAUUCUGUGGGCUGCCUUUGGCUUUUGAUGUUGGGUGGGUUUUGUUUUGUUAAUUUGUUGAGGCCGGUGCAGUGUGGUGGGUCUGAAGCUGCUGCUGGGUCAAUGCGGAUGUGAUAUGGGAAUGCUUUUGGAUCUUUGGGCUUCAGCAGGUUGAUUAUGUUUCCUCUGCUUACAAAUGUUUUAUCACCAGAUCCUAUGUGGGGAUGGGAUGGAUUGUUGUGAUAGUGAUGGUGUGGGUUUUGUUUUGUUUAUUUGUUGAGGCUGGUGCAUGUUUUAUCACCAGAGCACCGCUUAUUUCCUUGAGUUUGAUAUCCCACUGUCAAGUGUAUUGUCCAUAAUGUUAUGGUGUGUGUGUGUGUGUGGAUUGGAAUGUUUUGUGAGAACAACUGGUUGAUUUUAACAUUUGAGGUUGUUAAUGGUGAUUUUUCUUAUUAUGAUGAACAAGGUGGAAGUAUAAGCAGAGUUCUGAGGACUCAAACAACAACAUAGACUAGAAUUUCUCAUUUUUCAUUCCGGAGCAUUUAGAUCUCCAAACAGCAACCUGACUGAACAUGACCACAAAACUCCUCCGGCGCCACCAAUUUCCUCCACCUGCGACUCUUCAAAUCCAACAUGUAAGCCACAUGGGCUUCACCAAAGCUUCUGCACCCAAUCACUAAAGCUUCCCCUCCCAUGUUGUCAUGUAAGCUGUGUGGCGAAUCUCAGCUGGCAAUUUGUCUACUGUCUGCCAUCUGCAGUCCUGCAGUGCCACCACCUCACCCGCAUGACACAUGUACAUCCCCAUGUCACCACCGUCUACGCAGGUCCUCGGGCACGUGCUGUCUUCCAGGAAAUCCUCCUCUGCCUUGUCCCACUCCCAGUUGGCAAAAUCGAAGGCUUCCGCGCUCCUCUCGAACCUGCCUUGCAUCUCUGUGCAGUACCCGCCGAUGACAUGGAACUUACCACGGUGGAAUACUCCUUUGCAUUCAUCGCUCUCCCUUGCCAUGUCAGGCAGUGGGGCCCACUCAUCCUUUGCCACGUCAUACACCAGCGCUGACUUCAAUGCAUUCUUCUCACCAACAUACACCACCCGCUCCAAACCCGACGCCGCACAUCCAAAGAACGACCUCCGCGCACCUGGCAUAUCCGCUCCCCGCCGCCACGUCGCCGACAGGAAAUUGUAAAUAAACACAGAGCUCGAAACCUCCCAUGUAUCCGGAUCCCACCCGCCCACCACCACAAGCUCCGACUCGACUCCCACCAGCUGACAGAACAUCGGCAACCCAUCGGAAAACCCAGGAACCGGCGGUAACUCUCUCCAAUUACCCGUUUCGAGGUCCAAAAGCGUGACCCGAUAAGCAAGCGUAGGACAUUUCAUCCCACCAGAACUCCGAUUCGGGACCACCCGGGCCUGCGCCUUUGCGAAAACGGGUCGAGUAUACCCUGCCGUUUUCCUCUGUCGGAAAAAAUCAGGGUCCUCAACCUCACUCUUCCAAACCCUACAAACCGCGGCGAUGGUGGAGAAUUUUUCAUAAUAAACGCGAAUUAAACAUUGGCGGGCAACGUCGUCCGGGAGACCCGGAAUGAAGUCCAUGAACAAAAAAAAAACAGCAAGACUGUGGUGCUAUUAAUGGAGAGAAACCCAACCAGAGAAAUAUUUGAAUAAAUUGAGAUGGGGGGUUGAAAUAAAUUGAGAGAGCAGCUAGCUACAGAAGAAGAAGAUGAUGAAGAGAGAAACAGUUGAAUAUAAGAUGAUGAUGAGGAGGAGGAUUGCCUUUUAUAGAGCUUGCCAACAAGACUGUAAUACAGGUUUAAAAAAGGUUAGGCGUUCUAGAAAGUUAAAACGAAGGCGACCAUAGGUAAUGCCAAUACGGAAUACCAUACAAACAGCCGUUGUUUCAGUGUGAAUGGCUCCCUAGAAAAUCUGAGUCCAUGUGGAUGGGUCUGUAUUUCUCACUAUAAUUUCAGCUCAAAGGUACGUUUUAUCCUGUGCCAUCUCACACUCAAAAAUUAAUAAUUAAAAAAUCCACGUAAUCAACAUUUGAGUUGAGCCACCGUUAUAUAUCACUUAAAAAAAUUAUAUAAUAUCAUUUUACUUAUAUAAUUAUUUUUUUUAAAAACAUGUGAAAACAAUUAAAUUGUGUUUUCAAAAAAUAGGAUGUUUUAUUUAUAUUUUUAGAAAUAAAAAAUUAUUUUUUAUUUCCUUAUUGUAAAAUAUAUUUUCCAUUUUUUUUUAAUUCUUGAAAAUAGGAAACCAUUUUUUAAAAUAGCUUCUAAACAUAGUCUAAAUUUUUAAAAUUUUUCUAAAUCCUGUUUUUCUAAGAAAUGAUCCUUCUAAAAAUAUAAAUCCGUUUUUCCAAACAUAUCUUAUCUCCUAGUAUUUAUUAUUAUUAUUAUUAAAUUGAAAAAUUAAAACAAAAAUUGAUAUCUAAUCUAUUAAAAUUUUAUUUUAAAAUUUUUGCUACUUGUUUUGUUAGAACUAUCUAAUAUAUUUUUUCAACUUUUAAAAAUUAAAAUUAAAUUUAUUUUUUAAUUUUUCUUUUUGUUAUAUUCUACAUUUGAAUGCCAAAAUAAUAAUAAUAAUAAAGAAAGAAAAAUGAUAUGAAAGUCACAAAACCUUAUCAACUCAAAUAAGAGCAUUGGAGUUCCUAAGGUCAGAUUUUCAUUGAAAAUUUAAAGGGGAAAAAAAAAGUGAAAAAUAGCUUUUUUUUUUGUAUUUGAUUUUAUGAUGGAAAAUUAGGAAGAAAAUUAAAUAUAAUUAAAAUUAGUUAAAUUUAUAUAUUUUAAAUUAUUUAAUCAUUAAACUAAGUGAAAUGAGUUUAAAUAAUAAUAAUAAUAAUAAUAAUAUUUAAAUUAUUUAUUAAAAUAAAAUAAUUUAUUAAUUUAAUUUUCAUUCACUUUUUAUUUUUUUUUUCUAUUUUCUUUCUAUUUCAUUUUUUCUAAAAGCAAACACACCCGACAAAAAAUGUUUUGACUUUCAUUAAAAUUUGAAGUCUUAGUAUAAUACUUUCACAUUUAUUUUAAUGCAAAUUAAAAGCCAAUACAAGCAUAUUUGGAGUGUGUUUGAAAUAUUUUCCAAUUUUUUUACUUUAAUUAGAAGUUAAAAUUGAAUCAAACUCAAAAUUUUUAAAGGAUAAUAUAUGUAAAAUAAAGUUUUCACAAUCGAACAACAUUUUUCUAAUUUCUAUAUUAAGCUUUUUUUUAAAAUAGUCAUAAGAUUUUUGAACAAAAAUAGUGAAAAAAAAAAACCCCUUAUUGAAGUUAAAAAAAGAAACUGUUAUCUUCAUAGAAGUCUUACCAAAUAAGAAUCUAGCCUUACGGAAAAAGAAAAAAAAAAAAAAAGGUGGGUCAGUGCCCACUAGAUAAUGCAUUAGACCACCGUUUGACCCAACUUGAUUCUACCUUCAUGAUUUAUCCUUUGAAUUGUAGGAAGAUGAAUUUGGACAAAUCAAAUCAAUUUAUGUCCUAAUUGAUGCCAAAAAUAUCCAUAUAAUUCAAAUAAAUAUAAAUUUGAUAGUGAGAUAAAAGGGUAUGCCGUUUUUUUAUGGGUGUUGCCAGCAUUAUUAUAAUUUAUAGCUAUUUUAAAGAAAAAUUAAAUUAAAAUUAUCAAAAUAUAUUUUAUAUUUGCAAAAGCUAAAAGCAUAACCAAGAAAAAAUCUUUAUGCUUUAUAUUUUAAAAAUUAGUUAAAGCAAAAGCAUAUCCAAAUCAGCCCCACACAUCAAAUAAAGCUAAAAAUGAAAUUGACUAAUCAUUUUUUUACUGGCAAACCUUUUUGACUUUUUUCUUUUACUGUGCCAAUGAGAAAAAUGAUUCAUAUUAAAAGUGAUCAAAUUAAUUAAUUAAAAGAUUACAGCAUCCUUGCCCAGGAGGAGUUUAUCUCAGGAGGCUUUGUUUCUUGGCUUGAAGUGUACGUUGCUCACUACUUCCUUCAUGCGAUUCUCUGGCCUUUUAUGCUGGAGGUUGACUGGUACACAUCAGCCUGCCGCUUGCUACCUGAUUGGUGAUUGUGAAUGCUUUUGGGUCUUGCUGGUUGCUUGUGUUUCCUCUGCUUACAAAUGAAAUAUCACUAUAUAUAUUCUGGGAAGAUAGGAUGGAACUGCAUUUUCAAAGGAUGGAACAUAGUUUACAAACUUGGAUUUUGUUCCUCCCUUCAAAUUUUGAUCACUCAUUAAUGAAAUUUUUUCGUUCAUUUUUUUUUUUUUGGGAGAAAAAAUGGUGUUAAUUUGUUAAUGGCAAUUUGCUGCUGAUUUUGCUGGGUUUGAAAUGUUCUGCUCUCUUUCUGUUGGUGCUGUUGGUGUUGGCGUUUGCUUAAUUGGUGCUUGUCAGAAUUUUUUUAGUAAUAUUAUUUGUAGGAUAUUCUUAGAAAAAGGUAAAUGGUAAUAGCAUCUCAUUCAUUUAUUUUUUUAAAAAAAAAUAUUAUAAAUGGUAGAAGUUACAUGAAUAAUUCAAAAUUUGGCAAUAAAAAUACAAUUCAAUCCCACCAUGACCAAUCAGAAUUGUUUAAAGAAUAAUGUAGUGGUGAUGAAUGCAAGCAUAAAACCAUUGUGGAGCCAAGAUUCAAGGGGCAUAAAACCAUUGUGGAGCCAGGAUUCAAGCAUAAAACCAUUGUUGGUCUAGCUACAAGAUUGGGAAGGCAGUCAGCGAAAAGCUGGUUGCUGUAUCUGGUCAAAUCGGCAAAGGACAUUUCAAUGAUGUAGCCGAGAUGCUGCCUCGUCCUCUAGUAGAUGAACUGCCCAUGGAGGAGACUGUUGGCCUAGAAUUGGCGUAUGGCAGAAGCUGUGGGUUUCUCAAAGAUCCACAAGUGAGAAUUAUGGGAUUAUAUGGAAUGGGGGGCGUGGGCAAAACCACCCUCUUGAAGAAAAUCAACAAUGACUUCCUCGCUACACCCAGCGAUUUUGAUGUUGUGAUUUGGGUUGAAGCAUCAAAAAUUAAAAAAAUUCAGAAAGUUGUUUGGAAUAAAUUGCAACUCUCACGUGAUGGAUGGGAAAGUAGAAGCACUAAGGAGGAGAAGGCUGCCGAAAUAUUGAGAGUUUUGAAAACAAAGAAGUUCGUGUUGUUGUUGGAUGACACAUGGGAGCGACUUGAUCUCCUAGAAAUAGGGGUCCCCCAUCCCGACGCUCAAAAUAAGUCCAAGAUAGUUUUCACAACCCGAUCACAGGAUGUGUGCCACCAAAUGAAAGCUCACAAGAGUAUAGGAGUGGCAUGUUUGCAUGUCGCCAGAAGUGGCUUGGACUUUGUUUCAGAAGGAAGUAGGAGAAGAAACAUUAAAGUCUCAUCCACAUAUACUGAGUCUUGCAAAGACUGUUGCUGAAGAGUGCAAAGGUUUACCUCUUGCUUUGAUUACUCUUAGGCGAGCCUUGGUGGGUGAGAGAGAUCCCUCAAGUUGGGACAAGGUAAUACAAGAUUUGAGCAAAUUUCCAGCUGAAACUUCAGGUAUGGAAGAUGAAUUGUUUCAUAGAUUAAAAGUCAGUUAUGAUAGAUUGUCUGACAAUGCCAUCAAAUCUUGUUUUACAUAUUGUUCCUUAUUCUCUAAAGGUUGGUGGAUUUCAAAUGAAACCCUUAUGGAAUAUUGGAUGAUUGAGGGAUUUUUGGGUGAAGUUCAUGACAUACAUGAAGUGCGUAAUCAAGGGCAUAAAAUUUAAAAAAAAAUUAAAGCAUGCAUGUUUAUUGGAGAGUUGUGGUUCAAGAAAACAAAACAUUAUGAUGCAUGAUGUGAUCCACGACAUGGCUUUAUGGUUAUCUUGUGAAUGUGGGGAGGAGAAGAACAAAAUUUUAGUAUACAAUGAUGUUUCUAAGCUGAAGGAACCUUAAGAAAUUCCAAAAUUGAAAGAGACAAAGAAGAUGUCAUUAUGGGAUGAGAAUGUUGAGGAGUUCCCUAAAACAUUGGUAUGUCCCAAUCUCAAGAUUAGUGGCUUGUGAUAAGUUGAAGAAAUUUCCAAGUGGAUUUUUUCAAUUGAUGCCUUUAAAGUUUUGGAUUUGUCAAAUAAUUAUAAUUUAAGUGAGUUACCUACUGGGAUCGGUAAAUUGGGUGCCUUGAGAUAUCUUAAUUUGUUAGCCACAAAAAUAAGAGAGUUGCCUAUUGAACUUACAAAUUUGAAAAACCUAAUGACUUUGCUUUUGGAGAAUAGGAAAUUCCUGGAAUUAAUUAUUCCACAAGAACUGAUAUCAAGUCUCAUAUCUUUAAAGUUGUUCAUCACAAUCGAUACCAAUAUUUCAAGUAGAGUUUCAGAAAGCUUGUUGGAUGAGUUAGAGUCCUUGAAUGGCAUCAGUGAGAUAUGUAUCACCAUAUGUACUACUCAUUCAUUCAACAAAUUAAAGAGUAGUCGCAAAUUGCAAAGGUGCAUAAGUCAAUUCGAGUUGGAUAAAUGUGGGGAUAUGAUCUCACUUGAACUACCGUCUUCAUUUUUGAAAAGAAUGGAGCAUUUGCGAUGGCUUUGUAUAUUUGAUUGCGAUGAAUUAAAGGACAUAAAAAUUGAAGGGGAAGGAGAAGGGACACAAAGGGAUGCGACUCUCCAAAACUACAUUGCUAUAAGGGAGAACUACUUUUGUGCCCUUUGUAACCUAUAUAUUUUUCAUUGUUCAAAAUUGUUGAACAUUACAUGGCUUGUUAGUGCUCCAUAUCUUGAGGAACUUACUGUUGGAGAUUGUGAAUCAAUAGAACAAUUGAUAUGUUAUGGAGUAGAGGAAAAAUUGGACAUAUUCUCAAGGCUCAAAUACCUUAAGCUCAACGAGCUGCCAAAAUUGAAGAGCAUCUACCAGUAUUCGCUGCUCUUUUCCUCACUUGAAAUCUUGAAGGUGUAUGAUUGCAAAAGCUUAAGGAGCCUCCCAUUCGAUUCCAAUACUUAACAAUAAUCUAAAGAAAAUUAAAGGAGAGACAAGUUGGUGGAAUCAAUUGGAGUGAAUCGAUGAAACUAUCAAGUAUUCUUUUACUCCAUAUUUCCGAAUCGACCAAGCUGAAGCAUACUUAACUGAGGAGUCCGAAACUGGUGGCAUAGAUGAUAUACAAGAGCAAUUGAUAUCAAAUUAAUUUCUUUCAGGUAUUAAUUAACUUUUAUGCUAUAUUUGAAAAAUAAUUUUUUUCCACACUCCCCAUUCAUUUGUGGAAAUUUUUACUUUACCGAUGUCAAAGUGCAUCAAAGUCUCAACAUCAUAGUAACUUUCAAUGUUUGAUGUAUAUGGACUACUUCCAUAAUUUUCAGCCUAAUCUUAAUAAUUUUGGUGUGGUUAUAAUUUUUUUCUUUUUUAUUUUUCUUUUUCGUCCUUCUAAUCUUAAGCCUUCAUUUUGAUGACAAACAUAAUUAAGAAAGGAAAAAAAAAAUGUAAGAAAUCCAAAUCUAAAUCUAUAUAUAUAUAUAUUUUUAUCUCUAUCUGAUUGGCUCUGAUCAGUUUUUGCCUUUUUUUUUUUUUUCAUUUCUCUUUUUGUUGCAUUCAAGGUUGGGCCUUGUUCUAGCAGUUCUAGCAACAGCCGGGUUUUGAUCGUUUUUAUAUAGACUGUGUUGUUGGAACUCCAUUUUGCUUGUAUCCAAUUAUUAGACAGGAAUCGCAUGUUGAAUCAUAUGAAGAAAUUAUGCCAAACAUUUCUAUAGAAAGGGAACAUACAGAAUCUGAACUAACCUGAUUCCAUUUUGAGUGUUGAAUGAAUAAGGUAUGGAUCUUCUAAGGCUGUGGAGGGCACCACCUCUUUCUGAAUUCUCUCUGACGAUGGAGCAGGAGAGAAAACAAGUCUAUUAUUAUUUCAAGUGAUGUGAUUAGACUGAACAGACACUUAGCCUUUGGUUUUAUACCCUCCUGCCUUAGGGACCAUACCCUUUGGCUAUUGGGCCUCACGAGUCUUAGGCCCAUCAUCUAAGGCCCGUGAUGGCAAUGGGCUGUACACAUAAGGUGACCCAUACUAUGGAAAAUUGAUACAAAAUAAAUAUCAAAAGGCGAAUAGCUUAGUCAUGUAUCAUUGUUAAAUAUGUGUGAGUCCAUAUCUUAACAUGUGUUGUUGUUGUUUUUGCUGAUGGUUGAUGUCCUGCUCUUUUUCCUUCUACUUAGUAUUUGGGUUUGGUCUGAGGUCGAUCUAGGUAUGUUUGAUCAGAGAGGCAUAAAUGCUUAUUCUCGGAGCAUUGAUAUUUCAUGGUGCUGAGACUGCUGGGAAGGUUGGUGUACUUAUGAUGGUUGCAUCAUCCUUUUUGUUUCUGGAUCUCAGGAAUUGGAUUCUGUGGGCUGCCUUUGGCUUUUGAUGUUGGGUGGGUUUUGUUUUGUUAAUUUGUUGAGGCUGGUGCAGUGUGGUGGAUCUGAAGCUGCUAGUAUGCUGCUGCUGGGUCAAUGUCAAUGUGAUAUGGGAAUGCUUUUGGGUCUUUGGGCUUCAGCUGGUUGCUUGUGUUUCCUCUGCUUACAAAUGUUUUAUCACCAGAUCCUAUGUGGAGAUGGGAUGGAUUGUUUUAAUAGUGAUGGUGUGAGGGUGUGAUAUAAUCCUGUCAACAGAGCCACAUGCUUUGGUUCAUAUACCAGAGCACUGCAUACUUGAGUUUGAUAUCAUAUCCCACUCCCAAAGUGUGUCGUGCAUAAUGUAAUGUAAACAAGUUUCAACUUUCAUCCAUUGUGGAUUGAAAUGUUUAAUUUGGGAGAAAAACUGGUUGAUUUGUAACAUUUGAGGGUGUUAAUGGUGAUUUUUCUUAUUAUUAAUUGUGAUUGAAAAGAAAGUUGAUGAACAAGGUGGAAGUAUAAGCAGAGAGUUCUGAGGACUCCUAAUGUGGUACAUUUUCUCAAGCAUAUUUCUUCCCCAAUAAAAAGGAAAACUUGGGUUCACUUGUGCGAUGGUUUUGGCAGUUGGCACUAACUGAUCAAUGAAAGAGAGAUCCAGGUUUAUCACUGAUGAAUUAAAAUGCUUUGUUAUUGUUGCUUAGUUAAAAAAGUUGCGGUUCAGUUUGCUAAUCUAUUGAUAUCUGUUGCAGUGAUUCUGCUGCUGAUGAACAUCAAAGACAAUCAAUAGGUGCAGGUGAUGCCAUCUCAUCUGCUCAAUCAUCUCAAGUAUUACAGCCUGCUCGCUCAGGGGCCAGGGGACGUGCUUCAAUGGCUGAUAUUGUGAGGAGGGGCAGACCAGGGACCAGGAGACAUGUUUCAAUGGCUGAUGUUGUAGGGAUGGGCGGACCUGGUGCCAAUACUUCCAGCCUGCCAAUUACGUCAACUGGAACUUCUCCCCCUCUUGUUGGGGCAGUACCAGAACAAUGUGGUGUGCCCAAUACUUCCAGCCCGCUAAUUACAUUAGAUGAAACUUGUUUCCCACCUCUUGGAAGAACACCAAAACGAUCCUCUUACCGUGUCACUACUCCCUUUGUUCUGCCACCAGUGGAGGCAGAACCACACCAAGAUUUGCAUUCUCCAAAUCCUUGGUAUGUGUUGGAGAUAAGUCAUGACUCAUGAGCCUUGCAUUACUGAUGAAUGGCCCACCACUGAUUAGCCAACAGCACAUAAUGGCUUUUUUAGGUGGCUCACCUGCCUUAGAAACAGAGAUAUUCUAACCCAUCUAACUUGUACAGUGAUACAGCUGAAAUGUCCCAGGACUGCCGGCCAGAUGAGGUCCAAGCAUCUGUAUCCAGUGAACAGUGGGCAGAGUAUAGCGCUGCAGGUGCGUCUUAUAGAGCUUGCCAACGAGACUGUAGUACAGGUUUAAAAAAGGUCAGGCGGUCUAGAAAGUUAAAAUGAAGGCGACCAUAGGUUAUGUCAAUACACAAGACCAUACAAACGGCCAUUGUUUCUAUAUUUUGUUAUUUGUUUUUAAUGUGAUUGGUUCCCUAGAAAAUCUGAUGUGACCCUGGUUCAUGAUGCCCAAAAUGGAAAUCAUGCGAGUCCAUGUGGAUGGGUCUAUAUUUAUCACUCUUUUGAAAAUUCAUCACCCAUCAAAAUGAUCAAAUUUCAUAAUCUAAGCUUGAAAAUACAUCUUAUCAUUUGCCUUCUCACUCUCAAAAAUUCAAAAUAAAAAAUUCCACAUAAUCAAUACAUUUUGGAUUUUAAUUAUUUUAAUCCAUUCUAUCUUCAUUAUCUAAGUCCAACUUCUACUGUCAGUAAAAGUAAAACUUCAUUUCAGGAAGAGAGAAAUUGAUAAGUUUUAACAAAUAAGUUUAAAUACAUUUUUUAUUUUUAUUUAAUUUAAAAUUUUAUAUAACAUACCAAAAUUUUAAAAUGUUUAUAUUAAAAAUAUAAUGACUUAAAAUUAUUUAAAAAAUGAGAUAUCAAAAAAAUUAUUAUCUUAAAUUUAAAAAAUUAAUGUAAUUUUUUUAUAAAAAAAAAAACAUAAUAUAAAAAAUAUAUAUUGGAGGAGCAGAAUAAUUGAGAGAGAAGCAACAAAACGUUAAGUACAAAGUGGGGAAAUGCAACUAAUGAAGUGGGUCCAAAAGGUUGAAAGAUAAGAGGAUACCUUAACAAUGUCAUUUGGGCAACAUUAAGUUAAUUGAUCCUAAUCAAUGCAAAAUACCAUGAAUCUAAAGUUCACAUCAUAGCAACAUAGAGAGGGAGUUCAAUUUCAAUACAAAAUACAAAAAGUGUAAAACUAGAUAUUAAUAUUAAGACAUCAUACUAAUUAAAUAAGUUUCAUUUUUGUCAAAAAAAUAUAUAUAUAUCUAGUUCCCAAAAAUAUCAAGGAAAAAAAUAUAAAAAAUAUUUUUCUUCAUAUUUGGUUUUACUAUGAUAAAUUCGAGAUAAAAUCAAAUAUAAUUGAAAUUUUAAAUAUUUUAAAUUAUUUAAUCUUUAUAUAAAAAUAAAGUUAAAAUAAGUGAAAUGACUUCAAAAUAAUAUAUAAAAAAUAAAAUUAAUUUAUUAGUUUUAAUCCUAUUUUUUAUUUUCAUUGGUUUUUUGUCUUUGGAUUUUUUUCUUCUUCAUUUUCUUUUUCUCAUAUUUUUCCUCAAUCAAACAUACCAAAAAAAAAAAAUUGUUUUAACUUUCAUUAAAAUUCAAAGUCUUAAUAAUACUUUCACAUUUUUUUUUAUUCAAAUUAGAAGAAAAUACAAAUAUUUGGAAUGCCUUUGAAAUAGUUUCCUAUUUUUCACUUUAACUAAAAGUUAAAAUUGAAUCAAAAUCAUAAUUUUUAAAAGAUAAUAUUGGUAUUAAAUAUAUGAAAGAGUUCUUAGCAUAAAUCAAAAUAAAGUUUUUACAAGGAACAACAAUUUUUUUAAUUUCUAUAUUAAAUUUCUUGUUAAGUGGUCAUAAGUUUUUUAAACGAAAAUAGUAAAAAAAAAAAAAAACAUAUGAUUGAUACCAAGAUAAAUUAUGAAUCCUUUAAAGUGAUCCACUACACUUUUUUGGGGUGGAAAUUCAGUCAUUAAUACAUGUACUUGAUCUGGGGGUGCCCUACAAUUCAAGUCAAUGAAUUUGGACAAAUCAAAUCAAUUUUUUUCCCAAUUGAUACCAAGGAAUAUCCAUAUGAUUCAAACAAUAUUUAUAUUGUUUGUUUGGAUUUUGCCUAAAGUAUUCAUGAAUGUGUCCAAAUAAUAUGCUUAUCAAUGGCACUACUAAUUUUUGCUUCCCUUUUUUUUUUUUUUUUUUUUUCAUUUUUUGUUUGUUUUGAAUUGGUACUUCCUUUCUCAUUCAUUCUACAUUCUUUUUUUUAAAAACAUUUGUCUCUUUUGCAUACAUCCUAAAAAGCCCAAAGUGUCUUUAUUAUUAUUAUUAUUAUUUUUAAAAAAAGAACUUAAUAAAAUCUUUUGCUUCAAUUUAUCUUAAAAUGAAAAUAAAAAAUAAAAUUUUAUUAUUAAAGUUUUAUUUUGAUUUAUAGAUAAAGCUAUUUCAUAUUUUAUAAAUCUCUUCCUAUAUUCAUUUUGUUCUUUGCAAAUUAUAAUUUCACUCACUUCAACUUUGAAAAAAAAAAAAAUUAUAGCAAAUUAUGUUUUAAUCCGCUUUCCAAUUGGAAAAUACUAAUAAUGCAACCCAUAUCUGUCUAAACUUAGUGCAUAUAAUAUUACUUUUCAAUGGACUUGAAAAAUAUUUAAAAACCAACAACUCCAAAGUCAAUUAUCUCAAUUAUGGAGUGUAAUGGUUUCCAAAAGAUUAAAGCAAGUGUGAAGAUCCCUAUAAUGUUUUUGAGUGUAAUGGUGUUUCCAAAAGAUAUAAGUAAGGAUGAAAAUAUCGGUAAUCAUGAAUAUAUCGGUAUUUUGAUUUUACGGAUAUAUCGGUGGGUAUUUUGACAUAAAAUAUCAGUAGACCUAAAAUUGACUAAAACUUAUAAAAAUAUAAAAUAAAACUUUUAGAAAUGAAAUUAAAAGUACAAUAGACAUUUUAAAAUUAUUUUUGUUGAAUAAAUUAAUGUAUAUAUAUAAAAUAAAACUUUUAGAAAUGAAAUUAAAAGUAUAAUAGACAUUUUACAGUUAUUUUGUUGAAUAAAUUAAUAUAUAUAAAAUAUUGUACGUGUCAAUAAAAAAUAUAAAUUUGAUAAGUAUAUAUUGAUUAUUAAAUUAUAUCAAAUAUUAUUUGGUGAUUAUAUUGUGAUAUUUGAUUAUAAUAUAUUUCGGUGGAUAUUUUGACACAAAAUAUAUGUAGACUUAAACUUGAUCAAAACUUAUAAAAAUAUAAAAUAAAACUCUUAGAAAUGAAAUUAAAAGCAUAAUAGACAUUUAAAUUUUUUUUUAAAUAUAUAUAUAUAUAUAUAUAUAUAUAUAAUAUUGUACAUGUUAAUAAAAAAAAUAUAAAUUUGAUAAAUGUACAUUGAUUUUUAAAUUAUAUAAAAUAAUAUUUGAUGAUAAUAUUGUGAUAUGUAAUUAUAAUAUGUUUAAUUUUAAAAUCUAUUUAAUAUUAAAAUUAUGAUAUAUUAUAAAAUAAAUGUAUAAAAUUUUAAUAUAUUAAUAAUAUUAAAAACACCAUGAAUAAAAUUAUGAUAUAUUUUUACUAAUCAAUUAAAUGAAAAAAUUUCAUUAAAUUAUAAAAUAGUUAUAAUUAAUUUGUUAUUUAAAGUGUUUUUUUUUAAUAUUUUAUUUAUAUCAUAACUUUUGAUAUAUAUUUCUUUAGUGCAUAUUACAUAUCAAAGGGCAAGUUUGCCUUAGUGGAGCCGGGGAUGCAUGUUGAACCUUCGAAUCUCCCUAAUAGCAACAAAAAAAAGCUCAAUUUUGAGCUUUGAUUGCGUUGAGCAGCCGUUGACCACCGAUAUAUCCAUGCUAUAUAUCGUUUCGCCACCCGCCGACACACCGAUAUUUCAACAAUAUUUUCUUCCCUGGAUAUGAGCAAGUAUGAUUUUCCUUAAAAUGUUUUUCACAAUUUUUUUAUAUGAUUAUUUAAGUUGCCUACCAAUAAAUCUUUUUCUAAUUUUUGUAUGAAUUGAAUAUUAUUAUUUUUUUUUAAAAAUAAGAAGUAUGUUUAAUAAUUAAUUUUUCUAAGUAAUAAUAAUGACCAACAACCUUUUAGACCUAGUUUUUCAAUCAACUUAUUUAUUUCAUAGGUAUAAAAUAUGGAGAAGUAAAAUAUAUGUAUUGAUGGAUCAAUUAAAGGGAGGGUUAAACCUACUAAGACACUACCCACCUCACUGGAGAAUGGAAAAUUGAACGGUUAUAAAUACAUCAUCAUUUCCCAUUUUUCACAAAAAUGUUGCUCCAUGUCCUCUUAUCAAUUUCACUUCAAUUAUCCUCAAAAAAAUCACUUCACAACUUCAAAGAUUUGUUAGCAAAAUUGAAAAAGUACUAACAUGUCACUUGAGUAAAAAAAGACAUGAUUCCUAUGCAAAAAAUGAAACAUAUGUGUGGACCCCGUAUUUCGACUCAUGCGUUCCCCACUCGGUGGCGAAACUCACUUUUAAUUUUAUUCAGUGAAAAUUUGAUUUUUGGGGAAAAGACUUGGAGUCGCCAUUUUGUGGACCCUGCAUUUCAACUCAUGCGUUCCCCACUCAAUGGCGAAACUCACUUUUAAUUUUAUUCGGUGAAAAUUUGAUUUUUGGGGAAAAGACUUGAAGUCGCCACUUACUUUUGUUUUAUUUUUAAAAGGGUAAACAAAAUAAGAAAGAAAACCCUGAGUGUGACUCCUCAUUUUGGAAAAGAUGGUCUGCGAAAAACCGGAUCGGGCUCGAGGGUCAGAUUACUUAUUGGGAAGGUAUGGUAAAGACUGUAGCACGCCUCUAAGUCCCUAAAGUUGGGGUCUCUACUAAUAGAAUGAAGCCGACAUGGCAAUCAAUAAGAAAGUCAAUGGAUACCUAAGUCAAAUCAUGCACAUAUGGGAAUCGGAACAUGCAUAGAGAAUGAUCCGAAUGAAAGUGUAUGCGUACCUGGGUCACGAGCCACAAUGCAUUGUAUUUGCUCCUCUCAGUGCGAUUUUCUCCGUGCGUUUUUCCCUAUCCCCUCACUAGCUCCCUCUGGUAUCCUUUUCCCUCUUUUUUUUUAGCUUGCUCUCUAAGCUAACGAAAACCUCACUCUGUCACCUUUCACUCAGCCGUCCUCCCUAUUCCAUCUUGUCACCCCAUGCCCUCUUUGGUAGAGUUCACGAGUGCAAUGAACAUGAACACUGAAGUGAAAAGAGAGUGUGAAUAGUGAGUGAAAUGAAGUGAACUCUACCGAAGAACCCAGGAGACCCCCACAACGACACUAGUGAAACACGAACUCAUUAAAACUAACAGACAAACACGAAGGCUCUAACCCUGAGAGAAGAUGAUGUUCAAAAUGUCUCGGAAGCCACACUGAGGACCUAGGCUCCCUCUAAGACGCCUCCAAAAGAGGCUUGAAGAACCAUAUCAAAGAUGAGUAAUGGUUGAACCACUCUGAAGUAUAGAAAAGACUAUGCCCAAAGGAGACUGCCAUAUGCGAACUACAUAAAAAUGACAAGUGUAUGGUGCCUAACGACAUGACUGAAGUAGGUGUCGUGAACUCAAAGGACUGUGUCAUGAGCAAUGAAAAAGGGAAUCUGGAAGAGUGAUGGCAAGUAGGCGAUAAGCACACGAUAACAAGGUAAGAAAAAUGAGAACAUAUGCAAACCCAUGAAGGCAAGAUGUGUAAUGCCAAUGAACAUGAAUGCCAGGGACUCUGACUCUGAAUGAUAUAACUGAGGAGAAAUGACUCUGCAUAUCAAAACAAAGAGAGAUGGUGACUCAUGGUGCAUGAAUGAAUAUGUACAAUGGCUCUGAACACCAAAAUUGAGAAGCGAUGAUGGCUUUGAAUGCCAAAACUGAGAAUGAUGAUGGCUCUGAACGCCAAAACUGAAAAUGGUGAUGGCUCUGAACGCUAAAGCUGAUAAGCGAUGAUGGCUUUGAACGCCAAAACUGAGAAUGAUGAUGGCUCUGAAUUCCAAAACUAAAAAUGGUGAUGGCUGUGAACGUUAAAAUUGAAAAUGGUGAUGGCUUUGAACGCCAAAACUAAGAAUGAUGAUGACUUUGAACGCCAAAGCUGAGAAGCGAUGAUGGCUUUGAACGCCAAAAUUGAGAAUGAUGAAGGCUCUGAAAGCCAAAACUGAAAAUGGUGAUGGCUGUGAACGCCAAAACUGAAAAUGGUGAUGGCUUUGAAAGCCAAAACUGAGAAUGAUGAUGGCUCUGAACGCCAAAGCUGAGAAGCGAUGAUGGCUUUGAACGUCAAACUGAGAAAUGUCGAUGGCUCUGAAUGUUGAAACUAAGAGAUGAUAAUGGCUCUGAAUGCCGAGAUUAAGAAACAAUGAUGGCUCCGAACGCCAAACUGAAGAUGUUGAUGGCUCUGAACGCCAAGACUGAGAAGAAAUAGGGGCUCUGAACGCCAAAUGGAAAAUGCUGAUGGCUCUGAGCGCCGAGACUGAGAAGAAAUAGUGGCUUUGAAAGCCAAAUGGAAAAUACUGAUGGCUCUGAACACCGAACUGAAAAGAAAUGAUGGCUCUGAACGCCAAAUGGAAAAUGUUGAUGGCUCUGAAUGCCAAGACUAAGAAGAAAUAGUGGCUCUGAAAACCAAAUGGAAAAUAUUGAUGGCUCUGAAUGUCGAACUGAGAAGAAACAAUGACUUUGAACGCCAAAUGGAAAAUGCCGAUGGCUCUGAACGCCGAGACUGAGAAGAAAUAGUGGCUUUGAAUGCCAAAUGGAAAAUCCUGAUGGCUCUAAACGCCGAGACUAAGAAGAAAUAGUGGUUCUGAACGCCAAAUGGAAAAUGUUGAUGGCUCUGAAUGCCAAGACUAAGAAUGAACAAUGGCUUUGAACGCCAAAAUGAAAACGUGGCUUCGAACGCCAAAUGGGAACAAUAGCUACUAAUGCUAAGCGAAAAUAGUGGCUUAGAAUGCUAAACUAAACUGAAUAACCAUAAGCGUCAAACUGAGAAAGACGACGCUGACCAUCGUAACUAAGAAGACAUAGUGGCUCUAAAUGCCGAACUGCAAGGGAAUGAUGGGGGGAAAAUAUGCCCCAGUGUAGCGGGUCACCAAAAACCCUCAAUCCAUCAGAAAAGUCGGAAAGAGACUCCGUAAGUCUCGAAAAAAUGCUUGGCCAAUGUGUCGGGGUGAUAAAAUCGAAUGAUCCUUUAAGGAGCCUUCAGAAAAAUGAUCUGAUAGGGUAACUAACGCGAUCUGAAGAAUCACGGAUAGCAAGACAAUCACAACCCGAACGUCCUACUCUACUGAAAGCUCAUCUCGAAGAAUCACGGAUAGUGACUAGUAAAGCAGAUAUAAUAUCUCUUGGCCAAGUGAUGAGAACCGCAACAAACUUGUGAGAGAACGAUCAUCUCCAUAUCCAAAUGAGGGAAAUAUGCCCACGUAUGGCGUCAAAUGUAUCCGAUCUGUCCUGAUGACUCAUGAGUAACUCAAUGGGGACGCGUCGCAGAUCUGACAUGUGCUCCAACGAAAUGAUGAAGUGAGAGUCCAUGAGCCUGAGAUGACUCCAUCCAAAAAUCACAAUGACAUCGGAAACUAUAAACAUGAUGAAACGACUCAAGGGAAGGUCCUUCGAAGAGUCAUGACAAAAUGAAACAAGAUCAUCAACCCGAUGUGUAUCUCGUAACUAGGGAUAAUGACGCAAACCAGAAGGGAUCUACGAAUCUCAAUCAAAGACGGAAAUAUGCCCCAGUAUGGCAUCAAAUGUGUGACAAGUAGGGAAAAUCAAAUGACAUCGAAUCAAGCAUCAACAGAUAUGUAAUCUUGGUCAUUUGAAUCCAUAACUGAAUCAUACCCACUGAUCAAAGAUGUGUCUUUCGGAAGGAAGCAUGAUGAUGGCAUCUGAGUGCUGAGAAAUGCGUGCCUAACUGGAUGGCUCCCAAGAGGCUCCACUAAGAAAUCAUCGUAAAAAUAGUGAUCGGACGAUCAUCUCGAUGAGUAUCCCGUUAGUGGGAAUGAUCACAUAACUCCACGAAGAUCAGUAAACCUCAUCCGAAAUGGAAAUAUGCCCCAGUAUGACAUCAAAUGUACAAUAGGUCGAAAUCGGGUGACAUGAAAUCAUCCAUCAUCAAAUAUGCGAUCUCCAUAAUCCAAAUCAAAUCCAAACAUCUAGGGAACGUCUCUCGAAAUAAAAAGCAUGAAAACAACCCGAUACCGAGAAAUGUGGACCUAGAUGAAUGGCUCCACUGGGGCUCCACUAAAGAAUCAUCAUAAAAAUAACGACAACGUCAUCAUCUCAACGCAUAUCCCGCAAGUGGGGAUAAACACGCAACUUCGUGAAGAUCGGCAAAUCUCAUCUAGAACGGAAAUAUGCCCUAGUAUGGCAUCAGAUGUAUAGUAGGUCUGGCUGAAUGGCCCUAAAGAGGCUCAACUGAAGGAUUGUCAUAAAAUAAUGACCACGCCAUCAUCUCAGCGCAUAUAUCGUGAAUGGGGAUAAGCAUGCAAACUCGUGAGGAUCUGUAAAAUCAUAUCUGAAACGGAAAUAUGCCCCAGUAUGGCAUCGAAUGUGUGACAAAUCAGAAAAGGUUAGGUGUCGUCAAAUCAUCCCUCGUCAAAUGAGUGAUCCCGGUAAUCCAAACACAACCGAAACAAAUCUAAACAUCAGAAAGGUGUCUCCCAGAAGAAGAAGCAUGACAGUAUCUAAAUGGCAACUAGAGCCCAAACACCUGUCCAAGUAGAGGCUGUCGAAGACGACAUCUGAUCCCAUGGCCUCAGGGUGGUCUUAAGACACGGGACGUAACGUAGGCUAGGGUGAUAAGGUAAUAGAAAUGAAAGGAAACGAGACCUAAAUACCCAAUGAUCAAAACUCAUGCCCUCAAGUAUAAAAUGCAAUAUGUGUGGAAAAGCUCGUGAGCCAUGAACCUGAAUGUGCCCAAUGUGAAUGUGAUAUCAAUAACAAGGUGGUGAAGAAAAAUGAUCUGAUAGAUGGAUGUGUAAGAACGAUGCACGUGAAGUGUCAAACUGAGAAUAAAAAGGCGUGGUAAGAAAAAUAAAAUGGCAAGAGGUGAGAUGAGGAUGAUGAAUCAAAAGCGAAAACAAGAAUGAUGAUGAAAUACGUAAUACAAAGGGGAGCAGUGAUCAACUCAAAUCAGACAUGGAGUGAACUCACAUCAACAAUGAAUGUAAUGAUGGAUAGGACAAUGACCCGGAGUCCCUAGGAGAAGGCCACUCAUCUCGCUCUCAAAACAUACGACAAAAAUGAAUACAAAGAAUGAAAGGUCUUGAGAAGCUCACAUACGAACUCUCAUCAAUAAACAUACUCGAUACAAUGACCUUUGAACAUCAACAUACACGCCCAACGAUGGAGAAUACUAUGCACAUACACAUGCAUGCUUAUUUUUUCUUUCUUUUCAUUUUUUUUUUUUUUACAUAUAUACAAAGGCACAUACCUUGAACAUAGACAAAUGAACCCCAAAGAUGAUAGCAAUAAUGAAUAGACACGCUCCCAAGUGCUAAGGUAACAAAAAUCUCUCUCUGAUAAGAUGACCUUCUCAAACUAAGGAUCUCUAACUCAAUGUCCGCAUGAUAAAUAGUGGAAAUGAUGUGACUAUCCCCCAUGUAAUGAAUUGAGGAGGAUCACCACUCGGGGUGGAGAGAAUAUGAAGCAAAACAAGUAAAUAGAAUAAAGAAUGAGAGAUGAAAAACACAACUAAUGAGAUAUGAAGGAAUGCAGUAGCGCGGUGGUAGGAAAAAAAAUAAUGAGAGAAAGAUGCACCUGUAGGUCCAAGACUCAUGAGGCUUCCAAACAAUGCAUGCAUACACUAAAUGGCCCCAAUCCCGGUGUAAAAAUGUGAGGAAGGCGAUAAGAUAGAAAUGCUAGAAUGCAUACGCGAGGCUCAAUGGGCUAGCAACGGUUCAUAUGUCAAAAAAGGAAUAACAAGGUAUAUAGCUAACCGAAAUGAUGGCCACCCAUUCUGCGACCAUGGUCUCAAACAUAGUACCUCUUUAGCUGGUCCACGUUGGUAGGCUCCGAGAAUCGGUUUCCAUCUAGAUCCAUCAACCAUGCAGCGCCCUCUGGGGUCAACUCCCUGAUGAAGUAAGGUCGGCUCCAAUUGGGUCUGAACUUCCCUCUAGGAUCUCUGAUCAAUCCUCUGAUGACCUUCAGAACCAAGUCGCCUGUCCAUAGUGGUCUGGGCUUAACCCGCUUUUUGAAAGCGCGGACCAUCUUUCUUUGAUAUGCAUGAACAUGAUCGGCUGCCCUUAAUCUCCUCUCAUCUAAGAGAUUGAGUUGAUCAAAUCGAGCCUGAACCCAAUCUGCCUCAGGAAUCUGCUGCUCCAAUGCUACUCUCAAUGAACCCAUCUCAAUCUCAACUGGUAGCACUACCUCCAUACCAUACACUAAUGAAUAGGGUGUGACCCCUAUAGAGGUGCGAAAAGAAGUCUGAUAAGCCAACAAUGUGAAAGGGAGCUUCUCUGACCAAUCUUGAGAAGUCUCAACCAUCUUUCGCAAGAUCCUCUUAAUAUUCUUAUUCGCGGCCUCUACUGCCCCAUUCGUCUGCGGCCUGUACGCAAACGACCUACGAUGUCAGAUGCCAUAUCUCUAUACUAAGGUGUCAACCUCUGCUCUGAAAUGUACUCCUCUAUCCGAAAUCAGCUCAUGAGGGACUCCGUAACGACAAAUAAUAUGUGAUCUAAUGAAACUGGUGACUUCGGCUGAUGUCAAUCUCGCAUAUGAAGCGGCAUCCACCCACUUGGUGAAGUAAUCGAUGGCGACCAAGAUGAACUCAUGACCACUAGAAGAUUUCGGUGAAGUCUUCCCGAUGAUGUCGAUACCCCAUACUGAAAAUGGUCAUGGUGACGUCAAUGCAUGUAACUCCGAGGGUGGCACGUGAAUAAGAUCUCCGUGUAUCUGACACUCUGGACAUCUCUGAACGAACUGGCAACAAUCCGUCUCCAUAGUCAACUAGAAGUAGCUAGUCCUCAUGAUCUUACGAGCCAACAUAUGUCCUCCCAUAUGUGGUCCGCAGACUCUCGUAUGAACCUCCCUCAUCACUCGAUCGGUCGAGGCGCGGUCUAAACACAAUAAUAGUAUCCCAUCAGGUGAUCGUCGGUACAAUGUCUCACCACAAAUCAUGAAUCGAGCUGCCAACUAUCUCAACGCUCUCUUAUCCUUGGUCGUGACGGCCUUAGGAUAUACACCAAGUGUCAGAAAGUGAUAUAUAUCGUGGUACCAUGGCAAACCAUCAUUUGGCUCUGUAUCAUCAAUCAAACAACAAUAGGUGGGAUUAGAUCUCGACUAAAUCAUCAAAGGGUGAACAAUGGCAUUGACAGGAAUAUCGAUCAUGGAAGCUAGAGCAGUUAAGGCAUCAGCAAACUAGUUCUGCGCUCUAGGCAGAUGUGUGUAUCUCAAAUCAUCAAAUCUCCCGACCAAUAGCUCCAAAUAUGCGUGGUAAGGCCCAAGCUUCACAUCUCUAGUCUUCCACUCGCCCUGAAUCUGUCUCAAUACCAAAUUGGAGUCACCAAACACCUCCAUUUACUAUAUCUCCAACCUUAGCGAAUGUCCCGUGCUCGUCGAUCUCAUCUGGGAAAUAGAGCGUCAUAAGGCUCAUGCGAUCGGGGGAUGAAGGGGCGGUCAAUGCAGAUGUGGAGGUGCCCAGAGGUUCGUCACUCAAAAGUAACUGGCGGAUAAGGCGCUGAAGCUCGGCCUCCUGGGUAAUGCUAAGCCCUCCAAUAAUCCCGUAUGAUUGGGUCGGUGGCUCCGAUGCCCUCACAAAAUAAUCUGCUAGGCUCAUGGUGUACGAGCGAACGGGAUAAUCGAAAGGUGUGUGAGUCAGUCGAGCUCUCACCCGCUCCCUGUGCAGUCGUGCCAUAUAUCUGUAGUCAGCCUCAAUAGGGACGAACUCGAGUCCGAAAGGUACAUCAUGAUCAGGAAUGGUCAUGAACUCGCUAGGCCCAUGCUGACGCCGCUCCAACCCCAUGCCGGGAAGAUAGGACAUGCCCCUCAUCAUAUUAAGCACCACUGUGCUCCCAUGCUGGUCAAAGGACAUAGCCACAAAGUCUCGAUAGAAGUCCUCCAUCUCAAGGGUCUGCACCUCGUCAAAAGUGAACUCGGUCAGCAGUAAGUCGUCGUCGCUAUGGUUGAUCUGGAGCAUUGGCUCAGCAGAAAUAAACAUGUCUCUUACAGACUGUACUGUGACAAUCUGUCCCUCAUGGAUGAAUUUCACUUUUUGAUGAAGUGAAGAAGGCAUGGCUCCGACUCGGUGAAUCCAAGGUUGGCCCAAAAGUAGGUUAAAGGAUGCAAGAAUCCUCAAAACCUGAAAUACGGUGACGAACGUGGUCGGACCUAUUAGGAGCUCAAUCUCAAGUGUACCCAUAACCUCCCUCCAAGUGUUGUCAUACGCUCGAACGGUCUGAGUGGAGGGAUCGAAAUCAGAGGGUGCAUAUCCAAGAGCGAUGGCGGUGGCCAGAGGACAGACGUUUAGGGCCGAGCCAUUGUCCAGAAGGACAAAUGGAACUCGGCGACCUGAACAACCAAUAGAAAUGUAGAGAGGACGUGUGUGGUCUGAGCUCUCCGAUGGCAAGUCAUCGUCAGAAAAUAUGAUGCAAGUGGCUCUGCCAACCAUCAUCAUGUGAAUCAGUUCCUCAGGGGUGGUCGUAGUAUUGACCCUAAUCUGGCUCAAAGCUCGAGUCAAGGCAUCUAGAUGAGUACUGGAAGAUGCUAGCAAACUCCAGAUGGAAAUACGAGCCUGAGUGCUCUGCCUCAAAAUCUCAUCAUCCUCUCUCCUGACCUCCUCCUAGGAUGACGUACCCUCUAAGGGUCUAGCGGCUGCAGGGGGCUGUUGGCGUACCACCUUACCUCCGCAGAUGACAUACUGUACAUCUGAAGUGUGAACAUCAUCGACAUACGGAGUCUGGGAAACAUCAACAUAUUGAGUCUGAACCUAAACAACAUCCAGAAUCAAAAGAAACGGAGUCCGAACACUGUAAUGUGGGAAAGUCAAUGGCUCGAUAAUGGUCGUCUGUACCAAUGUCAUCUCAAGGGUCAGCCUGAAUGGUGUGGACAUCCAAGGGCCCAAAGUCACUCUACCUAUCUCAUGAAUCUCGUCUGACACUAUAGGCUCUGGCUCUGGCUCAUCCCAACUCAACAUGUGGAUGUGAUUGUCAAGCUCAGCGAAGUCGAUGGAGUGCAUGCUAUCGGUCGGAGGAGGAACCGCAUGCGCGGUGUGGGCCGGUAGUGGGUUUUGGGUUACACUCAACUGACCCAAGUGAACCAAACCCUGAUCGAUCAAAUCCUGAACAACAUGCCUCAGAGUUGUGCAUCGAUCAAUCUCAUGUCCAAGCCCCUGAUGAUAGGCACAAUGUAAAUCCAUCCUGAACUGAGGAGGAAGAGGCUGAGGUGGUGGCCUCAGGGUAAGAACAGUCAAUAAUUCGGCCUCUAUGAGCUUCCAAAGAGCCUGGCUCAAUGGCAUGCUUAUCUGGGAGAAUUGUCUUUACGUCCUCAAAGAAAAUGGAGUAGAGGUCUGCUGAGCUCUGGGCUUGUGGUAAGAAGUAACGGGUGUCGCAGUGAAUUGUGCAGCGUAGCAUGGCUGUCUGGUGGCUGUAUAAGAAAUAGGAGGCUUCUCGAUGCCCUGAGUGGUAUAAUAAGGCAGAGCUAGUGUCUGAGGUUGGUAUGUCUAAUCAUAAGUCAGGCGAGGUGCCUGUGGCCUGUACUGCUGAGGCGUGUAAGAUGAACGAGCCUCGGGAAGCUGUGGGAUCGGCUGAUGGCGCCUAGGAGGCCUCUGACUAGAAGAACCAAUGACUCCCACAUCCACUGAUCUCUGUCCUCCAAAAGGUUUCUUCCCCUUGACAUCACUAGGGGAAGAAUCUGCCCACAAACCUCUCGAGAUGCCAUCCUCGACAUCGUAUAAUGCUAAGCCCAGAGAACCAAAAUCUACAAAAGGCACCCUGACCACAUGUCUGGCGAUCCUUGGCCGUAAGCUCUUCAGAACCACCUGUAUAUGAUCUCUAUCUGAUGGUCUAUCCACUAUCUCGGCUAUCUUCUCGUGCCAGCGGGAGAUGAACUAUGAAACAGACUCUUUUGCCCUCUGUCUUAGAGCCUCAAGCUCUCUCCUCAAUACAUCUACGACAGUGUUAAAUGAAAACUGUUGUAGGAACUCUUGGGCCAAGUCGUCCCAUGUCCGGCGUCGUGAGGACUCUAAAGAUGCGAACCAUGGCUGGGACGCCCCACUAAGAGAUAGCGGGAAUAAAGUGAUCAUCUGAGGCUUGUCCAAUCCAUGAGCCCUCAUCACUGUGCUAUAGAGUCGGAGGUGAAUGCAAGGACAACCAAUACUUAUGUACCUCUCAAUAUCCGACAUCCUGAACUUAGCCGGCAAACUGGCUACCGGCAUACCCUCAAGAUCAUCCCAAACAACGGAGCCAUCAAAUACCCUCAUCUGUCUCAUGUGCUACUCAAUACGGUCCAUGCGCGCAUGAGCGUCGCCAACAAUAGUGGCCUGGAUGACUGCGGGCGGAACAACCUCAGAAUGACUGUGUAGCACAUAAGGUGAAGCUUGAGGCACCGAAGGAACAGGUGGUGGCGGUGGAGGUGGCAACGAGUCAUGCAGCGUCUCAUCCUAAACUAUGGGCGGUCUACUUUGCUGACUGCCUAUCUCCUGCCUAAGACUGGCCAAGGCCUCCUGAAUAGAAGCCAUGGUGGCCAUAAAUUGGUCAACUGUGACGACCUGCUGAUCCAUGUCUAAUAUCUCUGAAAAUCGGACUAAUCUCCCCUCUACUCUGACCCAAUGAGGUAAGUCUAGAUUGAUAAGAAAGGUCUGAUCCUGAAAGUCUCCUCAUUUGCUCUGAUCCACGAAGCUAUAUCCAGGCUGAGAACAAAGGUCUGAUCCUACAAAGCACGAAGAACGUAAUAAGGAUACGACUCAGAGAAAGCAUGGAAGAAGUGGUAAUCUGAACGGAAACAAGUAAGCAUCCAAGUGAAGACGGACUGUCCGACCGUACUCAAACUCGUCCUGAUCUCGAUACACUCUCAAUCGGAGACUAAAAAGAGGGAAAAUCGGAUCCAAAUUAUAGCUAUAGAGGCUCUGAAGGCCCUUAGAUGCACCCACGUGUAAGGAGGGAGUCCUAGUCGAAGGAUCUACGGCUCAACCUACAAGGUAGAAGUGACUUUAAGAGGAUAAGGGUGGACUUUAAAAAAUCCCUAGCAGAAGCGAUCAUACCUUCCGGCGGUAUGCAACCCUCUGUACGCCUCAAAAGAAACGGGACGCUUCCAUGCAAGGUGGUUAUCACCUCCACACAUGCACUACCUCGACAUCUUAGGGGGGUUUCCUAUGGUAGAACUUCUCAAACUCUCAACACUCAAUGGUCAACUAGAGUGCACAGUGUGCUGUGUGGGUGCAUCUGAAAACCCUAUGAAGCUAAAAUGAAAAGGGAGACACUGGCCGCACAAAUAUCCAUGAAAUCUAGCUCCGAGCUAAACAAGUCUUCAAUGAUCGGACUCCAAUCGUCAUCAAUGUGUCGCUCUCUUCCAGAAUACUCCCAAACAUCGGUAUAGCCUGUCGCUGGACCCUACUCCUAACCUUUAGCUCAGUCAGAAUACAAGCACACACAAGGCCUCACACUUGCAAAAGUGAGAACCAAAAUAAAGGAAAUGACCGAAACCAGAGGGUGGGAGGUAAGAGGAUAAAUGUGCUACCCACACAAACAAGUGACAUGCAAUCAUGCAGAGAAGGGCAGUCAUGCGACAUGUAAUCAGGCAGAGUACAGGAUAUAUCACUCAUGUGCACAUACAAGCUAUGACAAUAAAAUGAAUAGUGAUAAAAACAGUAUGCUCAAGGAUGAUCAAGAUAAUAUACAAACAAAUGGAUCAACGUGUCGAGUCAAAUAAUAUACAGUGGCAAGUGUAUGCAUGUGAGGUGAUCAGGGUAAUCAUGGCAAAAUCAGAGUAUAUAUGCUAAGCAAUACAAGAUGAUCAAUCAGUAUAAUCAACAAUGUCGAUGUCUCAAACAAUAUAGCAAUGAAUCACAAAAGGAAUAGCUAUCUCAGAAUCCUCAAUCAAGACAAAUCAGUCAUCAUAAUCAGCAUAUCAACAUCUCAAACGGAUACAAUAUACGAGCAUGCAUAAAAAACUCUCAAUGUGCAAUCAAGAGAUGGGCAUCCAUUGAUCGGCCAAUCAAAUGCCACGUUCGCUUCAUCCUAGGUUCAAGCUUGACCCUCUAAAUCUUCCCCAGUGGAGUCGCUAUUUUAUGGACCCCGCAUUUCAACUCAUGCGUUCCCUACUUGGUGGCGAAACUCACUUUUAAUUUUAUUCGGUGAAAAUUUGAUUUUUGGGGAAAAGACUUGGAGUCGCCAUUUUGUGAACCCCGCAUUUCGACUCAUGCGUUCCCCACUCGGUGGAGAAACUCACUUUUAAUUUUAUUCUGUGAAAAUUUGAUUUUUGGGGAAAAGACUUAGAGUCGCCACUUACUUUUGUUUUAUUUUUAAAAGGGAAAACAAAAUAAGAAAGAAAACCUUGAGUGUGACUCCUCAUUUUGGAAAAGAUGGUCUUGGAAAAACCGGAUCGGGCUCGGGGGUCAGAUUACUUAUCGGGAAGGUAUGGUAAAGACCGUAGCACCCUUCUAAGUCCCUAAAGUCAGGUCUCUACUAAUAGAAUGAAGCCAACAUGGCAAUCAAUAAGAAAGUCAAUGGAUACCUAAGUCAAAUCAUGCACAUAUGGGAAUCGAAACAUGCAUAGAGAAUGAUCCGAAUGAAAGUGUAUGCGUACUUGGGUCACGAGCCACAAUGCGCUGUAUCUGCUCCUCUUAGUGCGAUCUUCUCCGUGCGUUUUUCCCUAUCCCUUCACUAGCUCUCUCUGGUAUCAUUUUUCCUCUUUUUUUUUAGCUUGCUCUCUAAGCCAACGAAAACCUCACUCUGUCACCUUUCACUCAGUCGUCCUCCCUAUCCCAUCUUGUCACCCCAUGCCGCCUUCAUUUCGGGUUCGUCAAAAGAGUAAUCAUAAUAAAAUGGCCAAAUUUCUCAUCUCUCAGGAAGGGGUCUACAAUAUGCCAUAUUUAUCAUCUAAAUUAUGUACUUUUUUGAAUAGUAAUUACAUGUUACACUAGGUAGAAUCAUGUUAACAUAUUAAAUGGAUUAGAAUUGUGUUAAUUGGUUUAAUGAAUGUUAAUAGGUUUAAUAGGUUAGAAUCAAAUUAACGGGGGUUACCUAUAUCAAUUCAUAUAGAGGUCAACUUAACCUAUUUAUUAAAUUAGUUAUGUUUAUAUCAAGUCAUUUUAACAUGAUGUUUAAACAAAUCAUAUUCCAAUUGAGUAAACUUUCACUAGUUUUUAUCUUGAUACAAUACAAAUCUAACAUAAUAUGACCCAUUGUCACCCUAGUUAAGGAGCAUAAGAGUGUUGCAUCAAGGAAGUGGAAGAAAAGCAUAGUGAUAUAAAACUUUAGGGAGUGGAAGCAUUUAAUCAAGUAAAGUUGUGUAACUUUUUUUUUUUUUCAUAAGUAGUGGAUUAUUCAAUUGUCAAGAGACCAACCAUAGUUUUUUUUUUUAUACCUAGGGAUUUCUAGGUGCUUUCCACAUUAAACUCUAUGUCAAAUUGUGUAAUCGGAAAUCUCAUGCAUGAGAUUGAUAAGAUAUUGAUGAUAAUUGAGUUGGAAUAAAAUAAUUUAACUUUGAGGGGUUAAUUGCUUGGAUUACCUAUUUACCCCUCCUUCAAGAAGUUCCAUAUCAAGAAAAAAAUUAUUUCAACAUAUAUAUAGAUAUUUUAUAUUUUCUAAUUUUAAAUUAAUUUUUAUGUUGGGAAAUUGAAUGAGGGAAUAGUUGGCUCAAUUUUUCAAGCUUGGCAAAAAAAUUUGUUGUUAACAUGUUAUUUUACCUUAUUUUAUACAUUUUUUUUGGAAUAAAAAUAUAUAAUCAACUACUCUUGUAUGAUUGAUUUAGAUGUUAGAAAAGGUUACAACCAUUAAUUCUAUUAAUUGACCAACAAUUUUUUAUAAACUUUAAGUUGCUAGCAUUCAUAUAUUAUCCUAAAAUUAUUAAUUAUAAUUUUAUUUAAGUUGAACCACAAAUCUUGGGUAAAUGAUGAAGUAUUUGUUAACAAGAUACUUGUUUAAUUAUAUUGGAAGUUUUUAGUUUGAUUUGUUGUUGUUGAAUUCAAAUUCCUAGAAGCUAGCUUUGAGGACUAGAUAGUUGUCUUGGUUUUUGUUAUAAGUUUGAUUUUUAUAUUGUUUUCAAACAUGAUGUGUAAAAUGUUAAUGGUAAUGAUGUUGAAACAUAGCUAAUGCUACUAGAAGAAUGUUGUAAAGAGUGCCUUUGGUGAGUUGGAUCGGGGGGGAAAGCUCCAUGACAAGCUCCAUUUAUUACAAAGGAUUCCUUCACAAACUCUCUUUGUAUGUUAUUAAGUUGUGAGUAGAAUUAUUGAAGUUGUAUAAACAAGUGGCAAUCUUGAUACGUCAUAAUGACACCAUUCGAAAAUUAUAUAAAUCUUAGCAGGUCUAAAGGUAUUUGUAAAACACAUUUGUAUUGCCUAAUUAUGGUCUUAUUGGAGAAUGAGUUAUUAUCAAUUUCAUGGAACAAAACUUUCAUUAGUCAAUAUUAUUUGAAGGUGAAAUCUUACUCAUAAAAUUUUUCAAUUAAAUUUAAAAGUUAAAAUUAUAAAGUAGAGAGUUAAAAUAACCAUUGAGCAUAGUUUAAAAUUUGAAUAUAAUGUGUUUAUUAUUGUAAUUCAAGCCCAAUAUUUAUUAUUUAUUAUUAAAAAUAUAAUUUAUAUUUAAGAUAAUUUAGCACAUUUGAACAAUGCUUUGAGAAUAAGAUUGGAGCAUCUAAUUUGACUAAUUGGAUAGCAAAUCAAACUAAUCCAAUCUUAUUUUUCAUAUUUUUCCACCUUCAAUUUUAAGAUAAAUAUGAACAAAAGUCUUUAUAUGAUUAUAACAAUAUAAACAAUAUAAACACUAAAAUAAUUAGUUUAACAUUAAAUAACAAAAAUCUUAUUUUAGUCUUCGACAUAUUGCUAUAUAAGUUAAAUAUAUAUGUUAGUAAAAUAAGAAAUAUUAAUAUAUUUAAAAUAUUAAAUAAUAAAAUCACAUUUUUUUGUUAUUAUUAAUAUUUAAUUAAUACAUUCUAAUUAAAUCUAAAAUAAAAACUUUACACAAAUUAGUAUAAAACCAAAUAUGAUCACCAUAAACCAACCUCAAUUAAAAAUACUUAAAUAUAUAAAAGUCAAAGUAAAUAAAUGAGAAAUAAUGCUAAAAGAUAUAUAUAUAUAUAUAUAUAUAUAUAUAUAUAUAUAUAUAUAUAUAUAUAUAUAUAUAUAUAUAUUAUUUUUAACUCCAUAUAUUAUUUUAAAUUUUAAUAAUAUAUGAAUUAUAUAUGCAUAUUGCCUUGCUGAUAUCAUGUUUCAAUUACUUGAACCAUCAGUUCAAUUAAGAAAGUUUAAUGCAAUAAUUUUUCGAUUCAAUAAUUAAUUAAUAAGAUUUUCAAAAUAUUGUAUUUGAAAACUCAUCACAAAAAAUGAAUAAAAAAGAUCAUGAAAUUCUUGCAAAGAAAACUUACUUCAUGAAAAUAUGGAAACCCCAAACCUUAAUUUCUUCAAUAAUAUGAAUCAAAAUUCUUAUAUUUAGGCAUCUUAGGAGAGAACCAAUAAUCUCAUCCACAAAUCAAGCAUAGUCAAUAGGCAAUUCUUAUGUUUAGGAGUAAUAUAUACAUACAUACAUAUAUAUACUGUGUAUAGAUGAUGUAUCUUUUGGAAAGUCAUGUAUAUAUUUAAAUGUUGUAAUGUAUAUCUUGCAUAAUAUAGUUUGACCAUUCAUCUAUUCAUUCAUUCAUCUUAUACUCUUGGAAAGAAAAGUAACUUCAUGAAAAUAUGGAAAUCUCAAACCUUAAUUUCUUCAAUGAUGCUUAUUAAAAUUUUUGCAAUAAAAAGUUGUGUAAUUGAGGACACUAAUGAUGCAAGGUUACAACUAGUCACUCCUAACCAGACUUAUUCUUAUACAUAUUUCCAUCUUCAUCUCAAGUCUGGGAGUCUACCUUUCCAUUUUAAGAAAAUUAAUUAUUCUUUUUAUUUUACAUGUAUUGAAAAAAGUAAAAGAAAAAAUAAGAUUGAGCAAUAUGAACCAAUCAAUCUUGACAUAUAUGUGAGAAGAUAAUUUAAAAGUGUAUUUGAUAGUGUUUAAUUUUGAAGUGUUUUUAAUUUUAAUAAAAGUAUUUUCUUUAGAAGUGAUUUUGAGAUAAUUACCUAUUAAAAGUGCAUUUGAUAAUGAUUUUAAAAUAGUGUUUUUAGUUUUUUAAUACUUGAAAAAUAAAAAUUUUCAAAUAUUAAAAAGAAUAAAAAUAUUUCCUAAAAUUAUUGUUAGACGCACUUUAAAACCCCGUUUAGCAGUGAUUUUAGGAAGUGUUUCUAAACUUUUUAGUACUUUAAAAUUUGUAUUAUUUAAGUGUUAGAAAUACUAGAAACGUUUUCUAAAAUCACCAUAAAAUGUAUUCUAAGAGUGUGUGUGAUAGUGAUCCUUGGAAAUGUUUUUAACAUUUUUAAUACUUAAAUGAUAAUAAUUUUCAAAUGUUAAAAGGUUAUAAACACUUCUUAAAAUUACUAUAAAACGGGUUCUAAGUGUUUCUUCAAAAAACACCACAAAUGAUUUUUUUAUCUGUUUAAAAGUGUUUUCUAAAUUUUAUUAAAUACUUAUUUUUCUCCAAAAAUAUUUUUUAAGGUAGAAGUGCUUUUUUAAAAAUAAUAUCAAAUGGACGUGUAAGUCUUAAAAUAAAAUCCCUUGAUUUAAUUAUACUUUUCAAAUCCAUCCUAUAAGCCUAAGCAUUCUUGAAAUACCCACCCCUGUUAUAAUACAAAAGCAAACCACCACUAAGGAUAUUUAAACAACAUUUUAAAGACAAUCGGAACCUAUCAAUGAGACUUUGUCUCAUAAUACAAAUUUCGUUAUGUUCACAUGUAGAAAGGGACAAAUAAUACAUAAAAACUAAAAAUCAUAUACAAUAGAAAGCUUGGAAUCAAGAGGGAAGAGAGCAAAGUUACGAAGUGGUGGAGCCUUGGUAAAAUAAAAUUAACAACGGCAUUUUCAUGUGCGUGUCUCAUCGCUGGAUGGACCGAAUUUUGCUUCUCCCAAAACUCUUUAAAUAUUGGGAGAAUUGUGUUUUGGCCCAAUUGUCCCAAAAAUUAAUAUUUGGUCCUCCAAUCAUCCAUAAUUGAUAAUAAGGAUAUGAGAUAGUAAUUGACAAAAAUACCCGCUUGACUCAUUUUUGUCUUUAUUCUACUACUUGUCACUAUUCUUUCUUAUUUAACUAUUUUUGGAUUUUCAUUUUUUUAAAACUCUUUUAUAAAUAAUUGAAAAUUUAAUAUUAUUUUUAUUUUUAAAUUAUAAAUAAAAAAAAAUUAUAUUAAUGAUUCAAAGACUAUUUAGGAAAAUACUUUCUAAAAAAAUAUUAAUUUAAAUAAAUAAAAAUUAUCUUUUACAUUUAUUUUUAUAGUUUACAUUUUAGAAGUAAAUAAUUUAAUGAUUAAAAUACCAUUUAAAAUAAAUAUAUUUACUAUUUUAAUUUUUUUUAUACUAAAAAGUAUUUUAAAGUUUUUUUUUUUUACUAUUAUAAAAUAAAAAGUUCAUUUUUUUUUUAAUCUUCUUUCUUCCUUAUUUUAAUAACUUUUUGAACAUGACUUUUAGUAAUAAGUUAUAUGGAAUGCUACAAAUUUGUUUAUUAAGGAUUUUUUUUUAAUGAUUUGAAUUAAUUGAAAAUUUAUUAAAAUAAGAAAAAGAAAAAUAAAGAAAGAGGAUUGAUGGAGAGUUUUUAUUUUAAGUACUCGAUUAAAAGAGGAUGGACGUAGAGUUUUUAUUUUAAGUAUUCAAUUAAAAUGUUUUCAUAUGACCUACUUUUAGAAGUGGAUUAUAUCAAUACAUAGUAGAGAUUGAAUUUUUUUUUUUAUAUAUAAAAGGGUUGAAAGGUAUAUUUACUUGUUUUAGAUGAAAACAAGUAACUAAAAAUUAUAUAGAUCAUAUUUGAGUUUGGUUUUAAAAUAUUUUUCUAGUUUUUAUUUUAAUUUAUUUUUAUUUUCUAUAUUGUCUCUUUUUGAAAAUAUGUUAAUUAAAAAAUGAAAACUAUUUUUAAAAAUGAAAAUUGAAAACCUUGUUUGGUAAUUUUUUUUUAUAUAAAAAAAAUUAUUUAUUAAUUUAUUGUGUCAUUGUACAAUUGUAUUACAAUAACUGUACUAAAGACGUACAAGACUACCAUUUAUGAAAUAUUAUAAUAGAUUAUGAGUCAUUCCUUUGUUUUUCUACAUGGACACAUAACUUAAGAGGGAUAUGAAAUUUGUGUCAUUGUACAAGGGUAUUACACUAACUGUACAAAGGAAAUGUACUAAUUGUACAAAGGUGUACAAAAUCAUCUUUUGUGAAUUAUUUUAAUAAAUUCUAAACCACUUUUUUUUUCCUUGUCACCCAAGGAUUGUAUGCCUAUGUCAUGCAUUUUAUUUAACUCUCAUAUGAGAAUUCUAAUAUUUUCCCUAAUAAUGAUAUUUGGGGAAAAAAUUGACCCUAAGUCCUCUACCAUUUUCUUAACCAAACAAUUGAAAAUAUGAUUAAUACACCUACAUAAACAUAUAAGUUAUGACAAAUAUGAAAUUUGUGUCAUUGUACAAGGAUAUUACACUAAUUGUACAAGGGAAAUGUGCUAAGUGUACAAGGCUCCUAAUAGGUUUUGUACGAUUGUUAAACAACUUGAAUUUGAUAUUAAGACGAUUAUUGAUAGUUUUUUUUUUCUUUUUUUUAUCAAACUAUUUCAUUUAGACAUUCCCUACAAAAAUUAACACAUAGGAAAUAAAAUUAAAAUCAAUCAUGUUUGAAUUGUUCAUUAUAAGUAAACUAAAUGAAAUAUACAUUUUUACUAUUUUUCCUUUAUAAACAUAAUUUCUUUGUUAUCAAUAGAGAUUAAAAAAAAUCAUAUUUAAAUGGAAUUAAAAAUAAACAAAAAUUAUUUUUAUAACAUUUUUAUUUUUUAAAAUCAUUAAUUUAAAUUAUGAAAUUAGUUUUAAAAUUAAAAAUACUUGUUGUAAUUAUAGUUUUGAAGAUUUCAUGAUUUUUAUCUUAUUACUUUGAAAAAAUUGUUUUAAUAAGAAAGUAUUUAUUUUAAUUAUUUUAAAUAUUUAAAUCUUUAUUAAAAAAUAUUUAGAAUUGGUGUGGAGAGCAAUUAGAUAAUUUUGGAAAGGAGAAAUUUUGAAUAUUUUGAAGAAUUUAAUUCGGCAAAUUACCAUAUUUACACUUUUUAAAAUAUUUUGGAAUGGAGAAAUUUUGAAUAUUUUGAGAGCAUAGUUCAAAGAAUUGAAAGAUUUUAAUCAAUUUUAGACAAUAGUUUUUUUUUUUGUCUUGUCAUCUAAGGAUUGCACACUCUUAAGGUACACAUUCCUCUAUUACACACUCAUCUUAUGCACUUUAUUUAACUCGCACAUGAUAAUUCAAAUACUUAUCCCACUAAUGAUGUUUGAAAGAAAAUUUUGUUUUUCCAUUUUCCACUAUUUUUUGAAACAAACCAAUGAAAACAUGGUUAACCUACCUAUGGUUAUACAUUGAGUAGCAGGUAUAUGGAAUUUGAGUCACUGUACAAGGUAUUUACACUAAGUGUACAUGAAAAAUUUACUAACUGUACAAGAGUGUACAAGAUUAUUAUUUGUGAAGGAUUUUAAGUGAUUCUGAAAAAUUUGUUUGUUUAUUUCCCCUAACCGAGGAUAAAUGACAUUCAUUACACACAUUAAUUAAGCAUACAUUCAUCUCAUGCGCUUUAUCUAAUUUGUAUAUGGUUAUUUGAAUAGGUACCUCACUUAUGAUGAUUGUAAAACAAAAUUCUACAACAAUUUUUCUUCUUUUUUAAAACCAAACCAAUGCAAACAUGGUUAACUGACCUAUUGUCAGAUAUUCAUGAGAUAAUCUAUGAAAUUUAAGUUAUUGUACAAGGGUAUUACACUAACUGUACAAGACAAAUUUACUAAUUGUACAAGGGUGUACAAGAUUACUUUUUGUUAAGGAUUUCAAGUGAUUUUGAAAAACUUUCAUAUUUUUUUCCACUCAAAGAUUUUUUUCCCCACUCAAAUUCUCUCACUCAAGAAUUGUUUCGAAUUUUAUUUUUAAAUUUCAUCAUCAAAAUUUUGUAAUUGCAUAUUUUGUUUUUGUAGUUUUAGCAAUGUUCUUUCUUUUCACUUUUUUUUUUUUUUUUUUUUUUUUUGUGAAAUUUUAUCGAAAUGAAUCUAGAUUUAAAAUUAUAAUCAUAUUUAUCAAUUUUUUUUACUAAGAUUAUCUUUAAUUCUUUUAAUAUAUUUAUACUCAUUUAUUUAAAAAAGGAAAAACUAAUUUUUUUUUUUUUUUUUUGUAAACAUAUUCUAUUACCUUUCAAGUAAAAAAUUAGAUAAGUUUGAAAGUCAACAAAAAAAAAUUAAAUACCACUUUCAAUAAUUUUUAGAUAAAAUUUUAUAUAAUAUAUUUUAUUUGAAAUUUAAUUUUUAAAGUUUAACUAAAAAAUUAUAUUGACAAUUUUCUAGUUAUGAGUCAAAAUACUUUGCAUUAGUAUAUCUAUAUAAGAAAAAUUAUUAAUAUAAUAUUAUAACCUCAUAUCUUAGUUAUUUUUUUUCAAUAAAUUUAUCUUUUUAAAAAUUUUAAAAUAAAAACAUUAAAAAUUAAAAAGCUAAAAAGAUAUAUAUAUAUAUAUAUAUAUAUAUAUAUAUAUAUAUAUAUAUAUAUAUAUAUAUAUAUAAUAAAGUGAAGUGAUAGUUAAUUUUAAUUUUUUUUUAAAUAUGGUUAAUGUAGAAAAUAUAAAAAUAAUUAAAAAUAAGAGAAAAAUAUAAAUGAAAGGGUAAUAUAAUUUUAAAAUAAAUAAUAAUAAUUAAACUAAAAGAUAAAUAUAAAAAGAUAAAAAAUAUUUGGAUGAAAAAUCCCAAAAUUUUUAUCAUUGCUUUUAAUAAGAGCAAAAAGAUUGAAUAUCUUUAAAAAUGAAAAAUAAAAAAAUAUUAUUACUUUUUAUUUGACAUAAAAUAGAAAUAUAUAUUGGAAUAAAAAGAAAAAAAAAGUUAGAAAUGAGUAAUACUUAAUAGGGAAUAGAAAAGGAAAAAAAACAUAAAAAAAAUUGAAAUUCACACUCACUUGUAGACAUAUAAGGGAUAAGGGUAUUUUAGGAAUUAAUGAAAGACAAUAUCCUUCAUCUUAAUUUUCAUACUUUGUUUGAGUCUUGGGUUUAAAUAUGCAUGAUAUAUGGACUAAAUGUUAAUUUUUGAUCCCAGCUGGCCCAAAAUACAAUUCUCCCUUAAAUAUUAUAAUUAGAGCCCACUUGAUGCUUAGAAAAAUACAUUUGCAAGUGAUCUCCAUCUGUCAAUCAAUUAAUCUAUACAAUAUUAAAAAUUCACUUCUUGUUGAUUUAGCAAAAUCACUUUGUUGGGGGUGGCCUGUCUCCGAUGUUACUCAAGUUUCAACUCUGGACUUUUCAAAUUAACAAAGUGCAGUGAUUCAUCUUUCUUCUUUGUUCCAUUUUUGGCUGAAUUGUAAUCCUUUUGUCUGUAACUUACGGAAAGCUAUGGAGUUUCUGAGCUCGAUCGUGGGUCUGGUCCCCUGCUUCUAUGAUCACACCUCCAAGCAUACGGUCUACAUUCGUGAUCUGAGAAAAAAUCUCCAAGCCUUGAGGAAAGAAAUGGUGGAUCUGAACAACUUGUACGAAGAUAUGAAGGCAAGGGUUGAACGUGCAGAGCAACAAGAGAUGAAGCGCAGAAAGGAAGUGGGUGGGCGGAUCUGUGAAGUAGAAGACAUGGAGAAAGAAGUUCACGAAAUUCUGCAAAGAGGAGAUCAAGAAAUCCAGAAGAGUUGUCUAGGAUGCUGUCCCAGGAAUUGUUGGUCUAGCUACAGGAUUGGAAAGGCGGUAAGUGAAAAGCUGGUUGCUGUAUCUGGUCAAAUCGGCAAAGGACAUUUCGAUGUUGUAGCCGAGAUGUUGCCUCGUCCUCCAGUUGAUGAACUGCCCAUGGAGGCGACUGUGGGCCCACAAUUGGCAUAUGAAAAGAGCUGUAGGUUUCUCAAAGAUCCACAAGUGGGAAUUAUGGGAUUGUAUGGAAUGGGGGGUGUUGGCAAAACCACCCUCUUGAAGAAAAUCAACAAUGAAUUCCUCACAACAUCCAAUGACUUUGAGGUCGUGAUUUGGGCUGUGGUGUCAAAAUCGCCCGACAUUGAAAAAAUUCAGCAAGUUAUUUGGAAUAAAUUGGAAAUCCCACGUGAUAAAUGGGAAACUAGAAGCAGUAGGGAGGAGAAGGCUGCAGAAAUAUUGAGAGUUUUGAAAAGAAAAAGGUUCAUCUUGUUGUUGGAUGACAUUUGGGAGGGACUUGAUCUCCUAGAAAUGGGGGUCCCGCGUCCAGAUACUGAAAAUAAGUCCAAGAUAGUUUUGACGACCCGAUCACAGGAUGUCUGCCACCAAAUGAAAGCUCAGAAGAGUAUAGAAGUGGAAUGUUUGGAGUCAGAAGAUGCCUGGACUUUGUUCCGGAAGGAGGUAGGAGAAGAAAUAUUAAAUUCUCAUCCGGAUAUACCGAUGCUUGCAAAGGUUGUUGCUGAAGAGUGCAGAGGUUUACCUCUCGCUCUUGUCACUCUUGGGCGGGCCAUGGCAGCUGAGAAAGAUCCCUCAAACUGGGACAAGGUAAUACAAGAUCUACGCAAAUCUCCAGCUGAAAUCACAGGUAUGGAAGAUAAAUUGUUUCAUCGAUUGAAACUCAGUUAUGAUAGGUUGCCUGACAAUGCCAGCAAAUCUUGUUUUAUAUAUCAUUCCAUCUUCCGAGAGGACUGGGAGAUUUAUAAUUAUCAACUUAUAGAACUUUGGAUAGGGGAGGGGUUCUUGGGUGAAGUUCACGACAUACAUGAAGCACGGGAUCAAGGGAAGAAAAUUAUUAAUACUUUAAAGCAUGCAUGUUUAUUGGAGAGCUGUGGUUCGAAAGAAUAUAGGGUUAAGAUACAUGAUGUGAUCCGUGACAUGGCUUUAUGGUUAUAUGGUGAACAUGGGGUGAAAAAGAACAAAAUUCUAGUAUACAAUAAAGUUGCUAGGCUUGAUGAAGAUCAAGAAACUUCCAAAUUGAGAGAAACAGAGAAGAUAUCAUUAUGGGAUAUGGAUGUUGGGAAGUUCCCAGAAACAUUGGUGUGCCCCAAUCUUAAGACUUUAUUUGUGAAAAAAUGUCAUAAUUUGAAGAAAUUUCCAAAUGGAUUCUUUCAAUUCAUGCUUCUACUUAGAGUUCUGGAUUUGUCAGACAAUGAUAAUUUAAGCGAGUUGCCAACUGGGAUUGGUAAAUUGGGUGCCUUGAGGUAUCUUAAUUUGUCAUACACAAGAAUAAGGGAGUUGCCCAUUGAACUAAAGAAUUUGAAAAAUCUGAUGAUUUUGAUUAUGGAUGGUAUGAAAUCCCUUGAAAUUAUUCCACAAGAUAUGAUAUCAAGCCUUAUAUCCUUGAAGUUGUUCUCCAUUUAUGAAUCCAAUAUUACAAGUGGAGUUGAAGAAACUGUACUGGAGGAGUUGGAGUCCUUGAAUGACAUCAGUGAGAUAUCAAUCAUCAUAUGCAAUGCUCUUUCAUUCAACAAACUAAAGAGUAGUCAUAAAUUACAAAGGUGCAUAUGUCAUCUAUAUUUACAUAAAUGGGGGGAUGUGAUCUCACUUGAACUGCCUUCUUCAUUUUUUAAAAGAACGGAGCAUUUGCAGCAGCUUAAUAUAAGCCAUUGCAAUAAAUUGAAAGAAGUGAAAAUUAAUGUGGAAAGAGAAGGGAUACACAAUGGUAUGACUCUUCCAAACAAAAUUGCAGCAAGGGAGGAAUACUUCCACACCCUUCAUCGUGUGGUUAUAAUUCAUUGUUCAAAAUUGUUAGACUUAACAUGGCUUGUUUAUGCUCCAUAUCUUGAAGGACUUUACGUUGAAGAUUGUGAAUCAAUAGAAGAAGUGAUACGUGAUGAUAGUGAAGUCUGUGAAAUUAAGGAAAAAUUGGACAUAUUCUCAAGGCUCAAACACCUCGAGCUCAAUAGGCUGCCAAGAUUGAAGAGCAUCUACCAGCAUCCACUACUCUUUCCCUCUCUUGAAAUCAUCAAGGUGUGUGAAUGCAAAGGUUUGAGGAGCCUCCCAUUUGAUUCCAACACUUCAAAUAAUAGUCUAAAGAAAAUUAAAGGAGAGACAAGUUGGUGGAAUCAGUUGAAGUGGAAAGAUGAAACUAUCAAGCACUCUUUUACUCCAUAUUUCCAAAUCCGUGAAGCUGAAGCAUAUUCAACAGACACUGGCAGCAUAGAUGAUAUGCAGGAACAACCAGUAUCAAAUUAACUUCUAUCAAUCUUUCAGGUAUUAAUUAACUUUUAUACUAUAUUUGGAAAACCCUUUUCUUUCCUUAAUCCCAUUCUUUUGUGGAAUUUUUUACUCUAUCUAUGCCAAAGUGCAUCAAAGUCUCAACAUCAAAAUAACUUUCAAUGUUUGAUCUAUCAAGUUUGCCCCUUUUGAAGUAACUGUUAUAAAGUUUGCCCAGAAGGGACUUUGAAGGAGGUCUUUUAUUUAAACAUCUAAUGACAUUUCCUUUUGGUUACUUGAGAACUUGAAAAUAUGCAAAGUUCUCAACUAUAUUAUUUAUCAUGUCUUAAUUUUUUCGAUUCAUUUCAAUCUAUAAACAGAAAGAGAGAAUACCUAAUUUCAACUUAAUUCCUUAUAUUUCAAGUUGAACCAACAGGUGUUUCACAACUGUAGGUAAAGAUAUUCCAUUAAGAAUUCUCGCUUUGUUUAAUGUAUUUACCAGGACCAACCAUAUGUAAAUUCUCUUCUUUUGUUGAGUUGCCUCUAUCUGGUUGAUUCUCAGUUGGUUUUUUUUUUCUUUUCUUUUUUCUAUUGCAUUCAGAGUUGGGGCUUGUUCUAGAAGUUCUGACAACAGCUGGGAUUCAAUUAGCUCUCUCUAGUGGAGCCUUGAGUUUUUUGGUUGGUUGCAGAGUAGGGUCUUGUUCUACCCGUCCUUACUCAGUUGGGAUCUGAGCUUCUUCGGCUGCUUCCGUUUCGUCUUGCUCUUUUUCCUUCUAAUUAGUAUAGACGUGAGCUGGAUUAUGUUUGCUUGCUGGUCUGAGUUUCUGAUAUGUUUUGUGGCGGUGUGCUGAUUCUCAGAGUAUCGUUAUUCAUGGUGCUCAGUCUGCUGGGAAAGUUGGUUAAUGUCCAGAUGCAGGGGCUCAUCUCAGCAGGCUUUGGUUGGGAUCCAUGUGUUUGCUGGAAUUGGAUUCUGUGGGUUGCCGUUGGAUUUUGAUGUAGGCCGGGUUUGUUUUCUUUGUUGAGGCUGGUGGAGUAUGGUGGCUCAGAAGCUGCUAGUAAUCUGUCUGUUGUAUGCUGACGCUGGAAUCUUCAUGGUGGUUGCUCUGGUGGGUCAAUAUGAUAUGGGAAUGCUUUUGCCUUUUGAGUCCUUGGGCGUCAGCUGGUUGCUUGUGUUUCCUCUGCGCUUUAGUUCACAUACCAGAGUGCAUACUUCCUUGAGUUCCAUAUCCCACUGCCAAGUGUGUUGUCCAUGAUGUAAUGUAAAGUAGUUAAUUUGUAUACUUGGCCUUCAGUUCCCUUCUAGAAAACUUUGAACGCCCUUUAUGAAUGAAAUGUUGUGAGAAAAACUGGAGUUGAUUUUCACAUUUGAGGUCGUUAAUGGUGAUUUUUCUUAAUGUAAUUGUGAUUGAAAAGAAAUUUGAUCAAGGAGUUGAAACUAUAAGCAGAGUCGAUCUUAUUCAACAUUGCAUUAUAAUUUGGUACCCCUCACAGAUCGCUCCAAAUAUCAUUGAAAAGUACUUUCAUUUUCCUUCAGUGGAGGCUUCUUUUUCUUUGCUGGUUAAUAUUCAUAGCUUCAGUGCUUGAUGAAAUUUCGUUACUUUACAUUGUUCACUCUUGUCCCUCCUGCUCUAAUCACAAACAAAUGCUCCAAUAAAUAAGAAUGAUUUGUUCAAGAAAUUUGAAGAUACUUGAACGAUAAAAGAAAAGAAUAGGAGAGAAAGGAAAAGAAAUUCAGAAAGCAAACACUUGGUAGUUUCCAUUUCAAUUAACCGAUCUUUGAAACUAAAAUGUAAUUCUUGGUAGAAUAAAAGAAGACAUGCAACAUCUUAAGAAGAUUCAUCUAAUGGAACAUACAAUGCUACAAUUGGAAACUGAGACUAAACAGUAGUUUUUGGUAGAAUGGAUAUCGCAUGACAAAAAGAAAGUUUUGUAGCUUUGACUGCUUCAAAAUUCUUGUACGUAUAGCCCACAAACCUUUCGAGAUCAUACUUGUUUCUUUAGGCCUAUGAACAUACGGCUCUCACGGAAGAUCUUAUAACUUUAGAAGUUCAUAGUGUCCAUAAAAUCAGAGGAAAAGAAAAGGAUGUAUAGCCAAGUUCAUGAAAAAUAAAGAGAUGGUUUAUUUAAAGUUCACAAGUCUGGGACAUCUAAAACACUUUAAUUGUGUUUGGUUAAGCCUCCAUUUAUGGGGCAAUUCCCAUCAAGUCUAAUGAUUGACCAUCGAUGACUUGAAAAUCGAAGCAUUGGAUGUGCCGCAUGUAGUUGAUGUUGCAUUAUCGAGGGUUGUUAUAUUAUAAAAAGGCAUGAUAAGAUCACGAGUUAUUGACAAAUUACCCGAUCCUAACUUGUCUCAUUUAUAUUAAUUUAUUCUCGUCCAUAUCGUUACAAAAAAUUUUAAAUGAGGAAGGAUGGAUAUGAGAAUUUGUCAUACCUGCCUUAUACCAUUUAUUUAUUUAUUUAGUUUUUUAACAAUUAAAAAUAAACACAUUUUAUAAAUAAAUAAAUAUUAUAAAUUUUAUAACUUAUUUUAUUUAAAAACAUAUAUAUAUUUUAAUUAUUUUAUGUGUUCAAAAGAAGAAAAUGAAAAAACAAUUAAUUAAAUUAUUUUUAAAUUUAGUUAUACAGGUUGGAAAGUGGUGGGUUAGUACAAGGCAUAUCUUGAACCCUGCCCCUAACCAACCCUAGUUUUAAAACAAAAAAAUGUUAAAUACGUAUCUAAUCAGUUUAUCUUCAUUUAAAUAUGUCUUAUUAAAGGUAAGUAUUUGAAAAAACUUGUCUCAUUAUUAUCCUUAAUCAUAAUUUUUUUUAAUUUAAAUUUAUAUACCAACAAACAGUUAAAUUAAAUUAAAAAUUCUUAUGCAAACAAGGGCGAAAAAUUGUGUACCUUCCUUGACAUUCUAGAUCCAGUUUUUGCUGUUUUUGGAGGAUCCACUUGAGGAACAAUUUAAAUUUAUUCACAAAUACAAUUAUUCAAAAAGGCAUUGUACUGAACACAAGCAAAAUAACUACAAAUGUUAAUAGAAAUGGAUGGAAGCAUACAGGUGUAGAGAAUAUAAAAAAGGAUUUUGAAGCCAAAAAUAAAAAAUCAAAAUCAAAAUAAAUAAAAGUAUAUGGUGGUUUAUUAUUGCUCAGGCCUAAUAAUUGAUUGUACAUGUCAAUGGGCCUAAUAUUAUUGCUCUGGCCUUUAUUCUAGAUGUCCAGACCCUGUCACUGCCUGAGUGUGAGGUCAUGGCUCGUUCUCUGUAUAGGUAGGUUCAUACACCUCUAAAACUUGAGUUGGUGGACUACCUUUCCCAGUUCUGAUCUUUCAGAUUCUUUCAUGGGCUUGAGUUGUAGCAUGAGCUUCCCGUUCUCCCCUACCCUGGUCCUAUAGUACUAUUUUUUUUUUUAAACUUGGCCCUAGAUUUUUUUUAGUAUAAAAAGUACUAUUUUGUUGAAUUUAAAAAAAACUCACAGGGAACAUAACCUUUCAAUAAUCCUUUAACCUCUAUCUCUCAAAACUUUCAAAAUCCAUCUUGAAAGUCUCUCUUGACUAAAACAAAUAUUUGAGACUGGCGUUGUAUAUGCUUUAAUAAGGGCUUUGAGGGACUUGCUAAAGAUAUUGAUGACAAUUUUGAGACGAUAAAAUAACACGACUUGAAAAUGAUAUAAAAUUUAAUAGAUUCAGAUUAGGUAUAACAUAUUUAUGUUGUAAUCAUAUCAACUCAUACGACCCGUUUAAUAAAAUGUACGAUUAUCCAACCCCAUAUAGCUUGUUUACUAAUUCAUGCCAAACAAACCAAUUUAUUUAAUCGUAUCAAAAUAAUGUUUAACUCAUAUAAAAUUAUUAAUAUUAUAUAUUUUAAAUUUAUAAAAAAAAAUGCUUAUUAGUUAUAAAUAUGAUAUAGUUAAAAAAUGAAGUAACUAAGUAAAAUUUUAUACAUUUCAUUCUAAAGAUUAAAAUUAUUUUAUCAUUAGAACAUUAGAUAGAAUUAUAAACAAGCCUAAAAUUAAAAUUUUAAUGUAUUUUUAUAUUAUAAACAAUUUCUAAUUUAAAUGUUAUAAUUAAAUUAGUUAAAAUUUUUAAAACUUAAAAUGUAUUUUGAACAAUAGAUUUAUAAAAUUAAAAUUUUAAAUAGGUUAAACAUGUUAAAAUCGUAUUAACAUGUUAAACGAGUUAGAAUCAUAUUAAGCUAACCAUGUUAGAAUUGUAUUAGUAUGUUACACAAGUUCAAAUCGUGUUGACAUAUUAAACGAAUUAGAAUCAUGUUAAUGGGUUUAACGACUAUUAAUAGGUUUCAUAUGUUAGAAUUGUAAUAACAGGUUAUCUAUGUCAAUUUAUACAAAGGUUAACUUAACCUAUCUAUUAAAUUAGUUUUGUUUGAAUUAGGUUAUUUUAACACAAUUCUUAAAUAAAUUGUAUUCCUAUCGAGUAAAUUUUCACUAUUUGUAUCUCAACAUUAUACAAAUCCAACACGUAUAAUAUUACAUAUUGUCACCCCUAACUAAGGAGCAUAUGAGUGUUGCAUCGAGGAAGCAGAAGAGUAUAAAGACUAUUUAUAUAAAAUUUUAGGAAGUAGAAGCAUUCGAUCAAGUAAAGUUGUGUUAACUUUUUUUCAUAGUUAGUGGAUUAUUCAAUAGUCAAGAGACCAACUGUGGUUUUUUACGCCUAAGGAUUUUUAGGUGGGUUCCACAUUAAAUUCUAUAUCUAAUUGUAUAAUUAGAAAUAUCGUGCAUGAGAUUGAUAACAUAUUAGUCAUAAUUGAAUCGGAAUAAAAUAAUUUAUCUUUGGGGUUAAUUGAUUGAACUACCUAUGUAUAUAUAUUUUAUAUUUUCUAACUUUAAAUUAAUUAUUAUGUUGGGAAAUGGAAUAAGGGAAUAGUUGGCUCCAUUUUCAAUCUUGGUAACAUAAUUUGUUGUUGACAUGUUAUUUUAUCUUAUUUGAUAUAUUUUGUAGGAUAAAAAUAUAUAAUCAAGUGCUCUUGUAUGAUUGAUUUAAAUGUUAGAAAAUGUUUUACAAAACAUUAAUUCUAUUUGACUGAUGACAAAAACUUUUAAUUGCCCAACAAUUUUUUAUAAACUUUAAGUUGCUAGCAUUCAUGUGUUAUCAUAAAGUUAUUAAUUAUUUUAUCUAAGUUGAACCAAAAUUCUUGGGUAAAUGAAGAAGUAUUUAUUGACAUACUUGUUUAUAUUAGAAGUUUUUAGUUUGAUUUGUUGUUAAAUUCAAAUUCUUAGUAGCUAGCUUUGAAUACUAGCUAAUUGCAUUGGUUUUUGUUGUAAGUUUGAUUUUUACAUUGUUUUUAGGCAUGAUGUUUAUUAAUUGAAAAUGCUAAUGAUUCGAGAUUAGAAUCAGUCACUCCUUACUAAACUUAUUUUUUUAGGCUAUGUUUGGUAGACCAAAUAUAAUAUAUAAUAGAAUAAGAGAAAAUAUAUUAUAUCAUGUCUCAUCUUUAGUUGAUGAUGAGAUAUGAUAAGUUAUUUCAUUGCUUAUUAUAUCAUAUGUUUAACCAAAUAUGAGAUAUAAGAAGUGAUGAGAUAUAUUAGUCACUCUUUUUUUUUUAAUCUCUUAUACAUAAAAUAUGUCAAUCUCAUACUAAGAUAUAAGAAAUGUAUAUUUCAUAUAUCAUAAAUUUAUUUUUUAUCAAUUUUUUUAUAUAUUUAUUUUGUAAAAUAAUUUUUUUAUUAUAAAAUUAAAUUUAUAGUUAAAAAAAACUAAAAAAAUAUUUAUAAAUAAUAUUAAUAUAUGAUAUAUAGAUUACUUUUAUAUAUUAAAUAACAUAAUAUAAACAUUUUUUAUUUGUAAAAUUUAAAUAUUUUAAUCAUGACUAUUUUUAAACAUAAAAGAAAUUUCAUUUUUUUAAAUGGAAAAUAUUGAAAUGUGAUAUAAUUUUUAUUUUAAACAUUGAAAAUAAUAUAUAUAUCAUAUUAUUUUUAUUCAUUUCAUAAAUUAAAUAUAAAUAUAAUAUAAUAUAUCUCAUUAGAUAUGUCACAUUAGAAUAUCAUAUUCAUAAGAUAUAUAUAUUUAAGGAUAUCAUAUCCUAUUAAAAAUCAUAUUUUAGGAUAUCAUUCUUUUUACCACAAGAGACUUAAACCCAAGUCUAUUUUUAUACCCCUUGAACAAUUACAAGGUUGAACCAUUGGGCUAAGGGCAAUAAUUGCUUUUAAUCGGUAAAAUUUGUAUGUAUACUAUAGUUGCACUGCCUAAUGUAAAGUGUUGGCUCCGCCACUAAGUUGCACCUCAAGCCACCACCAAGUCUCCACAUGAUGCCCUUGUAAGCCUGGAUUAUAACAUUACCUUGGUCAAUAGGCACUUAUGGGUACAUGCUGCAACCCCACGAGACCUUGGUGCCACAUUCUCCAAGUCAAGGUGUUAAUACUCUUCUAUGCUCACAAACUUAAUUUGGUCACCAUUUAUUAACUUAUAAGUCUCUAUAACCAUAAAUAAAAUUUCAAACAUAUUAUUAGAACAAGGCUCUAUAUUUUGGGUUUUGAUAUCCAAUGAGAUAUUAAAUUUUAAGAUAUAUAUAUUUUAUCAAAUUAUAUCCCACCAAUGAAAUGUAAUCUUAGCUUAAAUUUAUUCUCAUUUUUAUUUCUCAUUUUUAUCCAAAAUCCAGGAAUUUACUUUUCUGUUUUAAGGUAAUUCAUUUUAAAUUUUAUUUUAUGUGUAUUAAAAAAAUAAAAGAAAAAAUAAGGAGUGACAUCAAUCAUUAUAAAGCCUGAAUCAAUCCCAAACAUGCAUAAGAAGAUGAUUUAAGUCUUAAAAUAAAAUCCCAAACCUACUUCUGACUAGACUACACGUUUUGAGUCUCCUAUUGGGCCUGGGCAUCCUUGAAAUACCCACCCCCAAUUAUAAUACAAAAGCAAACCGUCGGUAGGGAGAUUUAAACAACAUUUCAAAGACAAAUGAAACCUAUCAAUGCGACUUUGUCUCAUGUUCACAUGUAGAAAGGGACAAAUAAUACAUAAAAACUAAACAUCAUAUACAAUAGCAAUUGUGGAAUAAAGAGGGAAGAGAGUAGGAAGUUACGAAGUGAUGGAGCCUUGGGUAAAAUAAAAUUAACAAUGGCAUUAUCAUGUGCGUGUCUCAACGCUUGAUGGGUUAUAAUUAGAGCCCACUUGAUGCUUAGAAAAAUAUUUUUGCAUGUGGUCUCCAUCUCUCAAUCGAUUAAUCUAUACAAUAUUAAAAAUCCACUUGAUCUUAAUUUAGGAAAAUUAUUUUGUUUUGUUGGUGAUGGCCUGUCUCCCAUCUUAUUCAAGUGUCAACUCUGGACUUUUCAAAUUUACGAAGUGCAGUGUUAAAUCCUUUAUAUGAUGAUAGGAUAUUCUUAGAAAAAGCAAAAUGUAAUAGCAUCUCCUUUAUUUAUUUUUUUUCUUUCAAAAAAAAUGUUAUAAAUUGUACAAGUUACAUGCAUAAUUCAAAAUUAUCAAUAAAAAUUCAAUUCAAUGCCACCAUGACCAAUCAGGAUUGUUCAACGAAUAAUGUAAAGUAUAAUAUAGUGGUGAUGAAUGCAAGCAUAAACCACUGUGGAGCCAAGAUUCACGGGGCAUCAUUGGAGGAGAAAAUUAAAGAAAUGGUGGAGGGUGGUGUAUGCAUAGAAUUAUCAUGGGCACAGUGCGGGGGGCCCAUCUCUUUCCCAAAAGGAAGACAGAAUAAUUGAGCGACCCAGCUUAUGAUAUGAUAUUGCAUCAGGUUAACUUCACCCCAGUCUCAGCCUCUUUGAAUUACCAAACCCUAUUCUCUUCUCUCUUUACUGCUAAUCCUCAUCUCUUUUCCUCUUACUGUGCUCUCCUGAAACUUUUGUAGAUGGUGGCAUAGCUACCUAUACUGAAGUUUUAACUCCGGAGUUUUUGAUUGACAAGGGCAGUGAUUCAUCUGCUCCCUGUACUGCAAACUAUCCCCUCUUUCUUCUAUCUUUGGCUCAACUUCAGUCCUUUUUUCCUUUGAUUUCCCGAAAGCUAUGGAGUUCCUGAGCUCAAUCGUGGGUCUGAUCCCCUGUUUCUAUGAUCACACCUCCGAGCAUACGGUCUACAUUCGUGAUCUGAAAAAAAAUCUCCAAGCCUUGAGCAAGGAAAUGGCGGAGCUCAACAACUUGUAUGAAGAUGUGAAGGCAAGGGUUGAAGGUGCAGAGCAACGACAGAUGAUGCGCAGAAAGGAAGUGGGUGGCUGGAUCUGUGAAGUAGAAGUCAUGGUGACGGAAGUUCAAGAAAUUCUGCAAAAGGGUAAUCAAGAAAUCCAGAAGAGAUGUCUCGGAUGCUGUCCUAGGAAUUGUUGGUCAAGCUACAAGAUUGGGAAGGCAGUAAGCGAAAAGCUGGUUGCUGUAUCUGGUCAAAUCGGCAAAGGACAUUUCGAUGUUGUAGCCGAGAUGCUGCCUCGUCCUCUAGUAGAUGAGCUGCCCAUGGAGGAGACUGUGGGCUCAGAAUUGGCGUAUGGCAGAAUCUGUGGGUUUCUCAAAGAUCCACAAGUGGGAAUUAUGGGAUUAUAUGGAAUGGGGGGUGUGGGCAAAACCACCCUCUUGAAGAAAAUCAACAAUGACUUCCUCAUUACAUCCAGCGAUUUUGAUGUUGUAAUUUGGGAUGUAGUGUCAAAACCGCCCAGCAUUGAAAAAAUUCAGGAAGUUAUUUGGAAUAAAUUACAAAUCCCACGUGAUAUAUGGGAAAUUAAAAGCACUAAGGAGCAGAAGGCUGCAGAAAUAUCGAGAGUUCUGAAAACAAAGAAGUUCGUGUUGUUGUUGGAUGACAUUUGGGAGAGACUUGAUCUGCUAGAAAUGGGGGUCCCGCAUCCCGAUGCUCAAAAUAAAUCCAAGAUAAUUUUCACGACCCGGUCACAAGACGUGUGCCACCGAAUGAAAGCUCAGAAGAGCAUAGAAGUGACGUGUUUGUCAUCAGAAGCAGCUUGGACUUUGUUUCAGAAGGAGGUAGGAGAAGAAACAUUGAAGUCUCAUCCACAUAUACCGAGGCUUGCAAAGACUGUUGCUGAAGAGUGCAAAGGUUUACCUCUCGCUUUGAUUACUCUAGGGCGAGCCAUGGUGGCUGAGAAAGAUCCCUCAAAUUGGGACAAGGUAAUACAAGUUUUGAGCAAAUUUCCAGCUAAAAUUUCAGGUAUGGAAGAUGAAUUGUUUCAUAGAUUAAAAGUCAGUUAUGAUAGAUUGUCUGACAAUGCCAUCAAAUCUUGUUUUAUAUAUUGUUCCUUAUUCUCUGAAGAUUGGGAGAUUUCAAAGGAAGUCCUUAUAGAAUAUUGGAUAGGAGAGGGAUUUUUGGGUGAAGUUCAUGACAUACAUGAAGCACGUAAUCAAGGGCAUGAAAUUGUUAAAAAAUUAAAGCAUGCAUGUUUAUUGGAGAGUUGCGGCUCGAGAGAACAAAGGGUUAAGAUGCAUGAUGUGAUCCAUGACAUGGCUUUAUGGUUAUAUUGUGAAUGUGGGGAGAAGAAGAACAAAAUUUUAGUAUACAAUGAUGUUUCUAGGUUGAAGGUAGCUCAAGAAAUUCCAGAAUUGAAAGAGACAGAGAAGAUGUCAUUAUGGGAUCAAAAUGUUGAAGAGUUCCCUAAAACAUUGGUGUGUCCCAAUCUUCAGACUUUAAAUGUAACUGGUGAUAAGUUGAAGAAAUUUCCAAGUGGAUUCUUUCAAUUUAUGCCUCUAAUAAGAGUUUUGGAUUUGUCAAAUAAUGAUAAUUUCAAUGAGUUGCCUACUGGAAUUGGUAAAUUGGGCACCUUGAGAUAUCUUAAUUUGUCAUCCACAAAAAUAAGAGAGUUGCCUAUUGAACUUUCAAAUUUGAAAAACCUAAUGACUUUGCUUUUGGCGGAUAUGGAAUCCUCUGAAUUAAUUAUUCCGCAAGAAUUGAUAUCAAGUCUUAUAUCUUUAAAGUUGUUCAACAUGAGCAAUACCAAUGUCUUAAGUGGAGUUGAAGAAAGCUUGCUAGAUGAGUUGGAGUCCUUGAAUGGCAUCAGUGAGAUAAGUAUCACCAUGUCUACUACUCUUUCAUUCAACAAAUUAAAGACUAGUCACAAAUUGCAAAGGUGCAUAAGUCAAUUCCAGUUGCAUAAAUGUGGAGAUAUGAUCUCACUUGAACUAUCGUCUUCGUUUUUGAAAAAAAUGGAGCAUUUGCAACGGCUUGAUAUAUCUAAUUGCGAUGAAUUAAAAGACAUAGAAAUGAAAGUGGAAGGAGAAGGGACACAAAGUGACGCAACUCUCAGAAACUACAUUGUUGUAAGGGAGAACUACUUUCACACCCUUCGUCACGUAUAUAUUAUUCUUUGUCCAAAAUUGUUGAACAUAACAUGGCUUGUUUGUGCUCCAUAUCUUGAGGAACUUAGCAUUGAAGAUUGUGAAUCAAUAGAACAAUUGAUAUGUUAUGGAGUAGAGGAAAAAUUGGACAUAUUCUCAAGGCUCAAAUACCUCAAGCUCGAUAGGCUGCCAAGAUUGAAGAACAUCUACCAGCAUCCGCUGCUCUUUCCCUCACUUGAAAUCAUCAAGGUGUAUGAUUGCAAACUCUUAAGGAGCCUCCCAUUCGAUUCCAACACUUCAAACAACAAUCUUAAGAAAAUUAAAGGAGAGACAAGCUGGUGGAAUCAGUUGAAAUGGAAAGAUGAAACUAUCAAGGACUCUUUUAUUCCAUAUUUCCAAGUCCAUGAAGCUGAAGCAUAUUUUGCAGAGGAGUCUGAAACUAGCAGCAUAGAUGAUAGGCAAGAACAGCUGAUAUCAAAUUAAUUUCUAUCCAUCUUUCAGGUAUUAAUUAACUUUGAUUUUAUAUUUGAAAAAUAAUCUUCUUUCCUUACUCUCAUUCUUUUGUGGAAAUUUUUACUUUCCCUACCUCAAAAGUGCAUUAAAAUUUCAAACAUCAUAAUAACUUUCAAUGUUUGAUCUGUAUGGAUUACUUCCAUAAUUUUCAGCCUAAUCCUAAUAACUUUCAAUCUAUUUUUUCCCCUUUUAUAUUCUUUCUCUUCUAUGUUGCUUUGAAUCUUGCAAGAUCCAAACAAAGCUAAAUCUACACCCAUUUCUAUAUCAUGGUCCACCCCUUCCAAAAUCUUGGAUGGGUAAUUCAAUUCUAGUUGUCCCUUGUGAAAUAAUUGUUAUAAAAGGUUUGCCCAGAUGGCACUUUGAAAGAGGUCUGUAGUUUAAAAAUGGGAUGACAUUCCCUUUUGGUUACUUGAGAACUUGAAAAUAAUGCAGAUUUUUAAACUAUAUUAUAUAUUUGUCCUAAUUUUUUUAAUCGAUUUCAAUCUAUAAAUAGAAAUAGAUCAACUUCGAUAUAUUUCAAGCUGAACAACAGGGUUUCACAACUACUAUAGUUAUAGAUAUUCCAUUAAGAAUUAUUGCCUUGUUUGAUGUGUUUACCAGGAUCAACUUCAGUUGCAAGGGUAAUUUCUCUUCUCUUGUUAAGUUACCUCUAUCUGGUUCGCUCUGAUCGGUUUUUGCUUUUCUUUUUCUUUUUUUCAUUUCUCUUUUUGUUGCAUUCAGGGUUGGUGCUUGUUCUAGCAGUUAAGGCAACAACCGGGUUUUGAUCUUCUUUAUAUAGACUGUGUUGCUGCUGUUUUUGCUGAUUGGAGAUGUCCUGCUCUUUUUCCUUCUACUUGGCAUCUGGGUUUAGUCUGAGGUCUCUAGUAUGUUUUAUCAGGGAGGCGUAAAUGCUGAUUCUCAUAGCAUUGAUCUUUCAUGCUGCUGAGACUGCUGGGAAGGUUGGUGUACUUAUGAUGGUCGCAACAUCCUUUUUGUUUCUGGAUCUCAGGAAUUGGAUUCCGUGGGCUGCCUUUGGCUUUUGAUGUGGGGUGGGUCUUGUUUUGUUGAUUUGUUGAGGCUGGUGCAGUGUGGUGGUGGGUUUGAAGCUGCUAGUAUGCUGCUGCUGGGUCAAUGUCGAUGAGAUAUGGAAAUGCUUUUGGCUCUUUGGGCUUCUGCUGGUUGAUUAUGUUUCCCCUGCUUACACAUGUAUUAUCACCAGAUCCUAUGUGAAGAUGGGAUGGAUUGUUUUAAUAAUGAUGGUGUGUGUGUGAUAUAAUCCCAUCAACAUAGCCACAUGCUUUGGUUCAUAUACCCGAGCACCACUUACUUCCUUGAGUUUGAUAUCCCACUGCCAAGUGUGUUGUCCAUAAUGUUGUAGGAAGAGUGUAAAUAAUUUUUAUUUUUAUUUUUGGGAAUUAUUUUUAAUUUAUUUUAUUUUAUUCUAUUAGUCUUAUAUUUUUGGAAAGUGUUCUAUUGAGAAUUAUUUUUUUUUUUUAUCAUUUUUUAUUUUAUUUUAUUAGUGUUAUAUUUUUGGAAAGAGUCCUAUUGGGAUUGUGUAAGUGGAGUCUCAUUCAUUUUAUAAGUAGAUUCCUCUUCCACUUUGUAGUUUCCUAUUAGGACUGUGUUAGUAACCUAUAAAAGCAGGUCACCUCUCUCUCUAUAUGAAUACCAAAUUUUCAGAGAGUUUUCAAAGAGUAUUUUCAUACAUCUAUUUGGAGGAAUUUAUUAAAAACCCGAGUUGUACAUAUAUCGCUUUCAGAGUGCAUCCAAGGUGAGAUUUGGUUGUUGAAUCCUGGAGUUAGACCACUGGUACCCUAGUGCACUGAGUUUGUCUUAGAGGAAGGUGGAUCUAUUUCAAAGACAGUGCUUGUCACGCCUCAGCUAAUAAGUUUUUCUUUUUACUCAUUUUGUUCUUUAUUUGUGUCUUUUGGGCUAGUCUUUUGUUUCCAUACCCUUAAAAUCCAACAAUCUUGAAAUAUAUCCAAAUGGAAGCUUCCCUAGUUCACACUUGUCCUGACACCUCUCAAAUUGAUAAUUUCAAUGGGACUUUCUUUUAGGAAAAGGGUUUUCUCUAAAAUUGAUGUGAUGAACUUGGGACACAUUUUGACUGACCCAAAACCAGAAGAUGGUUCUCAUCUGUUACCAACCUAGGAAACUGGAAAUAAACAAGUUAGGCAUGAUAUUUUGAGUAUCCUUUCUAAUGAACUUUUUGAUAUUUAAUGUCAAUUUAAAGUUGCAAAAGAAAUUUGGAAUGCAAUGAAUAAAAAAUAUAUUUUGGAAGAUGCAGAAACUCAGAAAUAUGCCAUAGGGAAUUUUAGAAAUUUUCAAAUGACUGAGGAUAGAGAUGUAUCAUCUCAAAUCCAUGACUACCACUUGAUGAUUAAUGACUUAGCUAUUGAAGACAUUAAAUUACCCGAACCUUUCGUGGCUGGUUAUUUAGUAGAGACUCUUCCAGAGUCUUGGAAAGACUAUAGAAAUAACGUGAAACAUAAAAGGAAACAAUUGUCCUUAAAGGAUGUCAUAAUCCAUAUUAGGAUUGAGGAACAAAACCGAAAUAGUGACAAUAUUGAGAAAACUAAGGAAUUGUCUUCUAAGGCUAAUGUAGUAGAAGAAAAACCUAAACCCAAAAACAAUAGGUCCAGGAAACAAAACUCUAGGACCAAGCCCAAUGCAUCAAACAAGGUUUAGAACUCAACUAUUAAAAAAUGGGGUAAUUGCUUUACCUGUGGCAAGUCUGGACACCAUGUAGCUUAAUAUCGCCACAGGAAGAGAACCGAGAAGUCCAAUUCAAAGGCAAAUCUGGAGACAAAGGUGAUCACAACAAUAAUCUUCUUUGAGGUGAGCAUGGUCACCAAUAUGAAGGACUAGGUGGUAGACUCUGGGGCUACUAGGCACAUAUGUGGGAAUAGAAGUGCAUUUACUUCCUAUACCACUACAAAGGAAGGAGAUGAACAAGUGUUCAUGGGUGAUUCUAGAUCUACUCCAGUGAUUAGAAAAGGGAAAGUUCUCCUCAAGCUAACCUCUGGAAAAUUGUUUGCCCUCUAUGAUGUUCUUCAUGUGCCAGAUAUCCGUUGGAACUUGGUGUCGGUAUCUAUGCUUGGAAAAGCAAGAGUGAGGAUCUUGUUUGACUCUGAUAAAAUAAUUUUAACCAAGAAUGAUGCAUUUGUGGGAAAUGGCUAUGUAAUCAAGGUUUAUUUAUGUUGAAUGUUUAGGAUAUUAUCAAUAAUAAUGCAUCUUUUUCUUUUGCUUACAUAGUUGAUUCUUGUGACAUUUAGCAUGGUAGACUAGGACAUGUGAACUUUUCAUUUAUGAAGAAAAUGGUUGAAUUGAGUUUAAUCCCUAAACCGUCCUUAGAAAACCAUGGAAAAUGUGAAUCUUGUGUAGAAUCUAAAAUCACAAAGGAAUUUUGCAAAUUAGUUGAAAGAGAAUCAGAUCUACUAAGUUUACUACAUAGUGACUUAGGAGACCUAAAAAAUAUAAUGACUAGAGGUGGUAAACAAUUCUACAUAACUUUCAUAGAUGACUACUCAAGGUAUACAAGGUUAUAUCUUUUGAGAAACAAAGAUGAAGCAAAAGAUGUUUUCAUCAAAUACAAAAAUGAAAUGGAAAAUAAACUAAGUAAGAAAAUUAAAAGACUUAGAACUGAUAGGGGAGGAGAGUAUGAGUCCAACCCCUUUAAUUCUUUUUGUGAAGAUCAUGGGAUCAUUCACAAAACUACUCCUCCUUAUUCCCCUGAGUCUAAUGAGUAGUAGAAAGGAAAAAUAAGACCUUAAAAGAAAUGAUGAAUGCAAUGUUGGUAAGUUCAGGAGCACCCUUGAACUUGUGGGGGAAAGUUAUCCUAUCCGCAUGUCAUAUUCAAAAUAGAAUACCUUACAAGAAAAUGGGUAAAACUCCUUAUGAGUUGUGGAAGGGUUAUGCACCUAAUAUAGCAUACCUAAAAGUGUGGUAGCUAAAGUUCUUCUCCCUGAACUUAAAAAACGAAAACUAGGUCCUAAAACCUUUGAUGCAAUGUUCAUUGGCUAUGCUGAGAAUAGUGUGGCAUAUAGGUUUCUUGUUACUAAGUCAGAAAACAAUCUUGUAAAUGUCAAUACUAUAAUAGAAACAAAGAAUGCAAAUUUCUUUCAAAACAUCUUUCCUAUGAAACUAAAUGGUGAACAAGUCUAGAAAACAAGUAGAUACAAGUCUAUUGAACCUUCUGAACUUGAACCUAGAAGAAGUAAAAGAGCUAGGAAAGAAACAAACCUUGGAAAUGGUUUCUACACCUUCCUAAUAGAUGAGGACCUUAAAUCCUACAAAGAAGCUAUAACUUCUCCUGAUGCACCAUUCUGGAAGGAGGCCAUUAACAGUGAAAUCGAUUCAAUCAUGUAUAACCAUAUAUGGGAGUUGGUAGAUUUACUUUCUGGUGCAAAGACUAUUGGUUGUACGUGGAUUUUUAAAAGAAAGUUAAAACAAGAUGGCUCUAUAGAGAAGUAUAAAGCUUGUUUAGUUGCCAAAGGCUUUAAACAAAGGAAAUAUGUAGAUUACUUUGACACCUUUGCCCCUAUGACUAGAAUAGCAUCAAUUAGAGUAUUGAUUGCUCUAGCUCCCGUUCAUAAGUUGGUGGUACACCAAAUGGAUGUCAAGACUGCAUUCUUAAAUGGGGAUUUGGAAAAGGAAAUUUAUAUGGAUCAACCUGAGGGUUGUGUAAUUCCAAGGAAGGAGAAAAAGGUGUGUAAAUUGGUUAAAUCACUAUAUGGGUUAAAACAAGCUCCUAAACAGUAGCACAACAAGUUUGAUCAUGUGUUAGUAACUAAUGUAUAUUCCAUUAAUAAUGCUGAUAAGUGUAUCUACAACAAGUAUGAGGAUAACACAUGUGCAGUCAUCUGCCUUUAUGUUAAUGACAUGCUGAUCUUUGGAACUAGCCUAAAGGUUGUGUGUGAGACCAAGAAAUUCGUAUGUUCUAAGUUUGAUAUGAAAGACCUAGGAGAGGCAGAGGUGAUUCUAGGAAUUAAAAUAACUAGAACACCUAAUGGGCUUAAACUUUCUUAAGAGCACUAUGUUGAGAAGAUCCUAAGGAAGUUUGAACACUUUGAUUGUAAACCAGUGUCAACUCCUUAUGAUCCCAUCUCACAGCUGAAGAAAAUAGAGAUAUGCUCAGAUCAUAGGGAGCCUAAUGUACUUAAUGAACUGUACCAAACUUGACAUUGCUUAUACAAUAGGUAAAUUGAGACAGUACACCCAAAGUCCUAAUCAAGACCAUUGGAUUGUUGUUCGUAGAGUCCUUAAGUAUUUGAGAGGCACCAUUAACUACGAUUUGUGCUUUAGUGGAUUUCCAAGUUUCCUUGAAGGAUUUAGUGAUGGAAAUUGUAUAUCGGAUUCAAAUGAGAUGAAAUCUAUUAGUGGAUAUGUUUUCAUCCUUGGUGGAAGUGCAGUUUCUUGGAAGUCUGCCAAGCAAACUUGCAUUACUCGGUCUACUAUGGAAGCUAAGUUUAUUGCCUUAGAAAAGACAAGUUCUGAGGUUGAGUGGCUUAGAAACCUCUUAGUAGAUAUCCCUUUAUGGACGAGACCAACCCCGUCUAUGUCUAUGCAUUGUGAUAGCCAAGCUACAAUUGCUAAGGCUAAGAGUAAAAUAUUAAAUGGGAAAAACAAACAUACGCCUAAGGCACAAUAUUGUGCGGCAGAGGCUUGAAACAAGGGUUAUAUCCCUAGAAUUUGUGAGGUCAAAGUUGAACUUGGCCUAUCCUUUGACCAAACCACUAAAUAAGAAACUAGUGGAAGAAACAUCGAGGGGAAUGAGACUUAUGCCUUUUACAGAAGUCAAGAGUGGUGGUAGCCCAACCUAUUAGAAUGGAAAUUCCAUGAAAUAGGUUCAUAUAGGUAAUAACAAAUCACUUGUUGACUUGAGGUGCUCUAUCAACUCUAAUUGUAUGAGAGUCCAUCCCUAUGGUGUAGAUAAAGUGUAUUCUGCAUUGACUAAGGUUGAGUGUUUACUCUUAAUGAAUAUCAUAUUCCUUAUGGAUGGUAUGUUUAAAUGCAGAACAUACUUGAUGGAUUCACCUAUAUGAGAGUAGAGGUGGGGCCGCUUCCUAUGAGAACUUAGGCAGGUUCUCUAGAGCUCUCAUGAAUAUCCAGGUAGGGUGCAUGGCCUAUUUGUGCCAACCCAUUUUGUACAACUCGUAGUGUAGUUGAGAAAACCAAUGUGGAUAAAAGUCUCUUGAGUUAUAUAAAGAAACACUGGUUCAUAGAAAUUUAUUUUCACCAUGUUUUGUGAUUCAAUACUUAUUUGUCCUAAGACUGGUUCAUAUUCUUUGGGCACUAGUACUGAUGCAUUGGAUUCUUUUUUCCUAAAAAAAAAAAACUAUGUUUACACUCUGUGGGGGAUUAUCGGAAGAGUGUAAAUAAUUUUUAUUUUUAUUUUUGGGAAUUAUUUUUAACUUAUUUUAUUUUAUUUUAUUCUAUUAGGCUUAUAUUUUUGGAAAGUGUUCUAUUGAGAAUUAUUUUUUAUUUUAUUAUAUUUUAUUUUAUUCUAUUAGUGUUAUAUUUUUGGGAAGAGUCCUACUAGGAUUGUGUAAGUGGAGUCUCAUUCCUUUUAUAAGUAGAUUCCUCUUCCACUUUGUAUAAUCUUCUAAUUACAAGUAGUUUCCUAUUAGGACUGUGUUAGUAGCCUAUAAAAGUAGGUCACUCCUCUCUCUAUUUGAAUACCAAAUUUUCAGAGAAUUUUCAGAGAGUUUUAGGGAGCAUUUUCAUACAUCUAUUUGGAGGAAUUUAUUAAAAACCCGAAUUGUACACAUCUCGCUUUCAAAGUGCACCCAAGGCGAGAUUUGGUUGUUGAAUCCUGGAGGUAAACCACUGGUACCCUAGUGCACCAAGUUCGUCUUUGAGAAGGGUGGAUCUAUUUCAAGGACAAUGUUUGUCACGCCUCAGCCGAUAAGUUUUUCUUUUUACUCAUUUUGUUCUUUAUUUGUGUCUUUUGGGCUAGUCUUUUGUUUCCAUACCCUUAAAAUCCAACAAAUGUUAUGUUGUGUAAACAAGUUUCACCCAUUGUGGAUUGAAAUGUUUAACAUUUGAGGUUGUUAAUGGUGAUUUUUCUUGUUAUAAUUGUUAUAAUUGUGAGAAAAACAUUGACAAUUAUGUCAUUUUUCAUUUGGGAGUAUUUAGAUCUCCAAACAGCAACUUGACUGAACAUGACCGCAAAAUUCAUCCACUACCACCACUUUCCUCCACCUGCAACUCUUCAAAUCCAACAUGUACGGCACGUAGGCUUCACCAAAGCUUUUGCAACCAAUCACUAACAACUUCCCCUCCCAUGUUGUCAUGUAAGCUGUGUGGCGAAUCUCAGCUAGCAUCUUGGCUACUGUCUGCCAUCAGGAGUUCUGCAGUGCCACCACCUUACCAGCAUGGCACAUGUACAUCCCCAUAUCACCACCGUCCACGCAGGUUCUCGGGCAUGUGCUGGCUUCCAGGAAAUCCUCCUCUACAUUGUCCCACUGCCAGUUGGCAAAAUCAAAGGCUUCUGCGCUCCUCUUGAACCUGCCUUGCAUCUCUAUGCAGUACCUGCCAAUGACAUGGAACUUACCACGGUGGAAAAACUAUUUGCAUUCAUCGCGCUCCCUUGCCAUGUCAUGAAGCGGGCCCACUCAUCAUUUGCCACGUCAUACACCAACGCAGGCCUCAAUUCGUCACACAUCAAAAUAAUCAAAAUUCAUAAUGCAACCUCCAAAAUACAUUUUAUCAUUUGCCUUCUCAUCCCCAAAAAUUCAAAAUAAAAAAUUCCACAUAAUCAAUACUUUAGUGACUAUUAUAUUUUUCAUGUUUUGGAUUUUAAUUCUUUUAAUUCAUUCUAUCUUCAUUAUUUAAGCCCAAGUUCUACUAUUAGUAAAAAUAAACUAAUAUAUAUAUAUAUAUAUAUAUAUGUAUGUAUACUUUGGUGACUUGCAUGGAGGUUAGCAACUGCACUACUCUAUCACAUGGCCCAUGAAAGAUAGGUAGAUGUGAUGAAUCGAUCAAGUUUUGGAAUCCUAGUCCUUGCUAAUGGGGGACAUAAGGCACAUGGAUGAUUUGGAAGAGAGGUGCUGAUGGGGUGCUUUCUACUGAGUCUCUCCUUGAGAAUCCAACUCUCUUUGCUAGAUUCCAGACUGUUGAAUGGGCUCUGGGUGGUGAAAAAGGCAAUUGAUGGGUCAAAGCCAAAUAAGCCUUUCCACCAUCACCACUAACAAAACCUACACCUUUGCAAUAUGGGCCACACUUUGCAGGCCACCUUUGGCAUGCAAUCCCACUUCCACAUUUCAUCCUUUUUAAUUCUUCAUAUUUUGAUAUCAAAGUUUAAUUUUCCAAAUUUUCAAUUUUCAAAUUUAAUUUCCAAAACUUCUAUUUUCAAAUAAUUGUCCAAAAUUCUGAUUUUCAAAUAAUUUUCAAAACUUCAAUUCCUUAAUUUAAUCUUCAAAACUCCAAUUUCUUUCAAAAUUAAUUUUCAAAACUCCAAUUCUUAAAUUUAAUUUUUAAAACUUCAAUUUUCAAUUAAUUUUCAAAACUCCAAUUCUUAAAUUUAAUUUUUUUAAACUCCAAUUUUCAAAACUCCGAUUUCUUUCAAAAUUAAUUUUCAAAACUCCAACUCUUAAAACUAAUUUUCAAAAUUCCAAUUCUCAAUUAAUUUUCAAAACUUCAAUUUCUUUCAAAUUUAAUUUCCAAAAUUCCAGUUCUUAAAUUUAAUUUUCAAAACUCUCAUUCUCAAAUAAUUUUUUAAAUUUUAAAUUUUUAAAUUUAAUUUUCGAGACUUCAAUUUUCAAAUAAAUUUUAAAACUAUAGUUUUCUUUCAAAUAGUUUUAAUUCCACUCCAAUUUUCAAUUAUUUUUUAAUUCUACAACAUUUCAUCCUUUAUUAGGGUUUUAGGUCAAAAAAUCUCGUUUUUAAUAAACUUGCUACAUUUCCCUUCAGGUAAGAACUUUUAUAAAUUUUCUUUGAUUUUUCAGAUAAUCUUUCGUUUCUCUUGAUUUUAAAUAAGCAUGAAGACAAUUUUCAUAAUUAAAAAACAAUGGAAUUUGUGGGAUUAAUUCAUGCAAAAAUCAAUCGAGCUUUGAUGGGGACCCAACAUUCAUAAGAUUUUUUUUGAAAAUAAUUCAAGUGAAUUGCAUAAUUGAUAUUGUUCGAUUUUGAUUGGUUUUGUGUGACAUGUUUUACACUUAUCAUUAUGCACUAACCCCGUUUCAUUGAUAGCACAUCUUUACUUGUUACUAAGGUACGAUCUCACUUCCACUUCACUUAUUCUCAUGCAUGAUUCAUUUUAUUAUUUGAUCAUUUUAUUGGUAUCCAUUGAUUUUCUUAUCCAUUGUCACACUUGCUUCACCUUAUUUGGUAGGGACCUGUUUUUAGGGACUUAGAGGGGUGCUAUGGUCUUUUUACUGUAUCUUCCCAAUAAGUAACUUGACCAUCGGACCCGACUUGAUUUUUCAGACCUGUUUUUUCAAAUAAGGAGUCACACUUAGGGUUUUCUUUCUUAUUUUGUUUUCCCUUUAAAAAUAAAACAAAAAUAAGUGGCGACUCCAAGUCUUUUCUAAAAAUCAUAUUUUUCACCAAAUAAAUAAAAAACGAGUUUUGUCAUCGAGUGGGAACACAUCGAGCAAAAAUACGGGUUCCACAACAUGCUUCCAAGCUUUGAAAAUGCUAAAGGAUUCAAGUAGAGAUGAAAAUGAGACAAGUUCAGGAUGAGUCAACCUCAUUCCAAUCCCACCCCAUUAAUUGAUAAUAUUUUUCAUCCUUGUUUCAUUAAAAAAAAAAAAAAUUAAAAGGGAUGGGAUAGAGCAAAUUGAAAAAUUUUCAAUUAUAUUAAAAUAAAAAUAUAUUUUAUAAAUAAUUAAAAUAUUAUCAUUUUUUAUAACUUAUUUUAAAAGUAUUUUACUAUUAUUAUAUAUAUUAAAAAUAGGAAAUAAAAAUUAAAUUAAAUGUUAAACUUAAUUUUAUAUAUAAUUGAAGUGAGACCUACGACACAAAAUAAUACUUGAACCCAUCCCAAACUCGUCUCGAAUUUAAAAAAAAAAAAAUUAAACUUAUCCAUUGUUUAUUUAAAUUUCAAACCUAUUUUAUUAAAAACGAGACAGGGAUGAGUGCUUGAAAAAAACUCAUCUCAUUGCCAUCCUUAAACUCAAGAAAUAAAAAUUUAAAUUCUAAAAGGAAAUGUCCAUUCUUAAUAUCAUCAUUGAAAACAAAUUACUUAAGCCUAUCAAACAUCCAAGUCAGCAGGAUUUAUUCCUAAGAAAAAAUGAUGCUCAAUUCUAGUUAUCGUGGAAUGAGCCACUUUCCCGGUAAAUGGAAAUUACCCAAUAUUUCAUUAAAGUGAAAUCUCUUAUCGAAAAGUUAAAAUUAAUUAGUAGAGAUUGAAACAGCCAUUAUUAUUCAUAGUUUAUAGCUCAAAUAUAAUGAGUCUAUUUCUGUAAUUGGAGGAAUGACCAAUUUACUAUUGAAAACCAAUUCAAAUAAUAGAUAUUCAAAUAUAAGCGCUUCAUUUAUUGUUUACUAUUGAAAAACCGAUAAUUCUAUAUAUCAUUGAAAAAUGCAAUUCAAUGCUUUCAUGUACAAUAUAAUAUAGUGCUGAUGAAGGCAAGCAUAAAAUCAUGGAGACAGGGUCUGGAGCCAAGACUAAAGGGGCAUCAAUACGCGUCUUUGUCAAGAAGGGAGAAAUCAAAGAAAUGGUGGAGCCUAUACAUUGAAUUAUUGACAGAAUUUUGUGGGGACCCAUAUCGAGAAAAAUAUUCUUUCAAUAUAUAUAUAGAUAUUUUAUAUUUUUUAAUUCUAAAUUAAUUUUUAUGUUGGGAAAUUGAUACGAGGGAAGAGUAGUUGUGAGUAGAAUUAUUAAAGUUGUAUAAACAAGUGGCAAUCUUGAUACGUGAGAAUGAUAAAAAUUAUACAAAUUUUAGCAAGUUUGGGUAAGGUAUCAUUAUAUUCGAGUAAUAAUCAUGUCAACUUGUAUAACUUAUUUAAAGUAUUUAAAGACAUUUAUGAGACGGAUUUGCAUUGUCUAAUUUUAGUUCUUAUUGAAGAACAAAUUACUAUCAAUUUCACGAGGACAAAAUUAUAAUUAGUCAAAUUAUUUGAAAGUGAAAUCUUAAAAAUAAAAACUUUCAAUUAAAUUCGAAAACUAAAACUAUUAAGUAAAGAGUUAAAAAACUAUCGAGCAGAGCUUAAAAUUCAAAUAUAAUGCAUUUAUUGUUGUAAUUCAAGCCAAAUAUUUAUUAUUGAUUAUUAUAAAUAUAAUUUUAUAUCCAUUUUUUAUAUUUAAGAUAAUUUAGCACAUUUGAACAAUAUUUUGAGAAUAAGAUUGGAGCAUCUAAUUUGACUAAUUGGAUAGCAAAUCAAACUAAUCAAAUCUUAUUUUCAUAUUUAUCCACCUUCAAUUCUAAGAUAAAUAUGAACAAAAGUCUUUAUAUGUUUAUAACAAUAUAAACAAUAUAAACACAAAAAUAAUGAGUAUAACAUUAAAUAACAAAAAAUUUAUUUCAGCCUUGGAUAUAUUAUUAUAUACGUUAUAUAUAUGUUAGUAAAAUUGGAAAUAUUAAUACAUUCAGUAUAUUAAAUAAUAAAAUUACAAGUUUUUUGUUAUUAUUCAUAUUUAAUUAAUAAAUUUUAAUUAAAUCUAAAAUAAAAACUUUUACACAAAUUAGUAUAAAACCAAGUGUGGUCAUUAUAAAUCAACCCUAUAAAAAAGACUUAAAUCUAUAGAAGUCUAAGUAAAUAAAUGAGAAAUAAUGUUAAAAGAUAUGUAUAAAAAAAAGAAUCAUUGUUUAGUAUCUUGAUUAUUUAUAUAAUUUUAACUUCGUGUAUUAUUUUAAAUUUUAAUAAUAUAUGAAUUAUAUAUGCAUAUUGUCAUGCUGAUAUCAUGUUUCAAUUACUUGAACCAUCGGUUCAAUAAAAUAAAAAACUCUAAUGUAAUAAUUUUUCAAUUUAGUGACUAAUUAAUAAGAUUUUCAUAAUAUCGUAUUUGAAAUUUCAACACAAAAAAUGAAUAUGAAAAAUCAUAAAACUCUUACAAAGAAAAGUGACUUCAUGAAAAUAUGGAAACCCUAAACCUUAAUUUCUUCAAUAAUGCCUAUCAAAAUUCUUAUGUUUAGGCAAUAUUAUGAGAGAACCAAUAAUCUCAUCCACAAAUCCAACAUAGUCAAUGGUCAAUUCUUAUGUUUACGAGAUAUAUAUACCUUGUAUAGUUUAUGUAUCUUUUGGAAAGUCAUGUAUAUAUUUAAAUGUUGUAAUGUAUAUCUUGAAUAAUAUACUUUUGACCAUUCAUUUAUUCAAUACUCUUGUAAAGAAAAAUGACUUUAUGAAAAUGUGGAAACCUCAAACCUCAAUUUCUUCUAUAAUGCUUAUUAAAAAUUUUGCAAUUGAAAGUUGUGUAAUCAAGGAAGCUAACAAUGCAAGGUUAGAACUAGCCACUCCUAACCAGACUUAUUCUUCUACAUAUGCCCAUCUUCAUCUCAAGUCAGUUUACUUUUCUAUUUUAAGAAAAUUAAUUAUUAUUUUUAUUUUCAUGUAUUGAAAAAAGUAAAAGAAAAAAUAAGAUUAAGCACUGUUAAACCUCAAUCAAUCUCGACAUAUAUGUGAGAAGAUAAUUUAAAAGUGUAUUUGACAAUAUUUUAUUUUGAAGUAUUUUUAAUUUUAAUAAAAGUAUUUUUUUUUAGAAAUGAUUUUGAGAUAAUUUUAAAAAAUGUUUUUAGUUUUUCUAAUACUUGAAAAAUAAAAAAAUUUAAGUGUUAAAAAUAUUAAAAAUAUUUCCUAAAAUCACUAUUAAAUGUACUUUAAGUGUUUCUUCAAAAAGUACCAUAAAUAAUAUUUCGUAUGUUUAAAAAUGUUUUCUGAAUUUUAUUAAAUACUUGAUUUUUCUUAAAAAAUAUUUUUUAAGCUAGAAGUGAUUUUUAAAAACACUAUUAAAUGGCCCCGUAAGUCUUAAAAUAAAAUCCGCAUAAGACUACUACAUGGACCUUCAAUGAGUCUUUGUCUCAUAAUAAAUAUUUUGUUAUGUUCACAUGUAGAAGGGACAAAUAAUACUUAAAAACUAAAAAUCAUAUACAAUAGAAAGUGUGGAAGCAAGAAGGAAUAGAGUAGAAGUUGCGAAGUGAUGGAGCCUUGGGUAAAAUAAAAUUAAUAACGGCAUUAUCAUGGGAGAAUUGUGUUUUGAGCUUAGCUGGUCCCAAAAAUUAAGUUCUAGUCCAUGUAACUUACCUAAUUAAUGGAAAGGAUAUCAAAUAUUAACAGACCAAUAUGCCCUUUACAUUUCCAACUCAAAUGGUUGUAAAUUAAUGGGUUUCACAGCAAUUAAACUUGAAAUGUCAUGUCACCUGAUUGAAAAUUAUGAAAUAAAGGCCAUAAGGGUCACCACCCUCCUACCCCUUUCUCUCUCUCCGUAAACAACAUACUCACAAACGAUGAUGACUGUGACUGCCCCCCAAUCGGUUUUUUCAGCAACCAAGGAUUGUGAGCAUUUUAGAAAAGCCUUUGUAGGUAUUUUAUCAUCAUCAUUCCCAAAUCCAAGGGAUGGGGGGUUUGAAUUAUUUUCUCACGUUUUGAUUUAAUCAGGUUGGUUCUUUGAUGAUGUGUUGGAUAUUUGUUUACUGGGUCAUUACAAGGUUUUAGGAAAGGCAAUUGUUUUGAUCUCGUGUUAGGGUGUUUAAAAAAAAUUUGAACUUAAUAACAUAGCGUUUUUGGAUGUAGGGUGGGGGAUAAAUGAGGUUUUGAUCAUAUCCAUCUUGGCUCAUAGGAAUGUAUCACAACAUAAAUAAAUUCAAGAAACUUACAGUGAAUCUUAUGGAAAAGAUCUCCUCAAAAAUGGCAUUUCACCUGUCUGAAAAAUUUUCACUUUAGCAUUUGCUUGUUGGGUUUAUCGUCCAAAGAGAAGAAAUGGGUAUCAUCCAAAUGCUGAGCUUUGGGGAAGAAGAUUCUCCGGUGAUGAUGCAAUUCAUCCAUAAUAGCUAUCCUUCGAAUCAAACAUAUUUCAAAAGCAGAGAAGUUGGUCCACCCGACGAAACGAAGAAAAUGAAUAACUCCAAUGAAGAUAUAAAGCGGCUACAAUUGUGGUCGUGAUGAUGGCAGUGGCCCAACAACCUCCUGUGAAUAUGGAAAUAUGCUAAAUAGGGUAUAUGCCCUAUUUUGGGGUAAGUAUAUUUUCUAGAAUUCGAACCUAGGUUGAUGGAGGAUUGAGUGUGUUUUUAUUAUGUUUAGGGAUGAAUUAUGACAUUUAUAUUUGUGAAAAUUAUUCUGCUAUGAUCCAAAGCACAACCCUAUUAAUUAUAUGAUUGAAACUCCUUUAUGUUUGAGUAGAAGAUUAAUAAUAUGAUUGAGAAAACAAAGGCUAUGCUUAAUUAAGAAAAACACUCAAAAGGGGGGGGGGAGGGGGGUGAAUUGGGUUUUUUAAAAUCUUUUCAACACAACAAUUUCAAGCACAAUAUAAACAAAAAUAAAGAAAUAGAGUUAUAGAAUUCAAACUCGGGUUUUAUAGUGGUUCGGCACUUCCUUGCCUACGUCCACUCUCCUUAAUCUCCUAACCGAGUGAGGCUUCCACUAACUUGAAGCUUCAACCAAGCUUCCAAUAUUCUUACACUUGGAUUCUGACUCCAAUGGGCUCUUACACAAUCUCUUCAAGAUUCAAACCUCUUGAAGGCUUUAACACUCAGUUUUUACAAGAAUGAAUCACUCAACCUAACUCAAAGAUAGCUCAAAUACAAAACAAAGAUAAGAUGACUCACAAGAGCGCACUAAAGGAUAUGCAAGUGAUGAUUUAAUGCAUUAAGAAGGAAAUGAGAGCUUUUUGGUUAAGAACAGGUAGGUAGAAAAUUGAAUUCAAGUGUUCUCUCUAUCGUAAAUGAAGCAGAGCUCUUAAUUUAUAGGUUUCUAAGCUCGGGAGCCAAAAACAGCAAAAGAUAGCCUUAAUCGAUUGAACUGAGGGUCGAUCGUAUCACUAGCCGUUGAGCAUUUAAUGCUUUGAUAGGUUACCGUUACCUCAAUCAAACCUCGACCGGACAUCAACUAGAGGUCGACCAGGAAUAGGAGAACCUCAAUCAGGAAGAGGAGGCUAUUGGAUGAGAGAGAGUGUUUUUGGCACCCCUUGACUGGACCUCGAUCGGACAAGGGCAACCAGUCGACCGGUUCCCCAACCGAUUGAGCCGGUUGGCCAUAGCCUAGACCGGUUCAGCCUUUUGGCCCCGAAAACCUACCUUUUUCAAUUCCUUUCUUUUCUAACUCUUAGGCAAGGUAUUUAGGUGAAUUAAUAUGCCAAUUUAAAACAUUUUGCCUAAGGUACAUUUGAUAAAACUCGGGUUUUAAUGAAAAUGAAAGUUUAAAUGAUAAACCGAGUUUUCAAAGAUGUAUGAAAUGGUAUGAAAAACUUAAGUGCACCCAUGCAUUCAUCUUACAUUCUUUUCCUAUUAUCAAAAGUCUUCCAAAAGUCUCGGUCUUGUAUCAAUUUGGUCAUUUGAUAAAUUUCUGAAUCUAUACCUAAGAUUCUUUACCAUUCAAAUCAAUUAGUCACUUAACCAUGGUUUGUUAUCAUCAAAACCCGAUUAGGAGAACCCUUGGGCUAACAAUAUGACUAGUAGUUAGGGAACAAAUUGAUACUUUAGUUUUUCCUUAUUUUAUGAACCAAAAGAUUGCAUACAUGAUUAACCUAUGCAUGAGCAGACAUUCAGUAGUGGUUGUGUGGAAGUUAUGUCUCUGUACAAGACAUUUACAUUAAGUGUACAAGGUACAUGUGCUUACUGUACAAGAGUGUACAAAGGUAACUAUGUUGAAGGAUUUGCAAUCCUUUUAAAAUCAUUUCCAUUUUGAAAGGAUGAAGAACAUUCUCUCACACAUUCCUUGAUCACACACUCAUCCCAUUCAAUUUUAUUACUUCAUACAUGUUCAUUGGAUGACCUACCACAGUAAUGAUGAAUAGGAACCUAUAUUGGGUUUCACUUCCCCCUUUUCCCUUAGGCAUUACAUUGGAACAUGGUAGCUCACCCAUAUGCACGCUUUUAGUUGUAGCUAUGUCAAAUUUUUGCCAUUGUAUAAGACAUUUACACUAAGAAUGUAAAUGUGCUAACUAUACAAGUGUGUACAAAGCUAUCUAUCUUGAAGGAUUUCAAAUGCUUUCGAAAAAAUUGUUUGCUCGUUUCUUUUUUCUAAGGGGGAUAUUCCACAUAGUCAUUCUUCAUUUCCCUUCGUACACAUUCAUUGUAUGAGCUAGCACACUUAUGAUGAAUAGAAACCUAAAUUAGGUUUCAUUUUCCCCAUUUUCACUCAGCCAUGACAUUAGAAUGUGGUUAACCCGCCCGUAUGCACUAGUUCAGUUGUAGGUAGGUCAAAUUUCUGCAAUUGUACAAGGCAUUUGCACCAAGUGUACAAGGCCAAUGUACUAAAUGUACAAAGGUGUACAAGGGUGUCUAUCUUAAGGGAUUUCGAGUGAUUUUGAAGAACUUACUUAUUUACUUUUUCUAAUCGUGGGAGACAUUCCUCACACGUAUUGCUUGAAAACACACUCAUUGCAUGCAUUUUAUUUGAUGUCUACCAUGUAACUUCAUUCUAUUAACUUCCCUAGUAAUUAUGAAUAUGAACCGAAAUGAGGGUAAACUUUUUUCUUCUUUUCUCUAAUCCAUGAGAAUGGAAACAUUGCUUACCCACCCAUUUGCACUCGUUCGGUUGUACCUAUGUGGGAUUUCAUGACUGUACAAGGCAUUUACACUAAGUGUACAAUGCAAAUGUGCUAACUAUACAAGUGUGUACAAGACUACCUAUCUUGAAGGAUUGUAAAUACUUCUGAAAAAAUUGUUUGCUCAUUUCUUUUUUCUAAGGGGGACAUUCCUUAUAGUCAUUCUUCAUUUUCCUUCGUACACAUUCAUUGUAUGACCUAGCGCACUUAUGAUAAAUAGGAACCUAAAUUGGGUUUCAUUUUCCUCCUUUUCACUCAACCAUGACAUUGGAAUGUGGCUAACCCGCCCAUAUGCACUAGUUCAAUUGUAGCUAGGCCGAAUUUUUGCAACUAUACAAGGUAUUUACACUAAGUGUACAAGGUCAAUGUACUAAAUGUAUUUUGGUUUUUUUUUUUUUUUUUUCAUAAUCAGCAAAGGCUAUUUUUGGAAAUAAUAAAAGUGCAUAUUCUCCUUCUCAAUUUUGACACUUCUUAAAGGUUUUGAGCUUAAAUAGUUUAGUUACAUGGACUAAAACACAAUUCUCCCCAUUAUCAUGUGUGUCUCAUUGUUGGAUGGACCAAAUUUCGCUUCUCCCAAAGAUCUUUGAAUAUUAUAAUGAGAGCCCACUUGAUGCUUCCAAAAAUAUAUUUGCAGGUGGACUCCAUCUGUCAAUCCAUUAACCUAUACAAUAUUAAAAAUCCACUUGAUGUUAUUUAGGAAAAUUAUUUUAUUUUGUUGGUGAUGGCCUGUCUUCCAUCUUACUCAAGUUUCAACUCUAAGACUUUUCAAAUUAACAAAGUGCAGUGCAGUGCAAUGAUUCAUUUUUCUUCUUUCCUCUAUCUUUGGCUCAACUUCAGUCCUUUUUUUCCUUUGAUUUCCCGGAAAGCUAUGGAGUUCCUGAGCUCAAUCGUGGGUCUGGUCCUCUGCUUCUAUGAUCACACCUCCAAGCAUACGGUCUACAUUUGCGAUCUGAAAAAAAAUCUCCAAGCCUUGAGCAAGGAAAUGGUGGAUCUCAACAACUUGUGUGAAGAUGUGAAGACAAGGGUUGAACGGGCAGAGCAACGACAGAUGAUGCGCACAAAGAAAGUGGGUGGGUGGAGACUGUGGGCUCAGAAUUCACGUAUGACAGAAUCUGUAGGUUUCUCAACGAUCAACAAGUGGGAAUUAUGGGAUUAUAUGGAAUGGGGGUGUGGGCAAAACCACCCUCUUGAAGAAAAUCAACAAUGACUUCCUCACUACAUCCAACGAUUUUGAUGUUGUGAUUUGGGUUGUGGUGUCAAAACCGUCCAACAUUGAAAAAAUUCAAGAAGUUAUUUGGAAUAAAUUACAAAUCCCACGUGAUAUAUGGGAAAUUAGAAGCAGUAAGGAGGAGAAGGCUGUAGAAAUAUUGAGAGUUCUGAAAACAAAGAAGUUCGUGUUGUUGUUGGAUGACAUCUGGGAGUGACUUGAUCCGCUAGAAAUGGGGGUCCUGCAUCCCGAUGCUCGAAAUAAGUCCAAGAUAGUUUUCACGACCCGGUCACAAGACGUGUGCCACCAAAUGAAAGCUCAUAAGAGCAUAGAAGUGGCGUGUUUGUCGUCGGAAGCGGCUUGGACUUUGUUCCAGAAGGAGAUAGGAGAAGAAACAUUGUCUCAUCCACAUAUACUGAGGCUUGCAAAAACUGUUGCUGAAGAGUGCAAAGGUUUACUGAUUCGUGCCCAAUUGGUGUAUCAGCUGAUUCAUGUCCAGCUGGUGCUCCUUGAUUGAGGGAGUAAUCAACAAAAUUUAUAACCUAUUACACCAUGAACUAGGGUAGCAAAGACAAAGCUACUAUAGCAUAGUGGCUCUAGGAUCGUUCACUAGGAAUGUUUUUCUUCAUAAGUAAUUUCCAUUAUUUCCUUUGUCGUUAGCUUAAACCUAAACCUUUUUCAAUCAAAGUUUGUGUUUUAUUUCUUAAGCUAACCUUGAAAUGAAAAAGCAUCAAUUCACUUUGAAUUGGUANNNNNNNNNNNNNNNNNNNNNNNNNNNNNNNNNNNNNNNNNNNNNNNNNNNNNNNNNNNNNNNNNNNNNNNNNNNNNNNNNNNNNNNNNNNNNNNNNNNNAUCAAAUAAAAUGCAUGCAAUGAGAGUGUAUCCAAGAAAUGAAAAAGCAUCAAUUCACUUUGAAUUGGUAUCAUUUAUGAAUUGAAAACUCUUCCCAGUGAACGAUCCUAUAGCCACUAUGCUAUAGUAGCUUUGUCUUUGCUACCCUAGUUCAUGGUGUAAUAGGUUAUAAAUUUUGUUGAUUACUCUCUCAAUCAAGGAGCACCAGCUGGACAUGUCUCCUCCCAACCAACAUAUUGCUAGUCCCUUAGCAAUGAAGGAGAGAAAAAUAAAAAUAAACAGUACUAUAAUUUACAACAUCAUGCUGAUCAAAAAAAAAAUUUCAAGUGGCAUGAUGAUCUAACUCUCACAUGGAACAUUAAAGAAAUAAAACUCAAACUUCAACAAGAGUUAUCAAAUAACUUAUCUAAUCACAAUUCUUAAAGAGAAGGCAUUAUGCAAAUUUAAGCUUUAAAAUCAUUUCCACUUCCAAAGGACCAACCCUUACUGUUCCACAAAAAUCUAAGUGUUACUUGAUAGCUUCCGAAUAUAGUAUGUUGAACUAAUCUCUCCCCCUAACCUAGUUCUUUUUCACAGCUUAGCAAACUGGUCAACCUCCAAUAGGCUAAGAAUGCACCUCUUUUCUCACAAUUUUUUUUUCAUUGUAGGAGUACAAGGCUUAAAGGUAUUUUUUUUCUAAAUUGUCCAUGUAACGGGGGUCCAUCGAUGACUCCCAACCAAUUAAGGUUUAGGGCAUCAAGCUUUAAGGAUCUUUCAACCACUAACUCCUCGGAUUUUACCCCGGACUUUUGAGAAUGAAAUUUUAAUACCCAAGCACCUACAGUAUGUUAAACUCCACCUAUCCACCCUUGUAACGAGCAUUGAGGUCGGUGACUCCCAACCAAUGAAGGCUUAGGGCACCAGGUUUUAAAGAUUUUCACCAUAUACCUCUCAGACCUUACUCGGGUUUCAAGGCAAGCAAACAUUUUUUCUUUCUUUCUUUCUUUUUUCAAAGACUCAUUGGCCUUUUAUAAGGUGUCCUAACACUAUUAAAUGAGGUCAAAGGUACCAAGUCUAAAUUUUCCUAAGUCAAGAGGGAAAUGGUUUUUUAUUUUAUACUCGGAACCUAUUAUGCAUAGUGUGUGAUAGCUUAAAGUGGAAGAACUGAGGUUGAAUUCAAUAGAAGUUUCAACAAUUCAUCAACUUUAGUAAGCAUAAUACAAAAUCUAAGUCAAGUAAAAAGACAAAAAUUCAGUUUCUCCCAUUUCAUUUUUGAGAAUUUUUCCUUAAUGACCAUGGAGAGUAGAAUAAAAACUUAAAAAAUUUUAAAAUUAAGCAAAAAGCAACUAAAUUACCAAAAUAACUUAGCAUUAAUAACAAAAACUUCCUUCCUCAACUCUCCCUCCAACCAAGCUGAACAUUGUCCUCAAUGUGUUAAAGGCGAUUGAAAAAUAGGGAGGAAGUGGUACCUCCUGAAUGACGUGGAGUGAUGCUUAGUUGCCUCUCCUGUAGGAGGCUCCUGAUGAGGCAUAGGCUUAUCAACAAAAGGAGGGGCAUGUGAUGGCUCUGAUGAGCUGGGAAUGGCAUGCUCAGGAGCUGAUGUAAUGCCGAGAUGAUGCUGGAUCUGCCUUAGGAUGGCAGUGUGCUGGGCCUGAGCUCCUGAUUUUACAAUUAACAAAAUUUAAGACCAAAUUUACGAUCAAAUAAUUUACAAAACUAAAAAAAAUUAUAACAUAUUUAACGAAAUUAUGGACUUUGGUGAAACCAAGUCCAUCUAACCCUUCUCUGAUCAGGCUUUUUGUGGCUCAAGGAGGUUGAUUUCCUUCUUUUUUGGCUUGAACGGCUCAAUGAAUGGCUUGAGGCGAUGACCAUUGACUCUAAAGGUGUCUAUGCCAUUGGAAUUUAGUAAUUCCACCACUCCAUUGAGAUGUACUUGGUGAAUAAUGAAAUGACCUAUCCAUCUUGACUUGAGCUUCCCUGGAAAUAUAUGGAGCCUUGAGUCAUAGAGUAGGACUCUUUGUCCGUUCCGCAAUUCUUUGUUGGAGAUUAGUUGAUCAUGCCACUUCUUCAUCCUCUAUUUUGCAACUUUGGAAUUGAUGUAAGCAUCAUUUCUUAAUUCCUCCAUCUCAUUAAAGUCUAAGCACCUCUUUGCUCCAGCUCUGAUCAAGUCCAUGUUCAACCUCUUGAUUGCCCACCAAGCCUUAUAUUCAACUUCCAUAGGGAGGUGGCAUGCUUUGCCAUAGACAAGACGAUAGGGGGACAUGCCAAGAAUAGUCUUAUAAGUUGUUAUAUAUGCCCAUAAUGAAUCAUGUAGCUUAAUAGACCAAUCUUUUCUGCUUGUAAUCACCACUUUCAUCAGUAUGUUUUUUAUUUCCCUGUUUGCUAGCUCCACUUGCCCGGAAGUUUGAGGAUGAUAAGGUGUAACUACCUUAUGCUUCACUCCAUACUUGGCUAAUAGGGUUUCAAAAGGUUUGUUGCAAAAAUGAGUACCUCCAUCACUGAUUAUGGCCUUGGGCACCCCAAAUCUUGAGAAGAUGUUCUCCUUAAGAAAUUUGAGAACCACCCUGUGAUCAUUAUGUUUACAGGGGAUUGCCUCCACCCAUUUGGAAACAUAGUCCACCCCCACCAAUAUAUAAGAGUUACCAAAAGACAUUGGGAAAGGUCCCAUGAAGUUAAUACCCCAAACAUCAAAAAGAUCAACUAUAAGGAUGGGGUUCAUGGGCAUUUGGUUUCUUUUUGUAAGCUUUCCGAGUCUUUGGCAUCUAUCACAACUCCUACACAUGAUGUGGGAAUCUUUGAAAAGCGAUGGCCAAGUAAACCUUGAUUGCAAGACCUUCAUGGCUAUUUUCUGAGAAGCAAAGUGGCCUCCAUAGGCAUUCUCAUGGCAAUGGCUGAGGAUUCCUUGUUGCUCUUCUUCAGGGACACACUUCCGUAUUAUUUGAUCUGCACAAUACUUGAAAAGGAAAGGUUCCUCCCAAUAAUAAGCAUGAAUUUUUGCAAAGAAGUGCUUCCUGUCUUGCGCAUUCCACUCACUUGGAACUUCACCAGUAACCAAAUAGUUAGCAAUAUGAGCAUACCAAGGAGCUUUCUCUAGCAACAUAAGUGAUUCCUCAGGAAAGUCAUCAUUAAUAGGUAAGACAUGGAAAUUGUGCGUUAUAGCCAACCUUGACAGGUGGUCAGCUACCACAUUCUCCACUCCUUUCUUAUCUCGGAUUUGGAGAUCGAACUCUUGUAACAAAAGAAUCCAUCUAAUCAACCUUGCUUUUGCAUCUUGCUUUGUCAAUAAAUACUUCAAGGUCGAAUGGUCAGUGAAAACAAUGAUGAAAGACCCUACUAGAUAAGCACGAAACUUGUCUAAGGCAAACACCACAGCUAACAAUUCUUUCUCUGUAGUUGUGUAGUUCUUUUGAGCUUCGUUCAAUGUUUUGCUUGCAUAGUAGAUCACGUAGGGCUUCCCAUCUUCUCUUUGGCCAAGUACAACUCCUAUAGCAAAGUCACUGGCAUCACACAUCAUUUCAAGGGUAGUUGCCAGUUAAGAGCCCUUACUAUUGGAGUGGUUGUAAAAAAUUGCUUCAAUUGAUCAAAACUCUUUUGACAUCUCUCAUCCCAGACAAACUUAGCGUCCUUAGCUAAAAGUUCACAAAGAGGCCUUGAAAGCUUAGAGAAGUCUUAUAUAAAUCUCUUGUAGAACCCUGCAUGGCCAAGAAAUUGCCUUACUCCUUUCACAGUUGUUGGGGACGGCAAUUUGACAAUAAGUUCCACCUUUGCUUUAUCAACUUCAAUGCCUUUCUCGGAGAUGAUAUGGCCAAGGACAAUUCCUUGACGUACCAUAAAAUGGCAUUUCUCCCAGUUGAGCACCAAGUCCUUCUCAAUGCAUCUAUUAAGAACCGCUUCCAAAUUGACUAAGCAUUCCUCAAAUGUACCUCCAUAUACGGUGAUGUCAUCCAUGAAAACCUCCAUAAUUCUCUCCACCAUAUCACUGAAGAUACUCAACAUACAUCUUUGGAAUGUUGCAAGUGCAUUGCAUAAACCAAAAGGCAUUCUUCUGUAGGCGUAUGUUCCAAACGGACAUGUGAAAGUGGUCUUCCCCUGAUCUUCAACAUCAAUUUCAAUUUGGAAAUACCCUGAGUACCCGUCCAAGAAACAAUAAAAAGGAUGGCCAGAGACUCUCUCCAGUACCUGAUCAAUAAACGGGAGUGGAAAAUGAUCUUUCCUUGUCACAGCAUUCAACUUUCUAUAAUCAAUACACACCCUCCAACCUAAAGUGAGGCGUGUAGCAAUUUCUUCUCCUUUUUCAUUUUGAACCACAGUAAUCCCUGACUUCUUUGGUACCACUUGAGUAGGACUCACCCAAGGGCUGUCAGAUAUGGGAUAAAUAAUACCUGCUUGAAGUAGCUUAAGCACUUCAGCUCGCACCACCUCUUGCAAAUGAGGAUUCAAUCUUCUUUGAGGUUGACGAAUUGGUUUAGCUUCUUCCUCUAUGUAUAUAUGAUGUGUACAAACCAAAGGACUAAUGCCUUUCAAGUCAGAUAUUUGUCAUCCUAUUGCUUUCUUGCACCUCUUGAGAACUUCAAGUAAACACUUCUCCUGAUGACUAGUAAGAGAUGAAGAUAUAACAACAGGACAUUGAUUAUUUUCUUCAAGGUAUGUAUAUUUCAGCUCCACGGGCAGAGGCUUCAAAUUGAGCUUUGGGGUCUCUUCUUCAGCAGCUUCUCCUUCCUCUUUAUUCAACAAAGGUAGAAUAUCUUCUCUCUUCCUCCAACCUUGUAGAGUAGCAAGCACAUCAGGGGGUUCAGACAACCCUUCUUCAAGAUCCCCAAGACUUUCAUUCAGCUUGUCAUGCAUAUUCUGAUUACAGUGCUCCUCCACUAGAGUGUCAAUAAUGCAUACCUCUUUUGGACCUUCUUCUUCUUCCAGAGUGAUUUGCUUUUUAGACAUAUAAAAAAUGUUGAGCUCAAGUGUCAUGUUGCCAAAAGUGAGUUGCAUGAGUCCAUUCCUACAAUUGAUGAUUGCAUUUGAGGUAGCAAGGAAUGGCCUUCCAAGGAUGAUAGGAACUGAAUUAGCUUCCUUUACAGUAAGAUCCGUAUCAAGAAUAACAAAAUCUACCGAAUAGUAGAAAUUAUCAACUUAAACUAAGACAUCCUCACCCCCCUUGGAAUUUUUACUGAUCUAUCUGCUAGAGAUAGGGUGAUUGAUGUUGGCUUCAACUCACCAAGACCCAAUUGCUUAUAGAUAGAGUAUGGUAGCAAAUUCACACUUGCUCCCAAGUCUAACAAAGCUUUCUCCACUACCUUUCUUCCAAUCAUGACUGAAAUGGUAGGACAUACCGGAUCUUUGUACUUCAAAGGAGACUUGCAUUGUAUGAUUGCACUUACUUGCUCAAUCAAGAAGGCUUUCUUGUUCACAUUCAACCCUCUUUUGAUAAUACACAAGUCCUUUAGGAAUUUUGCAUACGUUGGAACUUGUUUAAUCAUAUCCAGCAGUGGGAUAUUGACUUUUACUUGUCUCAAUACUUCAAGAAUUUCAGAUACAUUUCUAAUCCCCCUUUUUCCCAUGCAACACUUGAGGAAAAGGUGGAGAAGUUGGUUUCUUCAUCAAUUCUUCCUUAAUAAGCUCUUUUUCCGUAUUUGCAUUCACUGUUAAACCAUGGUCCUCCUCCAUUUCACUAACAUCUUUCUUCUUUCCUUUCAUUUCCUCCCCCUUCUUUGUUUCUUCUUCUUCUUCAACAUGUGGCUUGGGUGUUGGCUUCUCAAUUUUUUUACCACUCCUUAGAGUGAUCAAGGCUUUAACAUCUUUCACCUGUGACGAUUCUCCCUCAUAGAUUUCCACUUCAUGGAUACCCUUGGGGUUUUGGUGAGGUUGAGAAGGAAAUCUACCCUUCUCUUGCACUGUGUUCAAGUUAGUGAGCCUUGAGAUUGAGUAUUAGAGAUUAUCUAUCUUUUGAGAUAGAUUAUUUUGCAUUCCAUCAUCCUUUAAUUCAAAGUACUCUUUGCACUGUCAAUUCUUUGACUGAGUUGAGCAUUGAUGGUUUUUUGGUCUCCAACAAAAUCUCCCAGUUGAGCAUUGAUGGCUUUUUGGUCUCCAACAAAAUCUCCCACAACCUUGCUCAGAUUCACUAUUACUUGUUCAAGACUUGAAGAUUGUUGAGAUGGUUGAGCCGGUUGUUGGUACUGAGGUGCUCUUGCCUUCCAUGAGAAAUUUGGAUGAUUCCUCCAACUUGAGUUGUAAGUAUUCCCAUACGGUGCAUUGUUAUUGGGCUUGAAUUGUCCAACAGCAUUUGCUUGAUCUCCAACCAUUUCCCUUACAGUUGGAAUUGUAGGGCACUCCUCCAUCAAGUGUUCAUAAGAUUGACAAAUAGGACACAUAUUUACUUGCACUGGUGUUUCAGCAACAGCUUGCACUUCAUGCAUCUUUUUCAGUUCUAGCUCCUCCAAUCUUCUUGUCAUGGUCGCAAAUUUUGCUUUCAUAUCAUCAUCUUCAUUCAAGGUAUACAUCCCAGCCUUAGCAUUGAAAGCACUAAGGUUAAGACUUCAUCUUUCCCACUUCUCCUUUGUUUGGUUUAUCCCAUCCCCUUGAAACUUCACCCACAUAACUCAAGAAAUCCAUAGCUUCCUCAGGAUUCUUACUCAUGAAAUCCCCUCCACACAUUGUUUCGAGGAGUUGCUUCAUUGAGGAAGACAUCCCAUCAUAAAAAUAGCUCACCAAUAGCCAAGUAUCAAAACCAUGGUAAGGACAAGCAUUUAUGGCUUCCAUAUAUCUUUCCCAACACUCAUAGAAUUUCUCAUUCUCUUUAGCUGAGAAGUUUGAAAUUUGCCUUUUCAAGUCAUUUGUUCUGUGAGUGGGAAAAAAUUUCUUGAGGAAUUCAGCUUGUAAGUCGGUCUAAGUACGGAUACUCCUUGGCCUUAAAGAAUUAAGCCAAAUCUUGGCCUAAUCCUUUAAAGUAAAAGGAAAUAGUUUAAGCCUCAUCAGCUCGAUAGAAGCUCCUCCCUCUCGGAAUGUAUUACAAACAUCUUCAAAUUCCUUGAUAUGGGCAUAGGGAUUCUCACUUUCCAUUCCAUGGAAAGUUGAUAGAAGUGGCACAAUAUGGGGUCUGAUCACUAGCUGCUCUAUAGGGGGCACUAUACAUGAUGGUGCACUCAUACGAGGUGGAUGCAUCCGGUUCCUCAUUGAUAUGUAAGCAUUGGGAUUGUCUUAGUGACCAUGGUGACUAUGCUGAUCUUCAGGUGUAUUUUCCAUGAUAUUCAAGGUCAAUUCCAACUCCUUGGUAUGAGGUGUUUCAAGUUUAACAAGCCUUCCUCCACUAUCUCGUAUCCAAUUUGGCAUACACAACUAGUAUCAACUAUAACUAAAAUGAAAAUAAAAGAAAACAAAAGAAAACAAAAGAAAACAAGGCUACCAAAAAAAAAAACUAAAAUGAACUAAACUAAAUUUAAAAGAUAUAUUAGAUUAUGAACAAGUAAAGAUACAAUAAAUAUAAAAAAAUAAGAAUUAGUAAAAUGAAAGAAAAGUUACCAAACUUGUGAUGAAAAUCACAAGUACUCUGAAAUAAUAUCACUAUGAAGUUGGCACCUUCCUUGGCAACGACGCCAUUUGAUUCGUGCCCAAUUGGUGUAUCAGCUGAUUCAUGUCCAGCUGGUGCUCCUUGAUUGAGCGAGUAAUCAACAAAAUUUAUAACCUAUUACACCAUGAACUAGGGUAGCAAAGACAAAGCUACUAUAGCAUAGUGGCUCUAGGAUCGUUCACUGGGAAGGGUUUUCAAUUCAUAAAUGAUACCAAUUCAAAGAUGAAUUGGUGCCUUUUCAUUUCAAGGUUAGCUUAAGAAAUAAAACACAAACUUUGAUUGAAAAAGGUUUAGGUUGAAGCUAACGGCAAAGGAAGUAAUGGAAAUUACUUAUGAAGAAAAACAUUCCUUGGAGGUUUAGGUUCACAGGGGAGGUUCCUCAUGCAAAAACAGAGCUCCGGUCAUUUGGUUCAUUUCCUCGCAUUAGAGAAUUAACAUAUAGUCAAUUCUCUAAUCGGUGUUGUACAGAUGCAUCCUUUAAAUGGAUUUCAGCUCUAAUUCCCUCUCAUUGAUGCAACUUGUAAUGGCUCGUACUUCUCACCUAGCAUUUGCCAUUCAAGGUGAUCUUUAACUUUGGACUUCCCUUCUCAAGCUCGCAAGAGAUAACUAAUGUAUGUCUCCUUGGAGUCCAAAAGCUUACCAAGUGUUGGCAAUUCUAGAAAAUCCUAUCUUCAAGUCACUUCCCAAAAGCUCGCAAGAGGUAAACUAGUGCAUCUCCAUGGACGGAGAUCACUUGCCUUACCAAGUGUUGGCUCAAGUGAAUUGAUGGUGUUUUAAGUUAACUAAAAACAUAGAAAUCAUUAAAGGAUCACACUUUCUCUUCAUUAAUGGCUGAAACCACAAAGCUACUAAUUCUUGCACUUGGAACCUUUCCCGGCAACCUUAACUCCAAGGAACUAAAAGUCUAGCCACUCAUUCUCUGAGGAAACAUCCUCAGAGCUUGUUUGGCUAGUAAGACAAUACAAUAAAAAAUGAGAAGGUAAAGUAGAGCAAAGCUCUGUAUUUUUCUUCCUUUGAAAACUAUACAAAAGAUGCGUCGUCUCCCUGAGAACAGGCUCCCGAGAGAUAUUUAUAUGAAAUUACAAUAAUAAUAUAUAUAAGGUUAUUCAACCUUUUUCCAAACUUAAUAACUAAGGAAUCCUAUAAUUGGUGAGUUACAAGGAGAGUUUGGCGAUUUAAACAUCAAAUAUCUAAAGCAAAAUAUCUUAAAAUGUCGGUCGCACAUAUCGGGAAGUUUCAGGAGAACACCGCGGCACUGUGCAAAAUGGCUGCGAAACUCUCCAGGUAAGCGCUAUCAGCGGAUCCGGAUAUGUCUGAUCGGGGAAGUUGAAACGCCCUCCUCUCCCAUCCGGCGUCAGGCGCCGGAUGUGAAAUAUCCGGAUGGAAUGACGGCGGAGAAGAGUUCCAGAUGUGAGACAUCUGGGUGGAAUGUCGGCGAAGCAGAAUUUCGGAUGUAAGACAUCCGAGUGGAAUGUCGGCGGAGCAACUCCAUUCGGAUUCCCCAAGAGGACACAUGGCGCGCUCCCCUAUCCGGACUCCCUCAAGGAGAAGCACACGACACUCGCGAUCAUCACACCCGGACGAUAGCAUAUCCUAUCCGAAUAUGUUGUCCGGAUGAAAAAGACAGCCUGUCACAGCUUACGUUCUGCCGCCCUCCGAUGGUGUAUCCGGACGCUUUGUCCCUUGCCAUGGAUUCCAAAGAACUCUCCUCAAUCUCGGAUUGCUUUGGUGAUCAAAAAGCUAUCAAAACACCAAAACUUAACACAAUUUGAUUAGAAUUGAUUGCAAGGGUCCUUAAUAUGUUAAUUGGGUUAAAAGGUGAUAAUUACUACUCAAAAGUGUUUAAAAGAGUUAAUUACAAGCUAUGAAAUAUCACUUUUUGAGUAGUAAUCAUUUACCUCUCGCUUUGAUUACUCUUGGGCGAGCCUUGGCGAGUGAGAGAGAUCCCUCAAAUUGGAACAAGGUAAUACAAGAUUUGAGCAAAUUUCCAGCUGAAAUUUCAGGUAUGGAAGAUGAAUUGUUUCAUAGAUUAAAAGUCAGUUAUGAUAGGUUGUCUGACGAUGUCAUCAAAUCUUGCUUUAUGUAUUGUUCCUUAUUCUCUGAAGAUUGGGAGAUUUCUAAUGAAAACCUUAUGAACUUAUGGAUAGGCGAGGGAUUUUUGGGUGAAGUUCAUGACAUACAUGAAGCAUGUAAUCAAGGGCGUAAAAUUAUUAAAAAACUAAAGCAUGCAUGUUUAUUGGAGAGUUGCGGUUCAAGAGAAAAACGGGUUAGGAUGCAUGAUGUGAUCCACGACAUGGCUUUAUGGUUAUACGGUGAAUGUGGGAAGGAAAAGAACAAAAUUUUAGUAUACAAUGAUGUUUCUAGGCUAAAUGAAGCUCAGGAAAUUCCAAAAUUGAAAGAGGCAGAGAAGAUGUCAUUAUGUGAUAAGAAUGUCGAGAAGUUCCCUGAAACAUUGGUGUGUCCCAAUCUCAAGACUUUAAUUAUCGAGGAAUGUCAUAAGUUGACGAAAUUUCCAAGUGGAUUCUUUCAAUUUAUGCCUUUGAUUAAAGUCUUAGAUUUGUCAAUUAAUGACAAUUUAAGUGAGUUACCUAUUGGGAUUGGUAAAUUGUGUGCCUUGAUAUAUCUUAAUUUUCAUACACAGGAAUAAGAGAGUUGCCUAUUGAACUAAGGAAUUUAAAAAAUUUGAUGAUUUUGCUUCUGGAUGAUAUGAAAUCCCUUUGAAGUAUUCCACAAGGUGUGAUAUCAAGCCUUAUAUCCUUAAAGUUGUUCAGCAAUUAUGCAGUCAAUAUUUUAAGUGGAGUUGAAACUAUGUUGAGGGAGUUGGAGUCCUUGAAUGGCCUUAGUGAGAUAAGGAUCACCAUUUUCAAUGCUCUUUCAUUCAACAAAUUGAAGAGCAGUCACAAGUUGUUGAGAUGCAUAAGUUAUCUACAGUUACUAAAAUGGGGGGAUGUGAUUACACUGUUAAGAUAUGGACUCACAUAUCUCACAAUAAUUCAUGACUAAGCUAUUCACUUCUUCAAUUUGUUUUCUAUUCGUUCAAGAGUAUGGGCCACCUAUGUGUAGAGCCCAAACGCCAUCACGAGCCUUAGAUAAUGGGCCUAAGACUCGUGAGGCCCAAUAGCCCAAUGGGUAUGGUUCCUAAGGCAGGAGGGUAUAAAAGGUCAAGGGUCUGUUCAUUUUGCAUGAUCACAUUUUUGAAUAGAACAGAACCCUAAUCUCUCCCGCUUCCCAUUGCCAGAGAGAAUCCAGUGAUGGUGGUUAUCCUCCUCGGCCUUAGAAGAUCCAUACAUCUUCAACCAAACUUCAGAAAUGGAUUCGGGUAUGUUCCAUGUGAAUAAAUGCAUGUUCUAAGUGAAUUCAUAAAUAUAUCCUGCAUAUGUUUUGGUGAUAAUGGAGAUUAAAGAAAUAAACUAACAUACACUUGAAAUAUCAUUUACAUUAUUGAAAAGAAUGGAGCAUUUACAUGGGCUUAUUAUAUCCCAUUGCAAUGAAUUAAAAGCCAUCAAAAUUAAUGUGGAAGGAGAAGGAACAAACAAAGAUGUUACUCUCCCAAACUACAUUAUCCCAAGCCAAGAAUAUUUUUGCACCCUUCGUGAGGUGGGUAUAGAUCAUUGUUCAAAAUUGUUGGACUUAACAUGGCUUGUUUAUGCUCUAAAUCUUGAAGUACUCUACAUUAAAGAUUGUGAAUCAAUAGAACAAGUGAUACAUUAUGGAGUAGAGGAAAAAUUGGAAAUAUUCCUCAGGCUCAAAUACAUCAAACUCAGCAAGCUACCAAGAUUAAAGAGCAUCUAUGGGCAUCCGUUGUUCUUACCCUCACUUGAAAUCAUCAAGGUGCGUAAAUGCGGAGCCUCCCAUUCGAUUCCACCACUUCAAACAAAAACCUAAAGAAAAUUAAAGGAGAGAAGAGUUGAUGGAAUCAGCUGAAGCGGAAUGAUGAAACUCUCAAGCACUCUUUUACUCCAUAUUUCCAAAUCCACAAAGCUGAAGCAUAUUUAACUGAGGAGUCCGAAACUAGUGGCAUAGAUGAUAUGCAGGAGCAAUUGAUAUCAAAUUAAUUUAUAUCCGUCUUUCAGGUAUUAAUUAACUUUUAUGCUAUAUUUGAAAAAUAAUUUUUUUCCUCACUCCCAUUCUUUUGUGGAAAUUUUUACUUUACCGACAUCAAAGUGCAUCAAAGUCUCAACAUCAUAAUAACUUUCAAUGUUUGAUGUAUAUGGACUACUUCCAUAAUUUUCAACCUAAUCCUAAUAAUUUUGGUGUGGUUAUAAUUUUUUUUCUUUCUUUUUUUCAUCCUUCUAACAUUAAGCCUUCAUUUUGAUGACAAACAUAAUUAAGAAAGGGGAAAAUGUAAGAAAUCCAAAUCUAAAUCUUUUUUUUUCCUUCAUUUUCUUUUUCUUCUAUGUUUCUUCAAAUCUUUCGAUGUUUGAUCUUCUUCAUAUAGAUUGGGCUGCUUCUGUUUUUUUCUGAUUGGAGAUGUGCUGCUCCUUUUCCUUGUAUCUGGCGUUCGGGUGAGAGCUCAAUUAUGUUUGCUUGCUGGCUGGUCCGAGUUUCAGAUAUGUUUUGUCACGGUGGCAUGAGUGCUGAUUCUCAGAGCAUUGAUAUUCAUGGUGCUCAGACUGCUGGGAAAGUUGGUGUACUUAUGAUGCUUGCAGCAUCCCUUUUGUUUCUGGAUAUCAGGGAUUGGAUUCUGUGGGCUGUCUUUGGCUUUUGAUGUUGGGUGGGUUUUGUUUUGGUGAUUUGUUGAGGCUGGUGCAGUGUGGUGGGUCUGAAGCUGCUAGUACGCUGCUGCUGGAUCAAUGUCAUGUGAUAUGGGAAUGCUUUUGGGUCUUGGGGCUUCAGCAGGUUGCUUAUGUUUCCUCUACUUACAAAUGUUUUAUCACCAGAUCCUAUGUGGAGAUGGGAGGGAUUGUUUUAAUAGUGAUGGCGAGUGUGUGAUAUAAUCCUAUCAAUAUAACCACAUGCUUUGGUUCAUAUAUCAGAGCACUGCAUACUUCCUUGAGUUUGAUAUCCCGUUGCCAAUUGUGUUGUCUAUCAUGUAAAGAAGUUUUUAUGCUUGGCCUUGAACACACCCAUUAUGAAUGAAAUGUUGUGUGAAAUGUGUUUCCAAUUAUUUGAUUGUGGAGAUACUGCUAAUAUGAAAUGAAGGUACAAUGGACUUCUUCUCUUUUCACUCUUUUUAUUUUGUGGGAAAUUUGACAUUUGAGGUAAAUUCAUACAUAAAACUAAUUCGUUAAUGGUGAUUCUUCUUAUUUUUACUGUGAUUGAAAGGAAAGUUGAUCAAGGAGGUGGAAGUAUAAGCAGAGUUUUGAGGACUCUUAAGCGUAGUCCUUGUCAUACAUAAGAAUUCUAAUUUUCUGCAUUUUCAAUAUUUGCAUUAGCAGGAUAUUACAUAUAAAGAUUUACUCUUAAGCGUAGUACUUGUCACACUAAGCAACCCACCCAACAUUUGAGACGUUUAUCAAGUGAAAUAAAUUUGAGGGUUUAACACUACCGAAAUUGUUAAAGCAUGAACAGUUUAAAAUUAUAUGAAACUUCAGAUCACAUUCAUUAUAUUUGGUUUUCUUUCUGCCUUUCAUGAGAAACUAACAAAUAAUUUUUCUGCUCUUUUGUCUUGUACUUGGCAUUGGGGUUAUGUGGAUUAUGUUUGCUUGCUGGUCUGAGGUUUGGUCAUAUGUAGUUUCUGGUAUGUUUUCUCACGGCAGCAUAAAUGCUGGGAAAGUUACUGUAUUUAUGAUGGUUGUAGCAUCCUUUUACUCCGGACCAGCCUGAUGAAAGAAAAGAAAACCAUAGCCUACAAUCCGAUUCCAGCAAACAGAAGGAUCCAGAAACCAAAGCCUGCCGAGAUUAAAAGGGCAUCCGGAGUAAAAGGAUGCAUUGGCAGGGGUGCAUCUUGGGCGGGUUGGUCUCAUCCAACCUGAACCCAACCCAAUGAUUGAACAGACUUGGGCAAACGCUUUCAAUACCCGGGUUGAGCUUAAUUGGGUUAGGUUUUCUUUACCCAAACUCAAUUUAGGUUAGGCUCAGAUCAAGCUUCGAACAACUUGAGUCCAACUUGAAUCCAAUUUAAUGUUUUUAUAAUAUUUAUAAUGUUGAUUAUUUCUUUUUUAGAUUUUUAUGAAAAAUAAAACUAUAAUUAUAUCUUUUUUAUUUAUUAAAAAGAUACAUGAGUUUAUUUUACUUUCUUAUUAUUGAAUGUAACUCAAUCAACCCAAUCAACUAAAGUCUAAUCUAAUCAAUCGAGUUUAUUCAAAUCAAUUUGAAUUUAACUUGAUCAAUCCGAAUUCAACUGAGUUUAGAAAAAUGAGAUUGGAUUAUACUUUUGAAUAUCUUAGGUUAAAAGUUGAGUUGGAUUUAUUAUUUCUUAAUUUGUAUUAGGUUUGGAUUAGUAAUAAACCUAACUAACCCAUCCAAGUGACAACCCUAUGAAUAGGGAAUUGUUAUUUUUAUUUUAUUUUGAGAAAAAAUGGUAUUUAUUUCAACGCUUUAGAACAAUUUAUGCACAAAACUAAUUUGCUAAUGGCAAUUUUUUUUUCUUUUUUUUUUCAACAUUAGAAAAUAUGGUAAUUUUUCAACAUUUUAGCUUCCAUUGUUCUUGAUUUCUUUAGAACUAGUAUUAUUCUAGUUCAAUAUACAAAGCUUCUACAUAAGUGAUGCUAUUAAUUUACGGUAGUCAACCAGUGAAUGUGUAUGCUUUUUUAAAAGUAAGAGAGAAAUUGAAAAAAGUAAAUGAAAGAGAAGAAAAGAAAAAUAUAGUGGUGGUGGAGCCCAGCAUAAAGUCAAUGGCACCGUGUGGAACCCACAUCAAAGUGACAAACAAGCACCGUGAGGAAGGAAGAAAGGAAGGGGAAACGCCACCCGCCUGUCCUGUGCAUGUAGCUUUACUGGAAACCAUUCAUGACUUCCAAGGAAAGCCUUCUCAUGCUUUUGUGGCUUGUCUCCUAAGCCCUAAGUAACUUUGAACCCUUGGGUGGUGGUUGUCCCCAGUUUUUUGAAUUAACAAAGGAUUGUUACAAUCAAUUGUCUUCUCUCAUUAUUAGUAAUGACUUUGCAUUACAAUUUGGUUGAAUUUCCUGAAAGCCAUGGAUUGUCUCAGCUCAAUCUUGGGUCUUGCCCCUUGCUUGUAUGAUUCCACUUCGAAACGUGCAGUCCACAUUUCUGAUCUGAAAGAAAAUGUGGAAGCCUUGAGAGGGGGGCAAUGGUGGAGCUGAACAAUUUGUCUGAAGAUGUGAAGACGAGGAUUGAAAUAGCAGAGCAACAAUAGAUGAUACGCAGAAGGGAAGUGGACGGCUGGCUCAAUGGAGUAGAAAAAAUGGUGAAUGAAGUUGAUGAAAUUCUGCAAAUUGGUGAAGAAGAAAUCCAGAAGAGAUGUCUCAGAAGCUGUCCCAGAUGGAAUUGUUGGUCCAGCUACAAGAUUGGGAAGAAAAUAAGUGAAAAGCUCAAUGCUGUCUCUGUUCAAAUCAGCAAAAGACAUUUGGAUGAGGUGGCUGACAUGUUGCCUCGUCCUCGAGUAGAUGAAAUGCCUAUGGAGGAGACUAUGGGCUCAGAUUUGAUGUAUGAGGAGGUUUGUUGUUGUCUCAGGGAUGAAAGGGUGGGAAUGAUUGGAUUAUAUGGAAUGGGUGGUGUGGGCAAAACCACCCUCUUGAAGAAAAUCAACAAUCACUUCCUUGAACAUCCACGGAUUUUGAGGUUGUGAUUUGGGCUGUGGUGUUAAAAUCGCCCAACAUUGAAAACAUUCAGGAAGUUAUUUGGAAUAAAUUACAAAUCCCACGUCGUAUAUGGGAAACUAGAAGCAGUAACGAUGAGAAGGCUGCAGAAAUAUUCAGGGUUUUGAGUACAAAGAAGUUUGUGUUGCUGUUGGAUGAUGUAUGGGAGUGACUUGGUCUCCUGGAAAUAGGGGUCCCCUGUCCAGAUGCUCAAAAUAAGUCCAAAAUAGUGUUCACGACCCGAUCAAAGGAUGUGUGCCACCAAAUGAAAGCUCAGAAGAGUAUGGAAGUAGCGUGUUUGGCAUCAGAAGCUGCCUAGACUUUGUUUCAGAAGGAGGUAGGAGAAGAAACACUAAAUUCUCACCCACAUAUCCUGAUGCUUGCCAAGGUUGUUGCCCAAGAGUGCAAAGGCUUGCCUCUCGCUCUUAUUACUCUUGGUCGGGCCAUGGCACAGGCGAAAGAUCCCUCAAAUUGGGACAAGGUAAUACAAGACCUAAGGAAAUUUCCAGCUGAAAUUUCAGGUAUGGAGGAUGAAGUGUUUCGCCCAUUGAAACUCAGUUAUGAUAGGUUGUAUGACAAUGUAAUCAAAUCUUGCUUUAUUUAUUGUUCAAUCUUCCCAUAGGACUAUGAAAUUUAUAAUGAACAACUCAUAGAACUUUGGAUAGGGGAGGGGUUUUUGUCUAGAGUCAAUGACAUAAAUGAAGCACGUGAUCAAGGGCGUAAAAUAAUUAACAAUCUAAAGCAUGCUUGUUUGUUGGAGAGUUACGAUGAUGAAAUGGUUAAGAUGCAUGAUCUGAUCCGAGACAUGGCUUUAUGGUUAUAUAGUGAAUGUGGGAUGGAAAAGAAUAAAGUUUUAGUAUGCAAUAAAGUUUCAGGGCUGAAAGAAGUUCAAGAAAUUUCAAAAUGGAAAGAAGCAGAAAGGAUGUCAUUAUGGGAUAGGAAUGUUGAGAAUUUGCCUGAAACAUUGUUGUGUCCCAAUCUCGAGACUUUAUUUGUGAGGGAAUGUUCCAAGUUGAAGACAAUUCCAAGUGGAUUCUUCCAAUUCAUACCUCUAUUAAGAGUUUUGGAUUUGUGCUGUAGUCAUAGAAUAACUGAGUUACCUGCUGGGAUUGGUGAAUUGAAAGCCUUGGAAUAUCUUAAUUUGUCAUCCAUGGAUAUAAGAGAGCUGCCCAUUGAACUUAAGAAUUUGAAAAACCUGGCAAGUUUGUUUCUGGAUGAAAUAUAUGCGCUUGAAAUCAUUCCGUCGGGAGUGAUAUUAAGCCUAACGUCCUUAAAGUUGUUUAGCAUGUGGAAUGAUUUUGGGAAAAGCAACGGUCUGCGUGGGCAUGAAGAAACCUUGCUGGAGGAGUUGGAGGCCUUGAACAGCAUCAGUGAGGUAACUAUCUCUAUAACUAGUGCUCUUUCAAUCAGCAAAUUAAAGAGUUGUGACAAAUUACAGAGGAGGAUAUGGAAUCUCUUUUUAGUUGAUUGUGGGGAUCUGAUCUCACUUGAACUGUCAUCUUCAUUUUUGGAAAGAAUGAUCCAGUUGGAAAGGCUUGAUAUAUCCAGAUGUGAUGAACUAAAAGAUGUGAAAAUUAAUGUGGAAAGGGAAGGAUGGCAAGGAGUUGUACUUAAUGAUGUUCCUAGCCCAAUCUUCACUGUCGCAGGGGGCCAAUGCUUCCACAACCUCCAUACAGCAUUUAUAGGAUAUUGUCCAAAAUUUUUGGACUUAACAUACCUUAUUUAUGCUCCCUAUCUUGAAUCACUUUAUGUUACUAGUUGUGAAUCAAUGGAAGAAGUGAUACGAGAUGAUAGUGGAGUUUCAGAAAUUGAAGCAAAAUCAGCGAUAUUCACAAGGCUCAAAGACCUUAGUUUGUCCUCUCUGCCAGCCUUGAAAAGUCUCUACCAGCAUCCACUGCUCUUUCCAUCCCUAGAAACUGUGGUAGUGUACUCGUGCCCAAGGUUAAGGAGGCUCCCAUUUGACUCCAACACUGCAACUAACAGACUAAAGAAAAUUGAAGGAGAGGAAAGUUGGCGGAAUAUGCUGCAGUGGGAGGAUUCAACCGUCAAGGACCUUUUUACUCCCUACUUUCAGACAGGGUAAUAACAAGUAUUUGUCUGCCUGUAUUGAUGAUUGGGAAUAGUGGUCAUCAAAUUCACUUCAAUCCAUCUUUCAGGUAUUUUCUCUUUUCUCUUCUUUUUCUUAUCAAAUCAAUUUGUAUGCAUUUCAUAUGCCAUUAGCUUCACUCUUCUCUUAAUCCUCUUUCAAGUUAAGUAAUGAGUCUGACAACAACCACAGGUAAUUGUGUAUUGUUUCAUGUGUUUCAUUACUAGGACAAACUUCUUUGACAUGGGUAAUUUCUCGUAUGUUGUUCAGUUGGCUCUGUCCAGUUCACAUCACUAACUGGUGUCGCUGCUUUUGCUGAUUGCAGGAUGCCCUACUCUUUUUCCUUUGGGAUUGUAUUCGUUUUCAGGUGCCCAGGUUCCCUUCCCUAGGGGGCUACGUCUCGGUCUGCUUCUAGUUCUGUCUGUUUGCUGGAGUGUGGCUGUAGGUUUGAAGUAAGGGUUGUUCAGUAGUGGAAGCUCACAUACAUCCUCUGUGGACUCAAUUUCAACCAAUUUAGAGUUUUCAAUUAGUUCAUGGCACAUAGAGGCGUCCAUAUUAACUGAAAUAAAUUUUGAAAGCUUCUAAAAUCCUUGAGUAAUAAACUUGUUAAAUUUUAUAAAUUUUUGAAGUAGUUUACUCUAUUAGAAAAAGCACACAAUCUAGAGAAAAAAAAAACUUUGAAAUUUUUCUAAACUUGAAUUAAGGGAUUUUGGGCUUGAUUUCAAACCCAAACACCCUUUAAGAAAAGCCCAAAACCUUUUCUAUGGGCUAAGGCUUGGAUAGGAUCCAUUUAAACAUCCUUUGGUGGCUCCAAAAAGGUUAUUUUAUUUUAUUUCCCAUAUUUAAAAAGAGGAAUGAUGCACACAAAGGGAGAGAAAAACAAUGGUGAGGAAUAGUUUUUAUCGUUCAAAUGGAUUUGGAGAAGCAUAUAAAAAUAAUUUAUUGAGUUUAAUCCUAUUUUUUAAUUUUCUUCGCUUUUUCAUGUUUUUUACUUUUUCUCUUUAUUUUUUUCAUCUCAAAUUUUUCGAAAAUCAAACAUAACCUACAUAAAAUGAUGGAGGCACACAUGCAUUUUAUUAAUGUUGGGAACCUUACAUGCCUAUAUCAUGCACUUGAGCCUUGCUAGAUUAUUAAUAUAUCAUAAUAAUUUUGGAUGUGUAAAUUAUACAAAGCAUAUGAGAAAUGCAAAAUCAUUCAUCAGUAUUUUAGAAUAAUUGAAAUUUUGAUCUUUGGGGCAAAUCAAAUCCAAAAUUAUUUAAUAUUCAUAAUUAAUUUCACCUUUGAAUUGAAAUGAUAGUGACUUAAAUAAUAAAUAACUAUAAAACAAAUGGAAAAAUACAAUUCAAUGCCACCAUAUACUAACCAGAGUCAUUUAUUUGGAGGGUGUUAAGAUAUAUCGGUCUCAGGAUCUUAACUCUAUUUCGCAGCACAUGUAAAAUAAGAUAAUUAAAAGAUUAAAAAGAUUUUUAAAAAUAUAAAUAAACUUACAAAAUAUAUUAAUAUAAGAAUAUUUAAUUUAUUAUUAAUAAUAAAUUAACAUAUUGAAUAAUACACCAUCCAUGGUACUAUUACCAUAUAAAAUGGUGUUGAUUUCAACAUUUUAGACCAAUUUAUGCAUAGAACUAAUUCGUUAAUGGCAAUUUGUUGCUGAUUUUGUUGGGUUUGAAAUGUUCUGCUCUCGUUCUUUCCUGUUGGUACUGUUGGUGUGAGGGGUUUGCUUAAUUGGUGCUUGGUCUUGGUGCUUCUCAAAGAAUUUUUUUUGUAAUAUUAUUUGCAGGAUAUUCUUACAAAAAGGUAAAUGUAAUAGCAUCUCUUUUUUUAAAAAAAAAAAAAAAAUUAUAAAUUGUAGAAGUUACAUGAAUAAUUCAAAAUUUGGCAAUAAAAAUACAAUGCAAUGCCACCAUGACCAAUCAGAAUUGUUUAAAGAAUAAUGUAGUGGUGAUGAAUGCAAGCAUAAAACCAUUGUGGAGCCAAGAUUCAAGGGGCAUCAAUGGAGGAGGGUGGUGUAUGCAUAGAAUUAUCAUGGACACAGUGUGGGGGGGCCCAUCUGUCUCCCAAAAGGAAGACAGAAUAAUUGAGCGACACAGCUUAUCUUCUGAUGGGAUAUUGCAUCAGGUUAACUUCACCCCAGUCUCAGUCUCUUUCAAUUACCAAACCCUAGUCUCUUCUCUCUUUACUGCUAAUCCUCAUCUCUUUUCCUCUUUCUGUGCUCUCCGGAAACUUUUGUAGAUGGUGGCAUAGCUGCCUAUACUGAAGUUUUAACUCCGGCGUUUUUGAUUGACAAGGGCAGUGAUUCAUCUGCUCCCUGUAAUGCAAGCUAUCCCCUCUUUCUUCUCUCUUUGGCUCAACUUUAGUCCUUUUUUCCUUUGAUUUCCCGAAAGCUAUGGAGUUCCUGAGCUCAAUCGUGGGUCUGAUCCCCUGCUUCUAUGAUCACACCUCCAAGCAUACGGUCUACAUUCGUGAUCUAAAACAAAAUCUCCAAGCCUUGAGGAAGGAAAUGGCGGAGCUCAACAACUUGUAUGAAGAUGUGAAGGCAAGGGUUGAAGGUGCAGAGCAACGACAGAUGAUGCGCAGAAAGGAAGUGGGUGGCUGGAUCUGUGAAGUAGAAGUCAUGGUGACAGAAGUUCAAGAAAUUCUGCAAAAGGGUGAUCAAGAAAUCCAGAAGAGAUGUCUCGGAUGCUGUCCCAGGAAUUGUUGGUCUAGCUACAAGAUUGGGAAGGCAGUAAGCGAAAAGCUGGUUGCUGUAUCUGGUCAAAUCGGCAAAGGACAUUUCGAUGUUGUAGCCGAGAUGCUGCCUCGUCCUCUAGUAGAUGAACUGCCCAUGGAGGAGACUGUGGGCUCAGAAUUGGCGUAUGGCAGAAUCUGUGGGUUUCUCAAAGAUCCACAAGUGGGAAUUAUGGGAUUAUAUGGAAUGGGCGGUGUGGGCAAAACCACCCUCUUGAAGAAAAUCCACAAUAACUUCCUCCCUACAUCCAGCGAUUUUGAUGUUGUGAUUUGGGAUGUGGUGUCAAAACCGUCCAACGUUGAAAAAAUUCAGAAAGUUCUUUGGAAUAAAUUACAACUCUCACGUGAUGGAUGGGAAUGUAGAAGCACUAAGGAGGAGAAGGCUGCCGAAAUAUUGAGAGUUUUGAAAACAAAGAAGUUCGUGUUGCUGUUGGAUGACAUCUGGGAGCGACUCGAUCUCCUAGAAAUGGGGGUCCCCCAUCCCGAUGCUCAAAAUAAGUCCAAGAUAGUUUUCACAACCCGCUCACAGGAUGUGUGCCGCCAAAUGCAAGCUCAGAAGAGUAUAAAAGUGGAGUGUUUGUCAUCAGAAGCGGCUUGGACUUUGUUUCAGAAGAAGGUAGGAGAAGAAACAUUAAAGUUUCAUCCACAUAUACCGAGGCUUGCAAAGAUUGUUGCUGAAGAGUGCAAAGGUUUACCUCUCUCUUUGGUUACUGUUGGGCGAGCCAUGGUGGGUGAGAAAGAUCCCUCAAAUUGGGACAAGGUAAUACAAGAUUUGAGCAAAUUUCCAGCUGAAAUUUCAGGUAUGGAAGAUGAAUUGUUUAAUAGAUUAAAAGUGAGUUAUGAUAGAUUGUCUGACAAUGCCAUCAAAUCUUGUUUUAUACAUUGUUCCUUAUUCUCUGAAGAUGUGGUGAUUCGUAUUGAAACCCUUAUAGAGCAGUGGAUUGGAGAGGGACUUUUGGGUGAAGUUCAUGACAUAUAUGAAGCGCGCAAUCAAGGGCAUAAAAUUGUUAAAAAGCUAAAGCAUGCAUGUUUAGUGGAGAGUUACGGUUUAAGAGAAAAAUGGGUUGUGAUGCAUGAUGUGAUCCACGACAUGGCUUUAUGGUUAUAUGGUGAAUGUGGGAAGGAAAAGAACAAAAUUUUAGUAUACAAUGAUGUUUUUAGGCUGAAGGAAGCUGCAGAAAUUUCAGAACUUAAAGAGACGGAGAAGAUGUCAUUGUGGGAUCAGAAUCUUGAGAAGUUCCCUGAAACAUUGAUGUGUCCCAAUCUCAAGACUUUAUUUGUGAGGAGAUGUCAUCAGUUGACGAAAUUUUCGAGUGGAUUCUUUCAAUUUAUGCCUCUAAUUAGAGUUUUGAAUUUGGCGUGCAAUGAUAAUUUAAGUGAGUUACCUACUGGGAUUGGUGAAUUGAAUGGCUUGAGAUAUCUUAAUUUGUCAUCCACAAGAAUAAGAGAGUUGCCCAUUGAGCUAAAAAAUUUGAAAAAAUUGAUGAUUUUGCAUCUGAAUUCUAUGCAAUCCCCUGUAACUAUCCCACAAGACUUGAUAUCAAAUCUCAUAUCUUUAAAGUUUUUCAGCCUGUGGAAUACCAAUAUUUUAAGUGGAGUUGAAACCUUGCUUGAGGAGUUGGAGUCCUUGAAUGACAUCAAUCAGAUAAGAAUCAACAUAUCUAGUGCUCUUUCAUUGAACAAAUUAAAGAGAAGCCACAAAUUACAGAGGUGUAUAAGCGAUCUAGGGUUACAUAAUUGGGGGGAUGUAAUCACACUUGAACUAUCAUCUUCAUUUUUAAAAAGAAUGGAGCAUUUAGGAGCGCUUCAUGUACACGAUUGCGAUGAUGUGAAUAUAAGUAUGGAAAGAGAAAUGACACAAAAUGAUGUUAUUGGUCUCUCGAACUACAACGUUGCAAGGGAGCAAUACUUUUAUAGCCUUCGUUUCAUAGUAAUAGGAAAUUGUUCAAAAUUGUUAGACUUAACAUGGGUUGUUUAUGCUUCAUGUCUAGAAGCACUUUAUGUUGAAGAUUGUGAAUCAAUAGAACUAGUACUACAUGAUGAUCAUGGAGCUUAUGAAAUUGUGGAAAAAUUGGACAUAUUUUCAAGGCUCAAAUACCUCAAGCUCAAUAGACUGCCAAGAUUGAAGAGCAUCUACCAGCAUCCUCUGCUCUUUCCCUCGCUUGAAAUCAUCAAGGUGUAUGAUUGCAAAAGCUUAAGGAGCCUCCCAUUCGAUUCCAACACUUCGAACAACAAUCUUAAGAAAAUUAAAGGAGA